UUACAAUAAAGUCAUCACCUACAAAUAUUUAAAUUAAUAUCAUAUUUUUUUCCCCUACAAAUAGCUCGAAAAUAGAUUGUACUAGCAUAAUUAAGAAAGCAUGGGCAAAUGCAAUAGUAAAGUUGAUAUCUUUACCGUCCUCCUAAUCUGUGGUAAACUUCUAAUUCCUUGUCCUUUAUAAUUUUUCUUCUAUACAUGUAUUAUUGUGCUAAAUUAUUCUUUCUCAACCUUUUCUUUAUGUGGUAUUUGUUUUGACACAAUGUCAAACUUAUAUUUCCUUCUAUAUCUGGGCAUUUUACCCGCCUAAUCGUGGAACCAGCCCGAAAGGAACCNAAAUUCUCAUUGAAUCAGUUUCUAACUUUUUUUCUGAAAACUGCCAACAACAGUUUCUAGUGUACGGAUAAUAUAUACAUACAUUUAAAUAAUAAUGCUUUCGAAUUAAAUAGAACACUUUAGUGCGACCACAUUCCAAGCGCUAAUAUCAUAUAACUCAAUUUAGGCAUUUUAAGUCUUCGUUUGUCUCCCUUUAAAACAAAAACGUUUGAAUUCUCAUACUCAUUCUCUGUCAUGCAUUAACAUUAUAAAAUAUUUUACAUGUAAACCCAAAUUUUUUUUUUGUACUUUUAAUGACACAUUUUAAUGUUUACCAUUCAAACAUGAUUUUUUCAAAAUAAUGACUACCAAACAGGAGUUAAAUAACAUUGAAAGAGCUAAUGUUAUUAUUACCAUUAACAAGAUAAAAUUCACUAUGAAUCUUGAUCGGUAAUCUUCUUAUUUCACGAAAAUAUAUAUUGUAGCUUCAUUUUCAAUAUAGAAACAUAAGGGAUGACGUCUUCUCCUACACAAACUGACAAGAUAUAUAUAUUUUUUCUAUCGGGAAUUAAAAAUAAAUUUGUAGGUUUGAAAAGACAUUUGCUUAAGUGCCAUAUCUCUAACUUGUGCUUUUUUUCAUUACAAUAAAGCCAUCACCUACAAAUAUUUAAAUUAAUAUCAUAUUUUUUUCCCUACAAAUAGCUCGAAAAUAGACUGUACUAGAUAAUUAAGAAAGCAUGGGCAAUAGUAAAGUUGAUAUCUUUACUCUCCUCCUAAUCUAUGGUAAACUUCUAUUCCCUCCUAAUUGUGCUAAAUUAUUUUUUCUCAACCUUUUCUUUAUGUGGUAUUUGUUUUGACGCAAUGUCAAACUUAUAUUUCCUUCUACAGCUGGGCAUUUUACCCACCUAAUCGUGGAACCAGCCCGAAAGGAACCGACUCCGUUUUACUUAGGUCAAUUUUGUUGCUUGAUUUGUUGAUUUUUAGGCUGGCUUUGAUCCAACACAAAAAAAUCUCGUUUUGGUAUUUAGGGUUUUUUUUUAAAAUAAAAAUUCAAGUAUAUUUUACCCUUGAAAAUAAAUCGACUUUGAUUGUUUUGAAUCUGCUUUUAACUAAUGUCAUAUUAGUUUGAGUUGAGGUUUCGCCCAACCUUAUGAACCAUAAUAAUGCAACUAAAUGAUAUGAAGAUACAUCAUUUAAUCUGUAAAUAGCUCAGCAGCUGAUAAUGGAGUCGCAUUUGACGGCUUAUUGAUUCAAAAGAUGCAUUUGAUGCCCGUUACACAUCUUUUUGAUACUCUUGUGACUAGAGAUUCUAAUUCCAAACGAAUAAAUUAUUUUCCAUUAUAUAAGAUCAAGUUUGAAAAAGAAGCAGAAUUGAAAUUACUGCGAGUUUACUGCAGUGUGGUCUAUAGUGCAGAUGCAGAUAAAUUAGGACCAUCGCAUUCCUUUAAAAUCGAUCUGUGUGGAAUGAUGCAGAAAGUAAAAAUUCCUUAAGGAGAUGCAAUUAGAUCCUUAUUUGGAUGUAGAAAGUGCGCUUAAAUUCAUAUAUUUUUUGAGCCAUUCUGCUUGAAAAGAAAAUUGAUCUUGGAAAUGUACUAUUGAACGAUUAAAUUGCCAAUGAGGAAUUUCAAGCUAAUAUGGUGAAGCAAAAAGUGGAAAAAAAAAUAAAAAAAUCACCAAAAUUGCACGAACCUUUGUCGCAUGUUGACUAAGGAGAAUUUGACAGUUUUUGACAAGAUAAUGUGCAAUGACUGAUUCUUCUUGUUAGUUGAAGAGUGAAAAAUGGCUAGACAUAUAGAUAACGAUCCACAAGUGAGAUAUGGAAGUGUUCAGGUAUUAUACCAUUGCAAUACUGUCGGGAAAUAAGUUGGAUGGAGGUAAUAUGACACAAUUAUCUCAUCUGACAUGACAUUUACAGUUUUCUUGACCAAGUUGCUAGAAAUUGAACUCGGGCUAGGGUUCAUUUGAAAUGAAUUAUUAGAAUUUCCCACCUCGGUUUUUUUAGUUUGGGCUGAAUUUAAAUUUAAUGAGUUCCCAAAGCUACUAGUAUUUGACAAAGAGAUCAAUUUGUGUACUUGGUAAGUAGACAUUGUCGGAGUACGGGGCCUUUCGCGCCUUCUUUUUCCGGGUAUUGGUUGUGAAAGGAAGUCAUUUUGGACUAAAUUGGGAUGCAAAUCAGGGUUGUUUGUGUUGGAUUUGGAAUUGAAAUUAGGGUCUGAGGAAGGUAAAUGAAUGGUUAAUUGCACGGGAUUCCUGGACUCGUCAGUGCCAUGAGAAUGAGGGGUUUGAUUUGAUGAAUCCAUUUGAGUGUUUCGCUGAGAGGGCUUCACUUUGUAGAAAAUUUUGGCUUUCCUGCGAGUUGCUAAGGAGAGGUGGAAAUAGUGGUAAACAUCAGUUUUUCGAAGCAAGAAUUCUAGUUCUUCCAGCAUUAUUUAUUGGGAAAAUUGCAGCAGUGGUGGGAUGGGGGGAAGAAGAAGAUGAAUAGUAAUUUCUUUUAUUUUUAUUUGGUAUAUUAGUUUAUUUGUUUUAUUAUAGAAUUAAAUAAUAAAUUUACCUUUCUACCCUUUUAAGCUGGUCAAAAAUUGGUCAAAAUUCAAUUUUAUUUGUCAACUAACGGUCAAACGGACGGUUUCCAUCCAUUUGAACCCCCAUGCAUAUUUUUGAAAGGUUCGGGACUGUGGGUGGCAAUUACAUUUGUUUUUUACAAACUCACCUCUUGAUGGCGAUGGUGCUUGACGGCGACAGGAGAUGGAGCGUUUGGACUCCGGGCUGUUGAGUUUUCUAAUUUCAACUGUGGAUUAUGGAAUUUCAUAGGAGCUUGUCGAUUUUUUAAAACCUCAUUUUCCAACGGAAACCGAAAAUCGUUGAUCCUGAUGCAGCGACACCAUCGGAUUUGUAGGGUUACAUUUGAGGAUUUCUGUGGGCUUUGGAGAGAGGAUUUCUGUGGGUUUUGGGGAGAGGUCGUUGGGGGUGAUGUUUGGCUUUUUCCACUUUAAAAUGUGGCUUUUUUUUCUUUUUUUCAAAUGUCAUGCCAGCCCUAUCUUUGAGCUUGUAUUCUACCCGGUCUCAAUAGCAGGAUUGUUUUAUUUAUUAGUUAUGAUUUUGAGAUCUGAUGGGAAUUGACUGUCACGUGUAGAUUGGAUAGGGAUCAAGUAGCUUUUGAUUUUAUGUAAAAUUUGGAUUGAUAAUUUUUGGGAGAACGCCUUAGCAGAUUUUUGUAUCUAUCAAAAUUCAAUUUUCCCUUUCCACUUUAAAUACCGUGCAAAAGUACUCAUUAUCUACCCAAAAAAGUGUAGAUACAUGUAUACGGCGAUAGUAACACCAUAAGUAGAAGGUAAAGAAUUGGAACAUGAUUUUGGUUUUGUCUUUCAAAUUUAUUUGAUCUAACGAAAUAGGAUAAUGAGGUGUAGUUAUUUUUAUCACAUUUAAAUUAUUUUCCGGUGUUAUCAAAUUAUUAUACUUAUGAAAGUUAAAGAUAUGAUAUGAUAUAUAUGAUAUUGCCAUCCAUUACCAAGGAUAUGAUAUGUAUUGAACUGUUACUAGUCCCUAAAGUUAUGAUAAUGGUAUGAUAUUUUUGAUGCAUAAUUUAAAUAUUUAUAUUCAGGAUUGUACCAUUAUUUUCAUGUCCUACUCAAUAUCCCCCACAUACUCAUCAUUUUUCCUACCUCUCACAGGUUAGAAUUGGUCGUCGAUUGAUGGGCAAUGAGAUGCAGUUGUAGUGAUUGGAUUCACUGGACUUAAUAAAUUAAAUUUGGUAUAAUGUGACUAUAAAUUUUAUUUUCAGCAUUUAUUUUAGUUUUAUUAAUAUUUAGAUUUGUAAUUUAGGAUUUGGAGCAUGUUUUAUUUUCUUAUUUUUUUCAUAUGUUCUAUUUAAUAUUUGUGGAACCAAAAUUUCACGUUGUGAUGUUUGAUAUGUUUUUUUAAUUAUGAAAUGAAUAAGAUAUGGCUUAGGAAAAUCCUCGUUCUUCUUAAAUUAAAGAAUAUGGAAUUAAUCUAUAUAACAGUGAGUAACCUACCAUUACAUGAUUUUAUAUUUAUUGCAUACCAUUUUUUUCAAAAGCUUAAAAUGAAACUUUUUGUAAUGAUUUAAAUAUUAAAAAUUUGGGUCGUUACACUAAUUAAGCAUGUUUUUAAUCUUUCUUUCAUGCCGAUAUGAAAUAAAUACACUGGCAAAGCUGAAACUCUUGUCCUUAGAUAUUGACCUGCACGUAAAAGAGGUCCUUACUCCAAUUGAGUUUCCCAAGGAUUGUAUUCUUACUUAGUUUUAUAAAAUUUGUUGUGGCAACAUGUUGUUCGAUAGAUUUGGACAAUAAAAUUAAGAAAAGGUAAAAGUAAUGUUCAUUAUGUGGUCAGGAUCAUAUCCACUAGUCCAUACCAAAUAUGCACGGAGUAAUUUGUGUUGUUAGUUAAAGAGAAAAAUGGUGAGUACAUAUUGAUAACUAUCCAAUGGUGAUAUAUAGAAGUGUUCCAUUAUAAGUCAAUUCUAUAGACCCUAGACUUAUUCAGAAGUAAAGAAAAGGAGUCCAAUUACAAGUAUGAAGGGAAGGAAUAUGACAGUUUACUAUCAGAAACGAGGUCUAAGAAGAUCAAGCAGAUUUUGUGAGUAGGAAGAGACUAAUACGAGAAUAAAAUAUAUUUUUCGCAACUAGACUUUAAUUGACCAUCCAAAAAGCCAGCCAAAACGCUCGUUCAUUGACUAAUUAAAAUAAUUAGUUGGCAAUAUCUUUGCCGACGAGUUUUUUUUUUGUUCAACCCUCAAAACUUAGCCCAUGACAACGACAUUUGCCAACCUAAAUAAUUGUUGUCAUCCAAGAGGAGACAUAUUAGCCGACCAAAUGAAAUGGGUCUAUGAAUAUCUUAUUUUUGUGCCAAAAUAUUUGACAACGGAUAUGGACGCAACAAUAAAUGGUACUAUUAGACCCAAAAUAUCAUUUAGCUAGGGUAAGAAAUUGCUCCAUUUCCGGCCGUGAACAUCUUAUAUCUCUUAUUCUGGUGUCCUCCGUCUCUCUCGAUUUCUGGCCAUCCCAGGUUAGUUUACUUUAUCUUUCCCUUCCUCUCUUUUGCAUCUCUAUAUAAACUAAUGCCCUCACUCAGCAUCCCCAAGGGAUAUUUUUCUUCUUGGUUGAUGAAAAAACAAAGGGAGGAUUGGGAUAUUGGUGUUAGUGGUUGUCAGUAGUAGUUGUAUGUGGGAUAUUGGUAUAUUGGGCUCUACUAUAUAUUGGAUAUCUCCACACGAAAAAAAUAAAGGGGAUGGGGGCAAUUUCGUAAUUUUUCGCGAAAUUCGACUGGCUGAUCGGAAUCGAAAUCCGCGCCGCCCUGGGGGCAAUUUCGUAAUUUUUCGCGAAAUUCGACUGCCUGAUCGGAAACGAAAUCCGCGCCACACCGGGGGCAAUUUCGUCAUUUUUCGCGACGGUGUCGGAAUGGGACAAUAUGGCAAGCUUAUGCUUACAAGUAAUCGGCACAAAAUUGAUACGUUCUUUUGCAAGAAAAAUUUAGUAGUGUUAAUACGUUCAAAGUUCUUCAAUACGGUUUUAGAAAUUUUUAUAACGUUCAGUGACAAGUAACAUAAUUAACUAUUGACACGAUAGUACGCUGGGAUUAGUUUUUCUCUUUUAUGUUCUAAUUUUAGAAUGUGCAAUGCACGUAAUCAGCACGAACUUGUUACAAUACGCUACAAGUUCUGUUUGAUAUUGUUAUGCUUUCUGAACGACAAAGUAAUAGAUCCUCUAUUCCGUGUAUGAUUUUACAGAAGGGAAUAUUGUGUUAGCAUUGAAAGGUCAAAUGAAUACUUUAUACAUUUGCAAAAUCAGUCAACUGCUUCGAAAGAAAAUGUCGAUGAAAACAACAUGCAUAUUAAAUAUGACAUGCUCUAUUCUGUGCAAUGCACAUUAAAUAUAUUAGAAAAUGACAAGCUCAUAAUAACAACAUGCAUAAAGAACCUGAGAAACAAGAUAUGCUAAAGAAAAAAUGGGAAGAGAAAAUAAGGGAAGAAAUUGAGUGGCAAAAUCAGGUAAGAUGGAAGGAAGAUAGAGCUAACGGAGGAUGAGCAUAUAUAACCUCCGUGGCCUGGACACUUCAAUUAGAAUCAUGUGUUUUUGUCAGACAUAUGUCAGAUACUGACAGUUCUCGAACACUUAGAAUCAUGUGUUUUUGUCAGACAUAUGUCAGAUACUGACAGUUCUCGAACACUCCACCACGGUAAUGUUUUUCUUUGUAAUAAAUAUUAUUUAUUUUUUACUUAAAUAUUUUUUAUUAAAUAACAAAUAAGUAGUCAUAUUUAAAAAUUUUCGAAAUAAAAAUUAAUGACAACUAUAAAACUAAAUUUAUACUAUAUAAAUAAAGAAUUUUAAAGAAUAUAAUCAACGUGUCAAGUUAGUAUUUUUUUGAAAAAUCUCAUAUCGGCAUGUUUGACACUUAUCAUGUCCGAUACACGUGUCAGUGUUGGUGCUACAUAAUCUAGAACUGAUGGAGUUAGCUGCUCCAAAAGUUACCUUCAAUUGUUUCUCUUGAUUAUGAUAACAUGCAUGCAAAAUCUCUGUCAUUUCCAGAAGAUUUGUGCCCAUUUACUCCGAAGGCAUUGAGAGUGAAGAAUAUAUUUCCUAUCUUUGGCCUUGUAAUGUUGAUUAUUUAGUCCAAUCUAUCCAUGACUAUGACUUAAAGACGCCUGGUAUGUUACACAUUUCUCUUCUAAAACUAACCGUAAAAGAUAUUGAAGAUGUUGUGGGCCUUGAACAAAUCAAUAUGGUGAUGUCAAUCCUGAAGGUGUACAUCCUCAGCAUUCAGAACUGGCUGAAGCACUUAAAUCUGCUGACAUGUUCUGAAAUCUUGUGAGGAUAUAGCAUUUACUUUGUGAAUAGCUCAAUACUUGGAUAACUCCGUAAGCAUAUAGGAUCACUGACAAGUAAUAAUUUAGUGAGUUAAUAAUAUCAUCCUACAUGGAAUAUAUACUAAUUAAAAUGCACUAGUCUUAUAUCGAAUUCGAAAAAUGUAAUGCAAAAGACAUUAUGUUGUAAUUAGUCUAAAUUAUUCACUAAAAUUAUGUAGGAGUUUGGUUUUGUAAACUUAUAUGGAAUAAUUUUAUUGGAAUUAUAAUCCAUCUAAUGUUAUGUAUUUUAAUUUUCGAUUAUUUAAUCCAGUUUUAUUCAUACUCUCUUGAUCAUUGAUAAUCAAAUUUUGCUUAAAUUUCUUUUUCAAGAUAAGUUAAAUAUAUGUUAGAUACGACAAGACCCAAUUCUAUUCCUAGUUCAAUUUUAUAUUAAUAGAAUGCAUUUAACUACAAGAUUAUUUAUAAGAUUGCACAUGCAAGCAUUACAUGUUAGGAUAUAUGUUAAUCAUAAAGAGUUCUAAACUUAGUGUGUACCUCUUAGCACUAUAGCAAGCAACUAAUUAUCCAAUUGAUGGCAAGCAAUUAAAUAAUGCAACAAAAAUACAAGAUUAAUUGAGAAAAAAUAAAAUUUACUAAAUUACUCAUCUUGAACUAAAUUAAAUAGACAAAAAACAUUCAUCUUCUUCAAUUCAAAAAAAUAUCAAGCUUAGCUUGAUUCCUAUUAUAUUACCGAAUAAUAAUGAAAAAUCAUCAUCUAAAAUUAAUAUGGAGACAAGAAGUAUGUAGAAGCAAUUUCUUGCUCUUUAUCUUCAACCAUGAGUCUUUAUUCUUCAAGAUCAUGAUGUGAUAGUCCUUCAAUUCUGACUAGGUUUGAUCCUCUCUCCCAAAAGUGUGUGAAUUGACCGCUCGUUUUUGAUUAAUUUUGUAAUAUAAAUGUGUAUUAAGAGGCUAGAAAAAGAUCUCUAUUAUUUUGCCUGAAUUCUAUGUUUAUGGGAGCUGAAUUUUAGGUCAUCGAGAUUGCGUCCAAUUAGUUCUAAAGAAGUUAAAAAGAGAAGAAAACUGCUGAUUCACCUGCUAGAAUAUGCCCAUGCAAACACAUGGCAAUUAUGCACCUAACAAACAAUUCAUCCUCAAGUAUGGGAACUGGGAAUCUCGGGUGCGUUUAUGUCUCUGAUUAGUCAUCAAUAAUUUUCUCGUAUCUUUCUCUUUCCAUAUCCAAUUGAGGCAAUUCGAAAUGCGAUGGAAAGCUAACCCCAAGGGAUACAAUAAUUAUGGAAGUAUCAUGUUUUCAUUUCCAUCGGUUACUAUGUGAAAAAUGUGUCCCAGUCUGAGUAUAUGGAGCAUCACUUGUACAACUGAAAGAUGCAAUUGGUGAAAAAUAUAUUUUAAUAAUUCACUCCUAAUUGAAUCCAAUUGAUCAUAGGUGAUCUCCAAUCAUCAUUUUGUAGCCCAAACCAACUAUUGGAUAAUUGCAAUUUUUUCCCCGAACUUUGAAUUCUACAUUUUUCACCUUUUUUGCUCAAAUGCUGAUUAAUAGAAACAAGAUUAAUACAAAAUAAGUUAUAAUUAAUCAAAAUCACUAAUAAAUACUCCUAAUUGAAUCCAAUUGAUCAUAGGUGAUCUCCAAUCAUCAUUUUUUAGCCCAAACCAACUAUUGGAUAAUUGCAAUUUUUUCCCCGAACUUUGAAUUCUACAUUUUUCUCCUUUUUUGCUCAAAUGCUGAUUAAUAGAAACAAGAUUAAUACAAAAUAAGUUAUAAUUAAUCAAAAUCACUAAUAAAUACUCCAAUUUAAUAGACUAGAUAAGUGUACAAAAUGACUUAUCACUUAGUAGCUUAUAAUGCACUUGCAUUUGGAGGCUUAUUUACUCAAAGGACGCAUUUGAUGAUCUUUACACAUGCUUGUCCAUGUAGAUGCAAUUUGUUUUACAGCUCAUUUUGAGGUGGACGUCUUCAAUAAACUACCACCCAACUCUAGCCCAUGCUGGUUGCACCGUGCAUUGGGAAACGAUGAUAUUGUACAUCACACACUUUAUGUAAAUCAAGCACUCAACUGGAGGUUUUGUGAUCACUUUUUUGGAGUUGCAUUGUUUUUCCGCCAUCUAUGAAGGGGUCCAAAGAAUCAAGCAUUUGAAGUUUUUAAUCCAAAAUUGAAACUUGAUUGCCUAAGUAAUCAUUGCAUCUAGAAAGCAAGAAGGGAUGGUAUCUAUUUUCUUCGUGGGGAGGUAGGAACAAAACAAUAUGAUUGGCAAUAAAAAUUCCCCAGUACUUUAAUUCUUAAUUUAAAAUUUUUAUAUAGUUUGAAUGUCAUGUUAAAACCCUUAUGACUUACAUAAGUUACAUAAGUUAUAAUUGUCGAAUUCAACUUAAUCAUAUCGGUAAUUCAAGCGGUCACCUGAGGUCCCUUAUUCAAGGAAGGCCCUACAAAAAUUUAAAGAAAUUUCAUAUUUUCAUAUUUUAUUUAGUUUUUACUAAAUAAGAUUAAAAUCCCAAUAUUCAAGACUCUUUUACUUCUCUACUUUUUCCUUGUUCUUGAAAACUCGAGAUCAUAUAUUUACAAUUCAUAACUAACAAACUCUUUAUUAUUACUACAUAUAUUUACAACAACUUAUCGAAGCAAUUGUCAAAAAGCAAUAUUUGCCGAUUCGUGUAAGCCUAAUGCUACUAUCAUUUUCUUGAAAAUCAAUAAUUAUCAUUUACUAGCCUUUUCAUGCGUUCUAAUUGAAAACUAUUCAAGUGACUGAAUGUGCUAAAAUUUUGCAUCUUGGUUAGUAAAAAUCAUUUUCUUGUAUCAAAUUUUAGGUAUAAAAAAAAACCAUAUAUAAAAAGAGAGAACAAUUUUCAUUUCUGUAAUUACCUAAAUGCGUUAUUGCAGAAUUUCGAUAAUUUCAACUUUAAAGGCUUUUUUGGGCAAGUGUUAGUUCAUAGAUUUUCUUUCAUUUGAAUUUCAUGGAUAAUCGUGUUUGAUAAUUCUCACUUAUGCUAAAUUUACGAGAUUAAAAAUAAAAUGUGGUGAUUUUACUAUUUUGAAUUUUUGGAUAGAAUUUAGUUUUCUGAGUGUUGAUCAAAUCAUCAAGUUAUAUAUCUAGAGCCUUCUAAAUAUUCUCAUGUGGUGGUUUUAGUAAUUAGUGAUAUUAUCAAAUCUUGUCUACCAUUAUAUUAUCUGAUGGAGUUUGACAAAGCAUGUGUUCAUUAUUAUCCUGUUUACUCAAACAAUGUAAAAGUAUUGAAAGUCUAUAUUUUAGAAAUUUUAUAAACAACCAAAUUUUAUGAAACUUUAUAUCUAUUAUCAAUUUAUCCAUGUCAAAACGCCCAGAGUAAUAAUAAAUGUGGAACGCACCUCAAUCCAUUGCUUUAAAUCUUGAAUAUCGACUCGCAACCUUUUUAAUGUUGACUUCUUUCUCAUUACAAAAAAAAAAAAAAAGAAGCCUUUUGCAACAUUCGAACGUAUAUUGCAAAUCUCAAUGUUGUCAUAGAAUAGAAGGAUACAACAACUUUUUUGAAGGCUGCUAAUAAUAAUAUUGCAAUGUUUCUUGAAUGUUAGAAAUAACUUUUUUACAAUCUUUUUUGGCAUUGGUAAUAACAUUUUUGCAACGUUUUUUUAUCAUACGAAUAACUUUUUUGUAGCAUUUUUUUAGUAUUGCUAAUAACAUUUUUGAAGCCUUUUUUUAUCGUUGCUAAUAACAAUUUUGCAACUUGCUUGAAUGUUGCGAAAAAGCUUUUUCCAACUUUUUUGUGCAAUGCUAAUAACAUUUUUGCAACGUUUUUUGAAUGUUACAAAUAACCUUUAUACAACAUUUUUGAAUGUUGACUUCUUGCUCACUACAAUAAAAAAAGCCUUUUGCAACGUUUGAACGUAUAUUGCAAAUCUCAAUAUUGUCGUAGAAUAGAAGGAUACAAUAACUUCUGUGAAUGCUGGUAAUAAUAAUGUUGCAAUGUUUCUAGAAUGUUAGAAAUAACUUUUUACAAUAUUUUUUUGGCAUUGCUAAUUACAUUUUUACAAUGUUUUUUAAUGCUGCGAAUAACCUUUUUGCAGCAUUUUUUUAGUGUUGCUAAUAACAUUUUUGAUGCCUUUUUUUUUUUUUUUUAUCGUUGCUUAUAACAUUUUUGCAACUUGUUUGAAUGUUUCAAAAAACCUUUUUCCAACUUUUUUGUGCAAUGCUAAUAAUAUUUUUCAACAUUUUUUGAAUGUUGCGAAUAACCUUUUUGCAACAUUUUUUAAACGUUGCGAAUAACUUUUUUGCAUAGCUUUUUAAGUAUUGUGAAUAACAUUUUUGCAACAUUUUUUCAGUGUUUCCGAUAACCUUUUGACAACAUUUUUUGCCUGUUGUCUAUGAUUACAUUCUUGUUUUUUACAGUUGACCAUUGUGUAGGUUAUUUUACAUUUUUUUAAAUUUUGUAUUUUUUUUUAUUUGUAGAGCAAUUUAUAUAAAUCAACCACAAAACAAAAGAGAAGAUAACAAUAUCAAAUAACUCUAAUAAUCAUUAUUAAUAUACUCCAAAAUGUAACAAUAUCCACACAAAAUCAGAUCCAAAAUUCUGAAGUACUUAAAACACCAAUACAUUUCCCAAAAAAAAAAAAAAAAAAGAAGAAGAAGAAGAAGAAAAAAGAAAUUCCACAAAUCCUGUUGUAUUCUUUCAAUAGUGUUCUUGCAUUCUAAAUGAGAUAGAACUUUUAUCAAAGCAAAAUCAAAAUAAAGUUCAUACGAUCAAUUUAAUCAAACCCUACUCAUCUGACUUGUCUACUAUCUCCAUUUCCAAGUGUUUAACUACAACAAAAAGGGGGUUUUACGGUGGGUGGCCUGCACGCCAUAUAAAGUAAUGCCGUAAAAAGUAUCCACUUUUUACGGUGUGCAAUUACGCCUUUUAUGAACACUGUUAUUAAUUAUACGAUUUUUGACGGCGUGUAGGCACUUGCCGUAAAUGCGAGUGUUUUACCUUUGCGCACACCGUAAAUGCGAGAUUUUACUUUUAACGGCGGUGCAAUCACAUGCCGUGAAAGGUGACCUUGUUAGCGUUUACGGUGUGCUAAAUGUUAAUUUAAUUUUUAAAAAUCUAUUUAUUUAUUUGAUUACUAGCACCUAAAAUAAUUACACAAAUCCAAUUCUAACUCAACUAAGAUGAAAAUUAAAAUGUUUUUAGUACCAGCUAGCAUGAUAAACAACAAUAAGCUAGUUAAUUAUUCUAAACUUAGAUGAAAAAAAUUAAGCGAAACAUUUAUCAUAUAAAUAAAAUGUACCAAUUAAGUUCAACCAACACAGAUAAGUUAUUUUACAAACAAAAUAAUGCUUUCCAACCACAUGAGAACAUGAUUGAUAACUAAUGGCUUCUUUCUCUAAAUAUCUCAAGCAUGGAAAGCAUGAUUAUGAUAAGACUGGACUCUGUGAAGAAUGUCACAUUGCGGAGCUCGAUCUGGAUGAGACUUCAGCAAUGCUCAUUUGUGAGCUACCUGGACCUAAAAUUUCAUUAGAUGUCAGUGAUCAAGUUCUACUGAAUAGUAAUCAAUGGAUAGUUAAAAGUGUUAAGGCCCACAAAAGUAGGAAUGCUAGGAGGACCUAAAUUGUAACAUUAUUUGCCUAAUGAAUUGUGAAAUUAAAAUAGAAAAGAAGUUAAGCAUACCUUCAUUGUGAUUACAGCAAAUCCACUUCGAUGUACCUAAUUGGCCAUGCUAUUGUACUUCCAAAUGCAUCUUCAAGAAGAAAAAGCUCACGUGUAAGACAAUAUAAGCUGACAUUAUCAAUCACUUCAUUGACCCAAAUUCUCCAACAUUCCUUACCAAGUGGUACAUAAUGCACUAAAUCACUUGGAUUUGUUGAAGCGAUUUCACCUUUUGCAACACAAUCAGCUUUCCCAGACCAAGAUAACAAUUUGCAUUUCCUAUUUUGAAGGUCAUUUGAACCAUUCAAGCUUCUAUCCCUAGUCUGUAAAAUUCAUAUCCAAUUAUACAAUUUAUUAUUUUGCAUACAGAAAUUAUAUUAAAUUUAGAAUAACAUUCAUUAAUUCUAGUUUUCCACUUACAUUAUCUUCUUGUUCAACACUCUUACUCUUCAUUUGAAACAAAGCUUUUAAUUCUUUAAUUUCAUCUCUCAACUCUUGGACUUGAGUUUGCAAGUUAUGAUUAUGCACCAAAGCAUUCAACUUAGAAGGAGUUGCACCGAAACCAAGACCUCUUACCGGUCCUUGAUUCGAGACCAAGUACUCUAGCAACAUCAUCGUCUUUAAGGGAGUGUUGACUUGGGGAGGUAACCGUCUCUGAACAUGCUUUUAUUUUGUUCCGAGACAAGAAAAUAAAUUAAUGGGCAAAAAUUAUAAAUAUAAACUUUGAAUGACCAAAAAUCACUAAAAGCGAUAUUGUUACCAAUGUUUCCCAGUUGAUUCAUCAAUAGGUUCACCAUUUUUUAGCAUAUGUCAUCGAAUAUAAACAUUAUCUCUCGUUAUGGAAUUUGUGUCUUCACUUUCAGCACACUGCAUUUUAUUUAUUUCAUAUAUGUGAUAGCAUAAAUGUUUAUAAUAUUUCAAGCAAAUUUAACUUUUAAUUUAACAAAUUUUUACCAUUUCAGCUUCUAAACGAGCAAAGCCCUUUCUACCUAUUGAAUGCAUUAAGGUUUGACCUACUCUCAUCUUUCUGAAUCUUUCACUUUUUUCCUACAACAUCAAUUAGUAUUUUGUAAGCAUAACUUUUAUUAGGAAUAUAGAGCAGAUGUAGUAAGCAAUUUAGGAAAAAGUAAUGAAGGCUUACCUUAUAUGGUUGAGAAUUGCAUUCUUUUGACAAAUGCUUGCCAUUCUUUCAUCGAUUCAACAUUAUCAAGCUCGAGGAAAGCAGCAGCUCAUGUCAUGCCAAUUGUUUUUCUCUGUAAUUGAUUGCUUUAAGCACAUUAGAUCGAUGAUCUCACCAAUUCUUUCCCAUUUUUUGCAUGAUGUAUUUUCUAUGACAAGUAUCAACAUCAAACUUUUCCUGCAACAAAGCAUACAAUAUUAAUAGUAAUUUAAAUUAAAUUAUAUAAGAGAUGCAAAGUUUAUAGUACGUGCACAUGCUCCCAUAUGUCAUCAAGGAAAUUUUUGCUUAUAUCUUUCCAAUUUUUCCAUAUAAUAGGCAUAAGUUCUCUGGCUGUGGUCCCAAGAAAUGAUGAUAACUUAGUUGAACCUUUAUAAAUUGGCUGCCCUCUUUCAUUAAACUCUACUGUUAACUUCACGCCUUUUCCCUUAUUGAAAUAAUUCAAUUUUGCUCGAGCCCUUCCCUUCUUUCUUUCUUCGGCUGUACUAGCACUAUUAGGCAGCAAUUCUACAUCAUGUUGCACAUCAUUUACUUGUAUGUUUAGAACAGAAUUAGAACCUCAUUCUAAUAUUCUUAUCCCUUCAUUAUCUUCUCUUGUGACAGCAACAUUUAAAGCUUUUUUAGCUCGUUUUGACUUCUUAUAGCCUUGAUUAGAUGACUAUAUUAAACAAAUAAGAAAAACAAAAAAUAUUUUACUUGAAUUUACUAAUAAAAAUUAUUAUAUAUACCAUCUGGGAACUUACUUCACCAGGAUAUGUCAUAUUAUUCCACUAGUGUAAACAUCAGCAUCAACAAAACUCAGCUUUCAUCGUUUGCAUCUACAAAAAUAAAGCAAGAAAUAAUGGAAUUAGGGACAAUAAUGACAUUAACAUCAAUGCAAUGUCACAUAACUAGUAAAUUAAGUGCUUGAUUGGUAGGGAUUUUGUUGAUUGAUUUUUUGACCGUUAAAGAUAAAGUGGGUUCUACUUGUGAGAGAAGAAUUCAAAAAUGACAGCUGAAAUAAUGAAAUAAUGACCAAAAAAUUGAUUAUAAUUGGAUUUUAAACUGUACCAAACAUGCUCUAAAAUAGAGCAAGAAAGAAUCUUAAAGAUAUACAACUACCAUAUUCAAUAUCAAUGUCCUCACAAUAAUGUUUUAAAUAACCUUCAUCUUCAACGAUCAUAUCAAGUCUUAAUGCAUCUAAAGUGGAUGGAGUAUAAGCCUCCUCAUCAAAAUUUUCUAACUCAUGAAAUCCUCUGGAAGUUGCCUUUGAUACAAUAUACCAAUUAGAUGUAUCGCUCACUCUCGAAUAAAAAGCUUGUUUUGCUUGUGAAACUAAAAUAAAUGAAUCUCUUUCGAAUUGAUAUUGUCCUUUAUGAAGAUUUACCAAUGUAAAUCCUUCUUCAAUCUUGAAGUGUUUGAACAUUUUAUUUUGGAUGUGAAAAGUUUUUCAAUGUUUUGGAUGUACAAAAGUUUGAGUGUUUGAUCUCGUGUAAAAUUAUUGAUAUUGGCAAGAGAUGGAUGCAAGAUUUGAUUUUUAGUUUUCUUUCUUAAAUAUGAAAACAUGUGGACUAAACAUAACUUCUGUUCCUUUUUGAUGUUGCAGAGAGAAUUUUAGUGGAAUGGUUAACUUUAGUUAAAUGAGACAGAAAGUUUUGGAAGAUCAUUAGGCCAUCUCUAGCUCUGCACGAAAAUAUGCACCAUUUUGCAUCAAAUCUUGCACCAAAACAAAAUUCUUUUCCAACCAUUACACCAAAACUUACACCAAAUGAACAGUACUUUUUUAUUUUAUUCAUUAUUUCGAUUUUUGACAAUGUAUUUAUUUAAAAAAUUAUUCAUUCAUUCAUUUAUUUAUUUACUUAUUUUAUAACUAUAUAAAUUACUAAAUUAGAACUUAGUUAAAUUAACAAAUAUAUUGAUUACUAAAUUAUUCACGUGUUUUAUAUAUUAUGUUAAAUUGGCAAAAACCAAAAUAAAAAAUGGUCUUCUUUGAAAAAUGAAAAACGAAAAAUAAGGGCAAAACGAACAUUAUAUCAUUUGGUGCAAAAAAUGGUGUAAUGAAUAAUGUUACACCAAAUAUGGUGCAACACUAUUCAUGUUGCACCAUUUUGCACCAAAAUUUGGUGCAGUGGUUGGAGGAAGUUUGCACCAAAUUUUGGUGCAAUUUGGUGCAAUAGGCCAUGCAUUGGAGAUGCCCUUAAUUGCACAUUUUUGCCGACAAACUAUCUAUAAAAUAAUUCAAAAAUGAUUAAGACUAAUGACCAAUGCUAAUUGCUAAAUUCCAAGCCAUGUGGAUUUUGAAGGGACGUCUAUACACACAUAUGAUCGAGCUUCCUCACUAAUCUGACUUGAUAGCCUAACAGAAGUGAAUUUUAAAGGUUAGGCUAACUAAUUUUGUCUUCAACAUGGCAGAUUUGUACUUGAAUAUAAGUUACCAAAUUAAAAUUCAAUAGAGUUAUGCAGCAUUAGUGAAAUUAACGUAAUUGAAGAACCUAUUUUUUCAAGUUUACUCAUUACUUUUUUUCUAUGUAUUAUUUACCAAACAUAACUCUUAAAAGGCAUCAAGUUUACUCAAAAUAACUCAAAUUUACACAAGUAUUCACUAGUAAAAUUGAAAAUACAACACGUAAAAGAAAGAAAAGAAAGAAAUUACAUUCACACGACAAAUGGCUACAUUAACAACAAAAAGGAAACUACAGGGAAAGAAACACAAAAAUACAGAUAGAUGAUGCAGCCAACAUUCUAUCACACCAAUGCCAUUUAAGAGAAUCCCUCCUUUCCGGCACAAACUUGCACAUCCAUGCGUGCUUUCCGUUGAUGGUAAACUCGGCCUUCUCCGAGCCAUCGAGAAUUUUCUGAACAACGCAGCUUUAAGGAACACGACUCGAGCAUAAAGUGGCUGCUCGUAAGGCCUAACCUCCUGCAUUCUGAAGGACUCUAUGCAAUUCCCAUAGACCGUUGUGAAGAAGUGCCUAAUUUCCGUUUCAGCCACUAGAUAACCCUUAGAAAAAGUUGCAAACAUAGUCCUGUCCUCUCGUGUCGACUCGUGGAAAUGAUGUGACAUCAUCAUUUUCUCAACUUAAUUACUGGAACUUGCAUAUAAUUAAACCAAAUGCAUAAAACCCAGAAAAAUGUGAUACCUUCAAAUUGUUGAAACUUUACCUCUACUUGAGAUGAAAUGGAGAUAUCAAAAUUGCCUCAAUAAACUCAAACUCUAAAUCCCAGGUCUCUUAAAAUCCCAUUGCCAAAACUCAAACGUCUUUUUAUAUUGUUCCUCUAAAUUCCCUCAACAAUUACACCUUUACUGUUAAAAUGCCAAAAGAAAUCUUUGAUUUGAAGUUGAAGUUGAAGGGAAACCUACAACACAAAAUAACCCAACAAUGCACAUGGAUUCUAGGAAAUGUGCAAUGUGGAACAAGAAAUUGUUGGGACGAAAUAUAUUAAUAACAGGCCGACUGUAUUGUGGGAAAUUUUCAAUUUUACAAAAAAACAUUUAAAAAAAAUUGCAGUUUUACAAACUCACCUCUUGAUGGCGAUGGUGCGUGACAGUGACCGGAGAUGGAGCAUCUGGACUCCGGGCCGUUGAGUUUUCAAAUUUCAACUGUGGGUUAUGGAAGUGCCCAUGAGCUCGUCGAUUUUUUAAAACCUCCUUUUCCAAUGGAAACUAGAAAUCGUUGAUCUUGAUGUGGCGACACCACCAGAAUUGUAGGGUUACAUUUGAGGAUUUCUGUGGGCUUUGGAGAGAGAAUUUCUGUGGGUUUUGGGGAGAGAACGUUGGGGGUGAUGUUUGGCUUUUUCCACUUUAAAAUGUGGCUUUUUUUUCUUUUUUUCAAAUGUCAUGCCAGCCCUAUCUUUGAGCUUGUAUUCUACCCUGUCUCAAUAGCAGGAUUGUUUUAUUUAUUAGUUAUGAUUUUGAGAUCUGAUGGGAAUUGACUGUCACGUGUAGAUUGGAUAGGGAUCAAGUAGCUUUUGAUUUUAUGUAAAAUUUGGAUUGAUAAUUUUUGGGAGAACACCUUAGCAGAUUUUUGUAUCUAUCAAACUUCAAUUUUCCCUUUCCACUUUAAAUACCGUGCAAAAGUACUCAUUAUCUACCCAAAAAAGUGUAGAUACAUAUAUACGGCGAUAGUAACACCAUAAGUAGAAGGUAAAGAAUUCGAACAUGAUUUUGGUUGUCUUUCAAAUUUAUUUGAUCUAACGAAAUAGGAUAAUGAGGUGUAUUUAUUUUUAUCCCAUUUAAAUUAUUUUCCGGUGUUAUCAAAUUAUUAUACUUAUGAAAGUUAAAGAUAUGAUAUGAUAUAUAUGAUAUUGCCAUCCAUUACCAAAGAUAUGAUAUGUAUUGAACUGUUACUAGUCCCUAAAGUUAUGAUAAUGGUAUGAUAUUUUUGAUGCAUAAUUUAAAUAUUUAUAUUCAGGAUUGUACCAUUAUUUUCAUGUCCUACUGAAUAUCCCCCACAUUCUCAUCAUUUUCCCUACCUCUCACAUGUUAGAAUUGGUCGUCGAUUGAUGGGCAAUGAGAUGCAGUUGUAGUGAUUGGAUUCACUGGACUUAAUAAAUUAAAUUUGGUAUAAUGUGACUAUAAAUUUUAUUUUCAGCAUUUAUUUUAGUUUUAUUAAUAUUUAGAUUUGUAAUUUAGGAUUUGGAGCAUGUUUUAUUUUCUUAUUUUUUUCAUAUGUUCUAUUUAAUAUUUGUGAAAACAAAAUUUCACGUUGUGAUGUUUGAUAUGUUUAUUUAAUUACGAAAUGAAUGAGAUAUGCCUUAGGAAAAUCCUCGUUCUUUUUAAAUUAAAGAAUAUGGAAUUAAUCUAUAUAAUAGUGAGUAACCUACCACUACAUGAUUUUAUAUUUAUUGCAUACCAUUUUUUUCAAAAGCUUAAAAUGAAACUUUUUGUAGUGGUUUAGAUAUUAAAAAUUUGGGUCGUUACACUAAUUAAGCAUGUUUUUAAUCUUUCUUUCAUGUCGAUCAUGAAAUAAAUACACUGGCAAAGCUGAAACCCUUGUCCUUAGAUAUUGACCUGCACGUAAAAGAGGUCCUUACUCCAAUUGAGUUUCCCAAGGAUUGUGUUCUUACUUAGUUUUAUAAAAUUUGAUGUGGCAAAAUAUUGUCUGAUAGGUUUGGACAAUAAAAUCAAGAAAGGGUAACAGCUAAAAUGCUCGUUCAUUUACUUAUAAAAAUAUUUAGUAGGCAAUAUCUUUGCCAACAAGUUUUUUAUUUCAAGCCACAAAAAUUAGCCCAAGACUACAUCAUUUGCCAACCUAAACAAUUAUUAGUCAUCCAAGAGGAGACAUAUUAGCCGACCAAAUGAAAUGGGUCGGAGAAUAUCUUAUUUUUGUGCCAAAAUAUUUGGCAAUGAAUAUGGACGCAACAAUAAAUGGUACUAUUAGACCCAAAAUAUCAUUUAGCUAGGGUAAGAAAUUGCUCCAUUUCCUGCAGUGAAUAUCUUAUAUCUCUUAUUCUGGUGUCCUCCAUCUCUCUCGAUUUCUGGCAGUCCCAGGUUAGUUUAAUUUAUCUUUUCCUUCCUCUCUUUUGCAUCUCUAUUUAAACUAAUGCCCUCACUUAGUAUCGCCAAGGGUAUUUUGCUCCUUGGUUGAUGAAAAAACAAAGGGAGGAUUGGGAUAGUGGUGUUAGUGGUUGUCAGUAGUAGUUGUUGGUGGGAUAUUGGUAUAUUGGGCUCCACUAUAUAUUGGAUAUUUCCAUGUGAAAAAAAUAAAGGUGACAAUAUGGCAAGCUUAUGCUUGCAAGCAAUCGGCACAUAAUUGAUACGUUCUUCUGCAAGCAAAAUUUAGUCGUGUUAAUAUGUUCAAAGUUUAGGGUUUAAGGAAUUUUUAAAACAUUCAGUGACAAGUAACAUAAUUAACUAUUGACACGAUUGUACACUAGGAUUAGUUUUUCUCCUUUAUGUUCUAAUUUUUGAAUGUGCAAUGCAUGUAAUCAGCACGAACUUGUUACAAUAUGCUACAAGUACUGUUUGAUAUUGUUAUUCUUUCUGAACGACAAAGUAAUAGAUCCUCUAUUCCGUGUAUGAUUUUACAGAAGGGAAUAUUGUAUUAGCAUUGAAAGGUCAAAUGAAUACUUCAUACAUAUGCAAAAUCAAUCAACUGCUUCGAAAGAAAAUGUCGAUGAAAACAACAUGCAUAUUAAUAUGACAAGCUCUAUUCUAUGCAGUGCACAAUGUAGAAAAUGACAAGCUCAUGAUAACAACAUGCAUAAAGAACUUGAGAAACAAGAUAUGCUAAAGAAAAAAUGGGAAGAAAUUGAGUGGCAAGAUCAUGUAAGAUGGAAGGAAGAUAGAGCUAAUGCAGGAUGAGCAUAUAUAACCUCCGUGGCGUGGACACUUCAAUUAGAAUAAUGUGUUUUUGUCGGACAUAUGUCAGAUACUGACAGUUCUCGAACACUCCACCACGAUAAUUUUUUUCUUUAUAAUAAAUAUUAUUUAUUUUUUACUUAAAUUUUUUUAUUAAAUAACAAAUAGGUACUCAUAUUUAAAAAUUUUCGAAAAUAAAAAUUAAUGACAAGUAUAAACUAAAUUUAUACUAUAUAAAUAAAGAAUUUUAAAGAAUAUAAUCAACGUGUCAAGUUAGUAGUUUUUUGAAAAAUCUCAUAUCGGCAUGUUUGACACUUAUCAUGUCCGAUACACGGGUCAGUGUUGGUUCUACAUAAUCUAGAACUGAUGGAGUUAGCUGCUUCAAAAAUUACCUUCAAUUGUUUCUCUUGAUUAUGAUAACAUGCAGGCAAAAUCUCAGUCAUUUCCAGAAGAUAUGUGUCCAUUUACUUCGAAGGCAUUGAGAGUGAAGAAUAUAUUUCCUAUCUUUGGCCUUAUUUAGUCCAAUCUUUCAAUAACUAUGACUUAAAGACGCCUGGUAUGUUACACAUUUCUCUUCUAAAACUAACCGUAAAAGAUACUGAAGAUGUUGUGGACCUUGAACAAAUCAAUAUGGUGAUGUCAAUCCUGAAGGUGUACAUCCUCAGCAUACAAAACUGGCUGAAGCACUUAAAUAUGCUGACAUGUUCUGAAAUCUUGUGAAGAUAUAGCAUUUACUGUUGGAUAAGUACGUAAUCAUACUAGAUCAUGACAAGUAAUAAUUUAGUGAGUUAAUAAUAUCAUCCUACAUGGAAUAAAUACUAUUUAAAAUGUACUAGUCUUAUAUCGAAUUCGAAAUAUGUAAUGCAAAAGAGAUUAUGUUGUAAUUAUUCUAAGUUAUUCGCUAAAAUUAUGUAAGAGUUUGGUUCUAUAAACUUAUGUGGAAUGAUUUUAUUGGAAUUAUAAUCCAUCUAAUGUUAUGUAUUUUAAUUUUCAAUUAAGUAAUCCAGUUUUAUUCAUACUUUCUUGAUCAUUGAUAAUCAAAUUUUACUUAAUUUUUUUUUCAUGAUAAGUUAAGUAUAUGUUAGAUACGACAAGACCAGAUUCUAUUCCUAGUUCAAUUUUAUAUAAAUAGAAUGCAUUUAACUACAGGAUUAUUUAUAAGAUUGCACACACGAGCAUUACAUGUUAUUCCUACCAUCUAUAUGUUAAUCAUAAAGAGUUCUAAACUUAUUGUGUACCUCCUUGCACUAUAGGAAGCAACUAAUUAUCUAAUUGAUGGCAAGCAAUUAAAUAAUGCAACGAAAAUACAAGAUUAAUCAAGAAAAAAUAAAAUUUACUAAAUUACUCGCCUUGAAUUAAACUAAAUAGACAAAAAGCACUCAUCUUCAUCAAUUCAAACAAAUAUCAAGUUUAGCAUGAUUCCUAUUAUAUUACACGAAUAAUAAUGAAAAAUCAUCAUCUGAAAUGAAUAUGGAGACAAGAAGUAUGUAGAAGCAAUUUCUUGCUCUUUAUCUUCAACCAUGAGUCUUUAUUCUUCAAGAUCAUGAUGUGAGAGUCCUUCAAUUCUUACUAGGUCUGAUCUUCUCUUCCAAAAGUGUGUGAGUUGACCUCUUGUUUUUUAUGAAUUUUGUAAUAUAAAUGUGUAUUAAGAGGCUAGAAAAAGGUCUGCAUUAUUUUGCCCGAAUUCUAAUAUUUAUAGGAACCGAAUUUAAGGCCGAGAUUGCAUCCAUUUAGUUCUAAAGAAGUUAAAAGGAGAAAAGCAAACUGCUGAUUCACCUGCUAGAAUAUGCCCAUGCAAGCACAUGGAUAUUAUGCACCUAACAAACAAUUCAUCCUCGAGUAUGGGAACUGGGAAUCUCGGGUGCGUUUGUGUCUUCAAUUAGUCAUCAAUACUUUUGUCAUAUCUUUCUCUUUCCAUAUCUAAUUGAGGCGAUUUGAAAUGUGAUGGAAAGCUAACUCAAAGGGAUACAAUAAUUAUGGAAGUAUCAUGUUUUCAUUUCCAUCGGUUACUAAAUGAAAAAGGUGCCCCAGUCUGAGUAUAUGGAGCAUCACUUGUACGACUGAAAGAUGCAAUUGGUGAAAAAUAUAUUUUAAUAAUUCACUUCUAAUUGCAUCCAAUUGAUCAUAGGUGAUCUCCAAUCAUCAUUUUGUCACCCGAACCAACUAUUGGAAAAUUGCAUUUUUUUCCCCGAACUUUGAAUUCUACAUUUUUCACCUUUUUUUUUGCGCAAAUGCUGAUUUAUACACGCAAGAUUAAUACAAAAUAAGCUAUAAUUAAUCAAAAUCACUAAUAAAUACUCCAAUUUAAUAGACUAGAUAAGUGUACAAAAUCACUUAUCACCUAGUAGCUUAUAAUGCACUUGCAUUUGGAGGCCUAUUUAUUCAAAGGACGCAUUUGAUGAUCUUUACACAUGCUUGUCCAUGUAGCUGCAAUUUGUUUUACUGCUCAUUUUGAGGUGGAAAUCUUCAAUAAACUGCCACCCAACUCUAGUCCAUUGUGGUUGCACCGUGCAUCGGGAAACAAUGAUAUUGGACAUCACACACUUUAUGUAAAUCAAGCACUCAAUUGGAGGUUUUGUGAUCACCUUUUCUGAGUUACAUUGCUUUUCUGCCAUCUAUGGUGGGGUCCAAAGAAUCAAGCAUUUGAAGUUUUUAAUGCAAAAUUGAAACUUUAUUGCCUAAGUAAUCAUUGCAUCCAGAAAGCGAGAAGUGAUGGUAUCUAUUUUCUUUGUGGGGAGGUAGAAACAAAAGAAUAUGGUUGGCAAUAAAAUUCCCCAGUACUUUAAUUCUUAAAUUAAAAUUUUUAUAUCUUUUGAUGUCAUGUUAAAACGCUUAUGAGUUACAUAAGUUAUAAUUGUCGAAGUCAACUUAAUCAUAUCGGUAAUUCAAGCGGUCACCUAAGGUCCCUUAUUCAAGGAAGGUCCUACAAAAAUUUAAAGAAAUUUCAUAUUUUCAUAUUUUAUCUAGUUUUUACUAAAUUAGAAUAAAAUUCCAAUAUUCAAGACUCUUUCACUUCUCUACCUUUUCCUUGUUCUUGAAAACUCGAGAUCAUAUAUUUACAAUUCAUAAUUAACAAACUCUUUAUUAUUACUACUUAUAUUUACAACAACUCAUCGAAGCAAUUGUCAAAAAGCAAUUUUUACCGAUUCGUGUAAGCCUAAUGCUACUAUCAUUUUCUUGGAAAUCAAUGAUUAUCAUUUACUAGCCUCUUCAUGCGUUCUAAUUGAAAACUAUUCAAGUGAUUGAAUGUACUAAAGUUUUUCAUCUUGGUUAGUAAAAAUCAUUUUCUUGUAUCAACUUUAAGGGGAUAAAAAUUGACUUAUAUGAAAAGAGAGAACAAUUUUCAUUUCGGUAAUUACCUAAACUCGAUAAUUUCAACUUUAAAGAAUUUUUUGGGCAAGUGUUGGUUCAUCGAUUUUCUUUCAUUUGAAUUCCAUGGAUACUCGUGUUUGAUAAUUCUCACUUAUGCUAAAUUUAUAAGAUUAAAAAUAUAAUGUGGUGAUUUUACUAUUUUGAAUUUUCGGAUAGAAUUUAGUUUUCUGAGUGUUGAUCAAAUCAUCAAGUUAUAUAACUAGAGUCUUCUAAAUAUUCUCAUGUGGUGGUUUUAGUAAUUUGUGAUAUUAUCAAAUCUUGUCUACGAUUAUAUUAUUUGAUGGAGUUCUACGAAGCAUGUGUUCAUUAUUAUCCUAUUACUCAAACAAUGUAAAAAUAUUGGAAGUCUAUAUUUUAGAAAUUUUAUAAACAACAAAUUUUAUGAAACUUUAUAUCUAUUAUCAAUUUUGCCAUGUCAAAACACCAAGAGUAAUAAUAAAUGUGGAACGUACCUCAAUCCAUUGCUUUAAAUCUUGAAUAUCGACUUGCAACCUUUUUAAUGUUGACUUCUUGCUCACUACAAUAAAAAAAAAAAAAAGAAGCCUUUUGCAACGUUCGAAUGUAUAUUGCAAAUCUCAAUGUUGUUGUAGAAUAGAUGGAUACAACAACUUUUUUGAAGGCUGUUAAUAAUAAUAUUGCAAUGUUUCUUGAAUGUUAGAAAUAGCUUUUUUACAAUCUUUUUUGGCAUUGCUAAUAACAUUUUUGCAACGUUUUUUUAUCAUGCGAAUAACUUUUUUGCAACAUUUUUUUAGUGUUGCUAAUAACAUGUUUAAAGCCUUUUUUUGAUCAUUGCUAAUAACAAUUUUGCAACUUGCUUGAAUGUUGCGAAAAAACUUUUUCCAACUUUUUUGUGCAAUGCUAAUAACAUUUUUGCAACGUUUUUUGAAUGUUACGAAUAACCUUUAUACAACAUUUUUUAAAUGUUGCGAAUAACUUUUUUACAACGCUUUUUAAGUAUUGCUUAUAACAUUUUUGCAACAUUUUUUCAGUGUUUCCAAUAACCUUUUGACAACAUUUUUUGCCCAUUGUCUAUGAUUACAUUCUUGCUUUUUGCAGUUGACCAUUGCAUAGGUUAUUUUACAUUUUUUUUAAUUUUGUUUUUUUAUUUGUAGAGCAAUUUAUAUAAAUCAACCACAAAACAAAAUAGAAGAUAACAAUAUCAAACAACUCUAAUGAUCAUUAUUAAUAUACUCCAUAAUGUAACAAUAUCCACACAAAAUCAAAUCCAAAAUUCUGAUGUACCUAAAACACCAAUACAUUUCUCCCAAAAAAAAAAAAAAAAAAAAAAAAAAGGGGAAGAAGAAGAAGAAAAAAAAAGAAAUUCCACAAACCCUAUUGUAUUCUUGUAGUGGUGUUCUUGCACUCUAAAUGAGAAAGAACUUUCAUCGAAGCAAAAUCACAAUAAAGUUCGUACGAUCAAUUUAAUCAAACCCUACUCAUCUAACUUGUCUACUAUCUCCGUUUCCAAGUGUUUAACUACAACAAAAGGGGCUUUUUAAGGCGUGCGGGCUGCACGCCAUAUAAAGCAAUGCCGUAAAAAGUGUCAACUUUUUACGGCAUACAAUUACACCUUUUACAAACGCCGUUAUUAGUUAUACGAUUUUUAUACAAUGUGCAGGUACACAUCGUAAAUGCGAGUGUUUUACCUUUAUGCCCGCCGUAAAUGUGAGAUUUUACUUUUAACGACGGUGCGGUCACACGCUAAGAAAGGUGACCCUGUUAGCAUUUAUGCGUGCUAAAUGUUAUUUUAAUUUUUAAAAAUAUGUUUAUUUAUUUGAUUACUAUCACCUAUAAUAAUUACACAAAUCCAAUUCCAACUCAACUAAGAUGUAAAUUAAAAUGUUUUUGAAUACAAGCUAGCGUGAUAAACAACACUAAGCUAAUUAAUUAUUCUAAGUUUAGAUGAAAAAAUUAACCCAAACAUUUAUCAUAUAAAUAAAAUGUACCAAGUAAGUUCAACCAACACAAAUAAGUUAUUUUACAAACAAAAGAAUGCUUUCCAACCACAUGAGAACUUGACUAAUAACUAAUGGCUUCUUUCUCUAAAUAUCUCAAGCAUGGAAAGCAUGGUUACGAUAAGACUCGGACUCUGUGAAGAAUGUCACAUUGCGGAGCUCGAUCUAGGUGAGACUUCAGCAAUGCUCAUUUGUAAGCUGCCUGCACCUGAAAUUUCAUCAAAUGUCAGUGAUCAAAUUCCACUUAAUAGUAAUCAAUGGAUAGUUAAAAGUGUUAAGGCCCACAAAAGUAGGAAUGCUAGGAGAACCAAAAUUUUAACAUUAUUUGCCUAAUGAAUUGUGAAAUUAAAAUAGAAAAUAAGUUAAGGAUACCUUUGUUGUGAUUAUAGCAAAUCCACUUCGAUGUACCUAAUUGGCCAGGCUAUUGUACUUCCUAAAGCAUCUUCAAGAAGAAAAAGCUCCCAUGUAGGACAAUAUAAGCUAACAUUAUCAAUCACUUCACUAACCCAAAUUCUCCAACAUUCAUUACCAAGUGGUACAUGAUGCACUAAAUCACUUGGAUUUGUUGAUGCGAUUUCACCUUUUGCAACAACAUCAGCUUUCCUAGACCAAGAUAACAAUUUGCAUUUCCUCCUUUGAAGGUUAUUUGAACCAUCCAAGCUUCUGUCCCUAGUCUGUAAAAUUUAUAUCCAAUUGUACAAUUUAUUAUUUUGAAUGUAGAAAUUAUACGUAAUUUAGAAUAACAUUCAUUAAUUCUAGUUUUCUACUUACAUUAUCUUCUUGUUCAUCACUCUUACUCUUCAUUUGAAACAAAGCUUUUAAUUCUUUAAUUUCAUCUCUCAACUCUUGGACUUGAGUUUGCAAGUUAUUAUUGUGCACCAAAGUAUUCAACUUUGAAGGAGUUGCACCGAAACCAAGACCUCUUACCGAUCCUCGAUUCUGGAUCAAGUACUCUAGGAACACCAUCGUCUUUAAGGCAGUGUUGGCUUGGAGAGGUAACCAUCCCUGAACAUGCUUUUAUUUUGUUCUCAUACGAGGAAAUAAAUUAAUGGGCAAAAACAAAACACUAAAUAAAAAAAUAACAGAACGUAAUUUAUUUGAAGAAAACACAACUUGUUCUCGCGUUCAGCGUUAUUCAAAUACUUUAAAGAAAUAACAUUGAAAACUUUCACAAAAAUAAAUCUAAAUAACUUGUUUACAGGGUUUUCCAUAGGCUCGUUGCACCACUCUCCAUCUUUUCCAUCAUCCAGGCCCAAGGUAGAAUCAUAUCAAUUUGUAGAAAAGGGGUUAAACCCAUGAGUUAAAAAACUCAAUAGAUAUCAUUGGUGCAUUCGUGAUCAAGCUAUACAUUUCAAAGCUGUAACUUUAGAAACCUUUUCAUAGUAGGAUUUUCGGUAGAAUCCCAAACACGUAGAGUCAUGACUUAACACGACGCCUGGACCGGAAGUACAUGCCGUAACCGAAUUAUGGAGGUGUAUGCCGUACCGGAGGUACCAUUAGAUGUAACACUCCGACCCCUAUUAGAUCGGAACGCUACCUACUUUACUUAGCGUAACCGAUGGUUUAGUAACAAGUGUAUACAUUUUAGCAGAAGCUUACAUCUUUGGAUAAUAAUUUAAAUAACAAUACUUCAAAUACUUUAAACAAAAAUACUGAAUCAUUUUUCAAAACAAACAAAUGUAAUUUAUUUGAAAAAAACAUAAUUUGUUCUCGCAUUCUGCGUUAUUCGAAACUUUAAAGAAAUAACAUUGGAAAACAUUUCAUAAAAAUAAAUCCAAAUCACUUAUUCACCGGAUUUUCAUGGACUCGUUGCAUCACUCUCCAUCUUUUCCUCCAUCCAUGCCCGAGGUAGAAUUCCUUCAAUCUGUAGAGAUGGGAUUAAACCCGUGAGUUGAAAAACUCAAUAGGUGUCAUAGGUGCAUUCGUGAUCAAACUAUACAUUUCAAAAUAUUAACUUUAUAACUUUUCAUACAUGCCGUACCCGGAGGCACCAUUUGACAUGAAGGGGUAUCCCGUACCCGAGAGCAUCAUUUGACAUACGAACAUUUCUACAACAUAGAGGGGUAUGCCGUACCGGAGUACCAUUUGACAUACAAACAUUAACAUGAAUCGAAACUUAUAACUUAACAUGAUUAAACGCAUUGCAUCUCUACCUACCUUGAUUGAUGCUUUUGAAACUUUGAGAACUUGGAUUGAAAACUUCGAUGAAACUCUUUCUGUAGUAUGUAAAAGCUCUUGCUUUUGAUGUGAGACAAAAUGAGUGAAAUGAGGUCUCUAUUUAUAGGUAAAUAUCCCAUAAUUUAAAGCAAAUGAAGGGUCAAAUUUCAUUUAAGAGAGAAAACAUGGGUGUCAUUUAAGUUUGAGGUUAAAUGCUUCAAUUUAGUGGGGGGUUUUUAUUGCCAAAAACGUGGGUGGCCCUUUGAGAAAAUAAUUGAUGAAAAUAAAUAUUUAAAUUCUAGAGAAAAACAAGAAUUUUCAUUUCAGGCAGUUUCGAUCGACCGGUUGUAGUCCGGUUGACACUACACAGCCUUCAGUAUUCCUAUUAUAACUUCUUCUCCCAAUAUCUGAUUGAGGUAAUUCAAAGUGCGUUGGAAAGCUAUUGCAACUUUUAUUUAGAUAUCGUUUUCCAAAUCGAAUGUUUCCUAUGUUGAAAAUGGGUCUCAAAUGAGACUAAAAAUCUGAAUUAUACAUUAGUCAUCCAAUAUUCAUGUCUUAGUGUCACUAAGGUAUCUAGAAUUAUUUGGGGUUCUACAUCCCCCACACCUUAAUUAAAAUUUCGUCCUCGAAAUUUACCUUCUAAUUGGGCAAAUAGUGUUGGAUACUUGUCUUUGGCUUCUUCUUCUUUUUCCCAAGUGGCUUAUUUUACGCCGUGAUAAUUCCACUGUAUUUUAACCAGCUAAAUUUCUUUAUUCCUUAAUUUAUGUACUUUUUCGAUCCAAUUUCUUAAUCGGUAGUUCCUCGUAUGACAAAUCUUUCUGUACCUUCAAGGUUUGAUAACUCACUACAUGAUUAAGAUUAUGUACAUACUUCUUUAUCAUCGAUAUAUGGAACACAUUGUGCACUAUUGAUAAUUCAGGUGGCAAAGCUAGUCGGUAAGCCACAUUUUCGACUCUAUCAAGUAUCUCGAAAGGUCCGAUAUACCGGGGUUGUAUCUUGCCUUUCUUUCAAAAUCUAAUUACACUUUCAUCGGUGCUACUUUCAGAAACUCUUUAUUCCCAACUUGGAAUUCUAAAUCCUUCCUCCUUGUAUCUACAUAGCUCUUUUGUUAUCCUGUGUUGCCUUUAUUCUUACACGGAUCUUAUCGAUUACCUCGACCGUCCUUUCAACCAUUUCUAGUCCCAAAACUCUAUUCUCUCCUACUUUAUCCCAAUGAAUAGGGGAUCUACAUCUUCUACCAUAGAGAGCUUUGUAUGGUGACAUUCCAAUAGUUACUUGAAAAUUGUUAUUAUAAGCAAACUUUACUAGAGGUAAGUACGACUCCCAAUUACCUCCUAGAUCUAAAACACAUGUUCUGAAUAUGUCUUCCAAAGUUUGGAUGGUCCUUUCAGAUUGAAUAUGUUGUACUAAAGUUCAGCUUCAUUCCCAUAGCUCCUUGUAGACUUUUCCAAAAUUUGGAUGUGAACCUUGGGUCUCUAUCAGACACAAUGGAUACAGGUACACCGUGUAAUCUCACAACCUCUUUAAUGUACAACUGUGUCAAUUGGUCUAAACUGAAUGUCAUUUUCACUAGAAGAAAAUGAGCAGACUUCAUUAGUCGAUCCACUACUACCCAUAUAGCAUUAUUUUCUCUUGCUGACUUUGGGAAUCCAACCACAAAGUCCAUCAUGAUAUUUUUCCAUUUCCAUUCAGGUAUAUCUAGUGGAUUUAACAAUCCAGUUGGUUUUUGAUGUUCUGCCUUAACCUGUUGACAUACCAUGCCCUUCUACACGUACAACCCUAUACUUCUUUUCAUAUUUCUCCAUCAAAAUGUAUCUCGGAGAUCUCAAUACAUUUUUCGUACCACCGGGAUGUGCGAUGUAUGGGAUGGAAUGAGCUUCUUUCAAUAUCUCGUUUGUCAAGGCUUCAUCCUUAUGCAUGCAAAUUCUUCCUCUAAAUAUUAGUGCUCGAUCCUCAGCUACUCCAAAGUCCUUUUUCUUAUCGGUACCAACUUCAUUCUUAAUCUUCUGCAAAAAUGAGUCUUUCUUUUAUGCUUCUAUAAUUUGAUCUCUAAGAGUAGGUCGAAUUAUUAAAGCUGCUAGACGAGCAGUGACUUAUCUUGGUGUGGUAACCACUCCGAUCUCCAACUUUUCCAAGUCCUUGACUAACUCUACUUGAGAGGUAGGUAGUGACGUCAAUUGUCCCAUUGAAUUUCUACUUAGAGGGUCAGCCACAACAUUAGCCUUACCCGGAUGGUAGUGAAUAGUGCAAUUGUAAUCAUUCACCAAUUCCAACCAUCGUCUUUGUCGCAUAUUCAAUUCCUUCUGUGUGAAGAAAUACUUGAGACUUUUGUGAUCUGUGUAGAUAUCACACUUCCGUCCAUACAAGUAGUGUCGCCAUAUCUUCAAAGUGUGUACUACCGCUACAAGUUCUAAAUCAUGCGUCGGGUAGUUCUGCUCAUGUUUCUUCAAUUGUCUUGAAGCAUAGGCUAUCACUUUUCCAUUCUGCAUUAGUACACAUCCCAAUCCUCACUUGGAUGCUUCGCUGUAUAUAACAAACCCUUUCGUACCUUCAGGAUUUGUUAAUACAAGUACUGAUAUCAACUUCUGCUUAAGUUCUUGGAAACUUUGUUCGCAAUUUUCCGUUCAUUGGAAUUUUACUCCCUUCCUUGUAAGCUGCGUCAUUGGUCCAUCUAUUUUGGAGAAUCCUUCUAUGAAUCUCCUAUGAUAUCUAUCCAAUCCUAGAAAACUCCGUACUUCGCCAGCAUUUGUAGGUACUUUCCAGUUGGUUACUGCUUCUACUUUUGCUAGAUCUACUUCAAUCCCUUGGGCAGUAACUACAUGUCCAAGAAAUCCAACUCAUUCAAGCCAAAACUCGCGCUUCUUGAAUUUCGCAUACAACUUCUCCUUGCGUAAUACCUCUAAGGCUAUUCUCAAGUGCUCUUCAUGUUGCUCCUUACUCUUAGAAUAUAUCAGAAUGUUAUCGAUGAAGACUAUGACAAACUUAUCCAAGUAUUGAUGAAACACUCGAUUCAUCAGGUCUAUGAACACUGCAGGUGCAUUGGUUAGCCCAAACGGCAUCACCGUAAACUCGUAGUGUCCAUAUUGAGUUCUAAAAGUUGUCUUAGGUAUAUCCUUUGUCUCUACUUUCAGUUGAUGGUAUCCCGAUCGUAAGUCAAUCUUGGAAAAUACCUUAGCUCCUUUCAGUUGAUCUAAUAGAUCCUCGAUCCUCGAGAGUGGGUACUUAUUCUUGAUGGUUAAUCAAUUUAUCUCCCUAUAAUCGAUGCACAUCCUCAUGCUUCCAUGUUCCUUCUUUACAAACAACACCGGUACACCCCAUGGAAAUAUGCUUGGUCGUAUGAAGCCCAUAUCUAAGAGUUCUUGCAACUGCUUUUUUAAUUCUUGUAGUUCCUUUGGGGCCAUUUGGUAUGGGGCCUUAGAUACUGGUGCCGCCUCGGGAAUUAGGUCUAUGGUGAAUUCCACUUCUCUAUCGGGUGGAAUACCAAAUAUAUCUUCUGGAAACACAUCUAUGAAUUCUCGUACUACUGGUACAUCUUCAACCCUUAUCAUCUCUUGUUUCCCUCCUGAGAUACUUACUAGAUAUCCUUGACAUGUUUCUUUUCUCAAUAUCUUUUCAGCUUAUAAAGCCGAUACUAGUCAAAUAAGGGGUUUCGUCUUCAUUCCAAGGAACAAAAAUGGUUCCUCUCCUGGUUUUUGAAAUGAUACUUUCAUUUCCUUACAUCAGUUGGUGGCGUAAUUACAACCUAACCAAUCCAUGCCUAGUAUUACAUUAAAAUCCUUCAUUUCUAUCAUGUAUAGGUUCGCUUCCAUUGGUUUUCCCUCAACUUCGAUACUUACUGACUUGGCUAUUCUAUCAGUAUUCAAAGGAUUGCCCAAAGGAAUACUAACUUCUAUUAUUCCUUCCAACUUAUCACAGGUAAUACUAGAUUUAGCCAUAAAAGUUGUUGAAGCAAAGGAGUGUGUAGCUCCUGAAUCAAACAAUACAUAAGCAGGUGUAUUGGCUAUCAGUAGAGUACCUGCUAUGACAUUAGAGUUUUCCUCUGCAUCCUGUUGAGUCAAUGCAAAAACUCGUGCUUUCCCUUUCUGGUUCUGGUCGCUGUUAUCAUCCUUCUUCUGGGUAUGUGUGGGACAAUCCCGAAUGAUAUGUCCUGGCUUGCCACAUCGAAAAUAGACAUUUUUCCCUUGAAAGCACUCGCCACGAUGUGUCCUUCCACACUUAGAACAGGGCGCAAUAACCGGCACAAUGCUUUUGCUAGUAUUGGCUCCGCCAUUAGCUUUCUUAUUCUGGCACUUGCCUUUUCCCUUAUCCUGGCCAUUCCAUUUCCUCUUUCCCAUGUUACCAUUGUCUAAUUGAUUGAACAGUUGACCAUGUUGUUCGGCGCUAGUCUUCUAGUACCAAAUAGCAUGAGCUCUUUCCAGCAUUUCACGGUAUGUGGUGAAACGAUAGGACAUAAGUAUUAUGCUUCUAUCCGAGUUCAGCCCUUGUUCAAACCUUUGUACCUUUUUAUCUUCCGUAUCCACCAGAUGUGGAGCAUACCUUGAAAGUUGAUCAAACUUUCUCUCAUACUCAGUCAGGGACAUAGUCUUUUGCUUGAGUUGGAGGAAUUCACUUUCUUUUUGAUCCCUCAAGGACUGGGGAAGUACUUGUCCAUCACUUCCCCUUUGAAUUGCUCCCAAGUCAAUUCUGCUUGUUGUUCAGGGGUCCUUGUCCUUGACGUUGAGUCCCAUCAGUGACUUGCAUCACCGGAGAACAUGAACUCAGCACACUGGACUUUCUGAGUGUUCGUGCACCCUAUCAAUCGGAAUAUACACUCCAACUUGCGAAGCCACUCCUCGGCUACAAGUGGAUCAACUACUUCAUUGAAGGUAGAGAGUUUGUGCCUUUGAAAUUGCUUGACCAUUGAAGCAUGGUUUGGAACAUUAGGAGCUAGUGGUAGGGGUUGAGCUUGGUUUGGGUUUUGCAUGCCUAGGUCUUGAACCGCUCGGAGGAGGUCUCUUAUCAAGUUUUGGUUUGCGCGAGCCAUUUCCUUUGGACAAAAUGUGUGGUUCUUAUUAGUUUCAUUCUUCGAAUACUAAAGCAAAGAAGAUAGUAUUUUAUUUCGUGACAUAAGGGAAGCUAUUACAAGGAUUUAAAUCUAAUCCCUAUAAGUUCUACGGAUCCUUUUUUUUUUUUUGGUGGAGCUUCAUCAUUGGAGGAGUCUUCCGCCUCAGGUCCGAACUCUAUGUCCAUCUCAACCUGUGGCUCUGGCUCAGGAUCAUUCUCUAAAUCAUCCUCGAGUUCUUCUUUGGGAUCUUCUUCCUCAGCCAAAAGUUCCUCACCAGGCUCCUCAUGGACUACAUUAUCCCAUAAAUCAAUCAGGGUAUGGCAAUACCUCUCAAACUCUAACAGGUUUGGGUUGCCUUCUAACAUUUCAUCCCUAACCGUGACUCCCAUAUCUCUCCAUUGAGGUGGGAGGGAGUGUAUGAGGUUAUUUAUGGCCUCAAUAUGCGUGAUCUCCAUACCAGAAUUAAUCGUCGUCAUGCGUCUCUCAUAGAUGUCAUACACAUGUUCGCUAAGCGAUCGGGUCGGAUUAGUUACAUAAUUUUCAUAAGAAUGAAUAGCAAUUCUACGGUUCAAUGCUUCUCUAUAUGCUCUAGCCAUUCUACGAGCCAUAUCUGUUGCAUUUUCACAUACAUCAUACUUUUUCUUUGCUUAAAGAAAACAUGCAAAUAUUUAAACUUUCAUAUCAUGCAAUUCCCUUUAAGCCCUUAGCUUUUGCCCAAGUCCAUUACAUAUCUUUAAAUAAUACAUCUCUAAGUCAUAUUAAAGCAUCAUAACAUAAGCAUAAUCAUUAACUUUAAACAUGAACAUACCUGGGCAAUAGGAUGAGAUUAAUGAAUGGAUGCACGAUGCUAUGAAAUACCUUAAACUUUUCAUUUUCCUUUUGUUUUAAAAAAAAACAUACUUGGUCUACAGAACCGGCUAAACCUUGCUCUGAUACCAUUAGAUGUAACACCCCGACUCCUAGUGGACCGGAACGCUACUUACUUUACUUAGCUUAACUGGUGGUUUAGUAACAAGUGUACACGUUUUAGUGGAAGCUUACAUCUUCGGAUAAUAAUUUAAAUAACGAUACUUCAAAUACUUUAAACAAAAACACUGAAUCAUUUUUCAAAACAAACAAAUGUAAUUUAUUUGAAGAAAACAUAACUUGUUCUUGCAUUCUGCGCUAUUCAAAACUUUAAAGAAAUAAUAUUGGAAAACAUUUCAUAAAAAUAAAUCCUAAUCACUUAUUCACCGGAUUUUUAUGGCCUCGUUGCAUCACUCUCCAUCUUCUCCUCCAUCCAUGCCCGAGGUAGUAUUCAUUCAAUCUAUAGAGGUGGGAUUAAACCCGUGAGUGGAAAAACUCAAUAGAUGUCAUAGGUGCAUUCGUGAUCAAGCUAUACAUUUCAAAACAUUAACUUUAUAACUUUUCAUACAUGCCGUACCAGGAGGCACCAUUUGACAUGAAGGAGUAUGUCAUACCCAAGGGCAACAUUUGACAUACGAACAUUUCUUCAACAUAGAGGGGUAUGCCGUACCGGAGUACCAUUUGACAUACAACCAUUAACAUAGAGGGAUAUGCCGUACCGGAGUACCAUUUGACAUACAAACAUUAACAUGAAUCAAAACUUAUAACUUAACAUGAUUAAACACAUUGCACCUCUACCUACCUUGAUUAAUGCUUUUGAAAAUUUGAGAACUUGGAUUGAAAACUUCGAUGAAACUUGAAUGUUGAAAGAAAUGCACUCCUUGGAUGUUUGAAAACCUUUGAGAAUUGAUGCUUGAAAACACUUCUUAAAUUUCUAGGAAAAAUAGUUUUCCUCCCUCUCUUUUUCUCUCUUGGAAACUCUUUCUUUAGUAUGUAAAAGCUCUUGCUUUUGGUGUGAGACAAAAUGAGUAAAAUGAGGUCUCUAUUUAUAGGUAAAUAUCCCAUAACUUAAAGCAAAUGAAGGGUCAAAUUUCAUUUAAGAAAGAAAACAUGAGUGUCAUUUAAGUUUGAGGUUAAAUGCUUCAAUUUAGUGGGGUUUUUUAUUGCCAAAAAUGUGGGUGGCCCUUUCAGAAAAUAAUUGAUGAAAAUAAAUAUUUAAAUUCUAGAGAAAAAUGAGAAUUUUCAUUUCAGGUAGUUUCGGUCGACCUGUUCUAGUCCGGUUGACACUGCACAGCUUUCAGUGUUUCUAUCAUAACUUCUUCUCCCAAUAUCCGAUUGAGGUAAUUCAAGAUGUGCUGGAAAGCUAACUCAAAGAGAUAAAACUUCUAUUUAGAUAUCAUUUACCAAAUCGAAUGUUUCCUAUGUCGAAAAUGGGUCUAAAAUGAGGCUAAAAAUUUGAAGUAUACUUUAGUCAUCCAAUAUUCAUGUCUUAGUGCCACUACGGUGUCUAGAAUUAUUUGGGGUUUUACAUUAGAGAUACAAACAUUAACAUAAAUCUUCAUUUGCUAGAAACUUAUCACUUAACACGAAUUAACACUUUGUUCCUCUACCUACCUUGAUUGAUGCUUUGAAUCUUGUUGAAAAAUGUACUCCGUUGAUGUUUCAAAAAAAAACACUCCGUUGAUAAUUGAUGCUUGGAAAACACUUCUUGAUAGCAUCAAAAAUUCUAAGAAAAACUAAUUUUCCUCCCUCUCCUUUUUUUUUUCUAGACUUGAAAACUCUCUCUUUUAUGCUUAGAAGCUUUUGUCUUGGUGUGAAAAAUGUGUAUGCAUUGAGGCCUAUUUAUAGGUGAAAAUCUCACAAUUUAAGGGCAAGUGAAGGGCCUAAUAAUCAUUAAUACGGGUGCCAUUUAUGUGGGAGUUAUAGGUUUAAGAAGGUGCUAGAAAAUCGUGUAGGAAUUUGACUUUUCAUAUUCCGCGUGCUUCAAUUGAUACUAUACAACCUUUAGUAUUUCUAUCAUAACUUCUGCUCCCGAUAUUCGAUUGAGGUAAUUUAGAGUGUGUUGGAAAGCUAACUCAAAGAGGUACAACUUUUCUUUAGAUAUCAUUUUCCAAAUCAAAUGUUUUCUAUGACAUAAAUGGGUCUCAAAUGAGACUAAAAAUCUAAAGUAUACUUUAGCCAUCCAAUAUUCAUGUCUAAGUACCACUAAGGUAUUUAAAAAUUAUUUGGGGUUCUACAUCCCCCACACCUUAAUUAAAAUUUCGUCCUUGAAAUUUACCUUUUGAUUGGGUGAAUAGUGUUGGAUACUUGUUUUUGGCUUCCUCUUCCCCUUCCCAAGUGGCCUCUUCUAUUUCAUGAUUAUUCCAUUGUAUUUUAACCAAUUGAAUUUCUUUGUUCCUUAAUUUAUGCACCUUUCGAUCCAAUAUCCUAAUUGAUAUCUCUUCAUAGGAUAAGUCCUUUUGUACUUCUAUGGACUGAUAGUUCACUACAUAAUUAGGAUCAUGCACGUAUUUCAUGAUCAUUGAUACAUGGAACACGUUGUGCACUGCCGAUAACCUAGGUGGGAGAGCUAACCGAUAGGCUACAUUUUCGACCCUAUCAAGUAUCUCCAAUGGUCCGAUAUAGCGGGGUCGUAGCUUUCCUUUCUUGCCAAACCUAAGUACACCUUUCAUCGGUGUCACUUUCAAAAACACUUUUUCUCCAACUUUAAAUUCUAAAUCCUUCCUCCUUGUAUCCGCAUAGCUCUUCUAUCGAUCCUGUGCUGUCUUUAUCCUUGAAUGGAUCUUAUCGAUUGCCUCAACUGUCCUUUCAAUUAUUUCUAGUCCCAAAACUCUCUUCUCCCUGACUUCAUCCAAUGAACAAGAGACCUACAUCUUCUACCAUAGAGAGCUUCGUACGGUGCCAUCCCGAUAGUUGCUUAGAAGUUGUUAAUAUAUGUGAAUUCUACUAGGGAUAUGUAUGACUCCCAACUACCCCCUAGAUCCAAAACACAUGCUCUCAGCAUGUCUUCCAAAGUUUGGAUGGUCUUUUCAGAUUGACCAUCGGACUGAGAGUGAUAUGCUGUACUAAAGUUCAGCUUCAUUCUCAUAGCUCCUUGUAGAUUUUUCCAAAAUUUGGACGUGAACCUUGGGUCUCUGUCAGACACAAUGGACACAGGUACACCGUGUAAUCUCACAACCUCUUUAAUGUACAACUGUGCGAAUUGGUCUAAACUGAAUGUCAUUUUCACUGGAAGAAAAUGAGCUGACUUUGUUAAUCGAUCCACUAUUACCCAUACAAUGUUGUUUCCUCUUGCUGACUUUGGGAAUCCAUCCACAAAGUCCAUUGUGAUAUUUUUCCAUUUCCAUUCGGGUAUGUCCAGUAGAUUUAACAAUCCAGCCGGUCUUUGGUGUUCUGCCUUAACCCGUUGACAUACCAUGCACUUUUCCACGUACAACCCUAUACUUCUUUUCAUAUUCUCCACCAAAAUGUAUCUCAGAGGUCUCGAUACAUUUUCAUACCACCGGAAUGUGCGGUGUAUGGGGUGGAAUGGGCCUUUUUCAAUAUCUCGUUUCUCAAUGCUUCAUCCUUAGGCACACAAAUUCUCUCCUUAAACAUCAGUGUCUGAUCCAAAGCUAUUCCAAAAUCCUUUCUCUUAUCAGUACCAAUUUCAUUUUUGAUCUUCAAUAAGAAUGGGUCAUUACCUUGUGUCUCUAUAAUUCGAUCUCUAAGAAUAGUCGAAUUAUCAAAACUGCUAGACGAGCAGUGACUUGUCCUGGUAUGGUAACCACUUCGAUCUGACUUUUCCAAGUCCUUGACUAACUCCAUUUGAAAAGUGGGUAGUGACGACAACUGUCCCAUUGAUUUUCUACUUAAGGCAUCGGCUACAACAUUAGCCUUACUUGGAUGGUAAUGGAUAGUAGAAUCGUAAUCAUUCACCAAUUCCAACCAUCAUCUUUGUCGCAUAUUCAAUUCCUUCUGUGUUAAUAAAUAUUUGAGACUCUUGUGAUCUAUGUAGAUAUCGCACUUCCCUCUAUACAAGUAGUGUCACCGUAUCUUCAAGGCGUGUACUACCGUCGCAAGUUCUAAAUCAUGCGUCGGGUAGUUGUGCUCAUGUUUCUUCAAUUGUCUUGAUGCAUAGGCUAUCACUUUUCCAUUCUGCAUAAACACACAUCCCAAUCCUUGGUUGGAUGCAUCACUGUAUAUAACAAACCCUUCUGUACCCUCUGUUUUAGUUCUUGGAAACUUUGUUCACAUUUAUCUGUCCAUUGAAAUUUUACUCCCUUCCUUGUAAGCUGCGUCAUUGGUCCAGUUAUUUUGGAGAAUCCUUUUAUGAAUCUCCGAUAAUAUCCUGCUAAUCCUAGAAAGCUCCGUACCUCGCCAGCAUUAGUUGGUGCUUUCUAGUUGGUUACUACUUCCCCUUUUGCUGGAUCUACCUCAAUCCCUUGGGCAGUGACUAUAUGUCCAAGAAAUCAAACUCGUUCAAGCCAGAACUUACACUUCUUGAAUUUGGCAUACAACUUUUCCUUGCAUAAUACCUCUAAUGCUAUUCUUAGGUGCUCUUCAUGUUGCUCCUUACUCUUGGAAUAUAUUAGAAUGUCAUAAAUGAAGACUAUGACAAAUUUCUCCAAGUACUGAUAAAAUACACGAUUCAUCAGGUCCAUAAACAUUGCAGGUGCAUUGGUUAGCCCAAAUGGCAUCACUGUAAACUCGUACUAUCCAUAACGAGUUCUGAAAGCUGUUUUGGGUAUAUCCUUUGACUUUACUUUCAAUUGAUGGUAUCCCGAUCGUAAAUCGAUCUUGGAAAAUACCUUCGAUCCUUUCAGUUGAUCUAAUAGAUCCUCCAUUCUCGAGAGUGGGUACUUAUUCUUGAUAGUUAAUUAAUUUAACUCCCUAUAAUCGAUGCACAUUCUCAUGCUUCCAUCCUUUUUCUUCACGAACAACACCGGCGCACCCCAUGGAGAUACACUUGGUCAUAUAAAGCCCAUAUCUAGGAGUUCUUGCAACUACUUCUUUAACUCUUGUAGUUCCUUCGGGGCCAUUCGGUAUGGGGCUUUUGACAUUGGUGCCACUCCAAGAAUUAGAUCUAUGGUGAAUUCCACUUGCCUAUCUAGUGGAAUACCAUAUAGAUCUUCUGGAAAUACAUCUACGAAUUCUCGUACUAUUGGUACGUCUUCAACCUUUAUCAUUUCUUGUUUCCCUCCUGAGAUGUUUACUAAAUAUCCUUGACAUGUUUCUUUUCUCAACAUCUUCUCAGCUUGUAAAGUCGAUACUAGUCGAAUAAGGGAUUUCGUCUUCAUUCCAAGGAACGAAAAUGGUUCCUCUCUUGGUUUUUGAAAUGAUACCUUCCUUUCCUUACAUCGGAUGGUAGCGUAAUUACAACCCAACCAAUCCAUACCUAGUAUUACAUCAAAAUCCUUCAUUUAUGUCAUGUAUAGGUUCACUUCCAUUGGUUUUUCCUCAACUUCAAUACUUACUGAUUUGGCUAUUCUAUCAGUACUCAAAGGGUUGCUUGAAGGAAUGCUAACCUCUAAUGUACCUUCGGACUUAUCACAGGUAAUACUAGAUUUAGCCAUAAAAGUUUUUGAUACAAAGGAGUGUGUGGCUCCUAAAUCAAACAAUACAUAAGCAGGCGUAUUGGCCAUCAAUAAAGUAUCUGCUAUGACGUUCGAGUUUUCCUCUGGAUCUUUCUGAGUCAUUGCAAAAACUCGUGCUUUCCCUUUUUGGUUCUGGUCAUUGUUAUUAUCCUUCUUCGAGGUAAAUGUGGGACAAUCCUUAAAAAUAUGCCCUGGCUUGCCACAUCUGAAACAGACAUUCUUCCCUUGCAAACACACUCCAGGAUACGUCUUUCCACACUUAGGACAUGGCUCUAUAAUUGGCACAAUGCUCUUGUUGGCAUUGGCUCCGUCAUUAGCUUUCUUGCUUUGCCACUUGCCCUUUCCCUUGUCCUGGCCAUUCCAUUUCCUUCUAUCCAUACUACCAUUGUCCGUUUGAUUGAACAAUUGACUAUGUUACUCGAUGCUAGUCUUCUAGUACCAGAUAGCAUGAUCUCUUUCCAGCAUUUCAUGGUAUGAGGUGAAACAAUGUGACAUAAGUAUCAUGCUUAUAUCUGGGUUCAACCCUUGUUCAAACCUCCUCACUUUCUUGUCCUCCGUAUCCACCAAAUAUGGAGCAUACCUUGAAAGUUGUUCGAACUUCCUUUCAUUCUCAGUCAGGGACAUAGUCUUUUGCUUGAGUUGGAGAAAUUCACUUUCUUUGUGAUCCCUCAAAGACUGUGGAAAGUACUUGUCCAUUACAUCAUCUUUAAAUUGCUCCCAAGUCAAUUUCGCUUGUUGCUCUGGGGUUCUCGUCCUUAAUAUCGAGUCCCACCAGUGGCUUGCAUCAUCAGAGAACAUAAACUCAGCACACUGGAUCUUCUGGGCAUCCAUGCACCCUAUUAAUCGAAAUAUUCUCUUCAACUUGCGAAGUCACUCCUCGGCUGCAAGUGGAUUAGCUGCUCCAUUGAAGGUAGGGGACUUGUGUCUUCUAAAUUGCUCGACCACUAAAGCAUGGGUUGGAGAAGCAUUAGGCGCUAGUGAUAGGGGUUGCGCCUAGUUCGGGUUUUGCCUGCCAAGGUCUUGGACUGCUUGGAGGAGAUCUCUUAUCAAAUUGGUUUGGUUUGCGCCAUUUUCCUUUAGACAAAACGUAUGGUUCUUAUUCGUUUAUACUUCGAAUUCUAACAAAGAAGAUAAAGUUUUAUUUCUUGACAUAAAUGAAGUUGUUACAAGGAUUUAAAUCUAAUCCCUAUAAGUUCUACAGAUCUUCUUUGGUGGAGCCUCAUCUCUAGAGGAGUCUUCCGCCUCAGGUCCGGAUUCUAUGUCCAUCUCCAUCUGUGGCUCGGGCUCAAGAUCAUUCCCUUCUUUAGGUUCUUCUUCAUCAAGUUCAAUUACUAUCUCUGGUUGAUGUUCUAAGUUUUCCCUCCAUAGGUCUGGGAGCUAUUGGCAAUACACUUCAAACUCAAAUAUAUUUGAGUGCUUCUCUAGCAUUACAUUCCUAACCAUGACUCCCAUAUCUCCCCAUUGAGGUGGAAGGGAGUAUAUGAGGUUAUUUAUAGCCUCAAUAUGCAUUAUCUCCAUUCCAGUGUUCAUCACUGUCAUGCAUCUCUCAUAGACAUCAUGUAUAUGUUCGUCAAGUCGACGGAGCACAUCAGUCACGUAAUUCUCAUAGGAUUGAAUGGCGAUUCUACGAUUCAAUACUCCUCUAAAUGCCCUAAUUGUUUUACGAGUCAUAUAUGUUGCAUUUUCACAUAUCAUACACAUUUUUUUUUUACUCUUGGAAAAAUAGCUACUGUUACAUAAUAUUCUACCUAUAAAUUCUAGCCCAAUGUGUAUCUUUUGAAAAAAACAUAUCUUUCAAAUCAUUUCUAACUAGCAUAGUAUAUCUUUGAAAAUAAGCAUAAGUUGUACCAUAUCAUCGCAAAGUAUCAUAACAUAGUCUUUUCAUGAAAACAUUAACUUUGAACAUACCUGGGCUGUAGGAUGAGAUUGAUGGAUGGGUGCAAGAUGCCAUGGAGUAUCUUAGACUUUUUCAUUUUUAAAAAAAAAAAUACUUGGUCUACAGAACCGACUAAAUUGUGCUCUGAUACCACGCCGUAACGCCCUGACCCCUUGUGGAUCGGAACACUACUUACUUUGCUUAACUAACUGAUGGUUUAGUCAUAGGAGAAUAUAUUUUAGCAGAAGCUUAAUUUUUACAAUGAUAAUUUUAACAACAAUCUUUCGAAUACUUUAAAUAAAAUACUGAAUAAAAAAAUAACGAAACGUAAUUUAUUUGAAGAAAACACAACUUGUUCUUGCGUUCAGCAUUAUUCAAAUACUUUAAAGAAAUAACAUUAAAAACGUUCACAAAAAUAAAUCUAAAUAACUUGUUCACCGAGUUUUCCAUGGGCUCGUUGCACCACUCUCCAUCUUUUCCAUCAUCUAGACCCAAGGUAGAAUCAUAUCAAUCUAUCGAGAAGGGGUUAAACCCGCGAGUUAAAAAACUCAUUAGAUAUCAUUGGUACAUUCGUGAUCAAGCUAUACAUUUCAAAGCUGUAACUUUCGAAACCUUUUUAUAGUAGGAAUUUCGGUAGAAUCCCAAACACGUAGAGUCAUGACUUAACACGACGCCUCGAUCGGAAGUACAUGUCAUACCCGAAUGUACCAUUAGACAUGGAGGUGAAAAAUGUGUAUGCACUAGGGCCUCUUUAUAGGUGAAAAUCUCACGAAUUAAGGGCAAGUGAAGGGCCUAAUACUCAUUAAUACGGAUGCCAUUUAUGUUGGAGUUAUAGGUGUAAGAAGGUGCUAGAAAAUCGUGUAGGAAUUUGACUUUUCAUAUUCCGCGUACUUCGGUUGAUACUGUAUAGUCUUUAAUAUUUCUAUCAUAACUUUUUCUCUCGAUAUCCGAUUGAGGUAAUUCAAAGUGAGUUGGAAAGCUCGCUCAAAGAGCUACAACUUUUCUAUAGAUAUCAUCUUCCAAUUCGAAUGGUUUCUAUGUUUUAAAUGGGUCUCAAAUGAGACUAAAAAUCUUAAGUAUAUUUUAGCCAUCCAAUAUUCAUGUCUUAGUGCCACUAAGGUGUUUUAAAAUUAUUUCGGGUUCUACAAUAAAUAUAAACUUUGAAUGACCAAAAGUCACUAAAAGAAAUAUUGUUAACAAUGUUUCCCAACUGAUUCAUCUAUAGGUUCACCAUUUUUUCGUGUAUGUCCUCGAAUAUAAACAUCAUCUCUCGUUAUGGAAUCUGUGUCUUCAAUUUCAGCAUGCUACAUUUUACUUAAUUAAUAUAUGUGAUAGCAUAAGCGUUUAAAAUUUUUCAAGCAAAUUUAAUUUUUAAUUUAACAAAUUUUUACCUUUUCUGCUUCUAAAUGAGCAAAGCCCUUUCUACUUGUUGAAUGCAUUAGGGUUUGACUUGCUCUCAUCUUUAUGAAUCUUUCACUCUUUUCCUACAACAUCAAUUAGUACUUUGAAAGAAUAACUUUUAUUAGGAAUAUAAAGCAAAUGUAGCAAGCAAUUUAGGAAAAAGUAAUGAAAUUUUACCUUAUAUGGUUGAGAAUUGCAUUCUAUGACAAAUGUUUGUCAUUCUUUCAUUGAUUCAACAUUAUCAGGCUUGAGGAAAGCAGCAGCUCAUGUCAUGCCAAUUGUUUUCCCCCUGUCAUUGAUUGCAUUAAGCACAUUAGAUCAUGAUCUUGCCAAUUCUUUCCCAUUUUUUGCAUGAUGUAUUUUCUAUGACAAGUGUCAACAUCAAACUUUUGCUGCAUCAAAGCACACAAUAUUAAUAGUAAUUUAAAUUAAAUUAUAUAAGAGACGCAAAGUUUAUAGUAACUGCACAUGCUCCCAUAUGUCAUCAAGAAAAUUUUUGCUGAUAUCUUUCCAAUUUUUCCACGUAAUUGGUAUAAGUUCUCUGGCUGUGGUCCCAAAAAAUGAUGAUAACUUUGUUGAACCUUUAUAAAUUGGCUGCCCUCUUUCAUUAAACUCUAUUGAUAACUUCUCGCCUCUUCUCUUGUUUAAAUAAUUCAAUUUUGCUCGACCCCUUUCCUUCUUUCCUUUUUCAGUAGUACUAACACUAUUAGGCAACAGUUUUACAUCAUGUUGCACAUCAUUUACUUGUGUGUUUGGAAUAGAAUUAGAACCUCAUUAUGAUAUUCUUAUCCAUUCAUUAUCUUAUCUUGUGGCCGCAACAUUUAAAGAUUUGUUUAGCUCGUUUUGACUUUUUAUAGCCUUGAUUAGAUGACUAUAUUAAACAAGUAAGAAAAACAAGAAAUAUUUUACUUGAAUUUAUACUUCACCAAGAUAUUUCAUCUUAUUCCACUCGUGUAAACAUCCGCAUAAAAAAAACUCAGCUUUCAUCGUUUGCAUCUAUAAAAAUAAAGCAAGAAAUAGUGGAAUUAGAGACAAUAAUGACAUUAACAUCAAUAUAAUAUUAGAUAACUAGUAAAUUAAAAUAGAGCAAGAAAGAAUCUUAAAGAUAUACAACUACCAUAUUCAAUAUCAAUGCCCUCACAAUCAUGUCUUAAAUAACCUUCAUCUUCAACGGUCAUAUCAAGUCUUAAUGCAUCUAAAGUGGAUGGAGUAUAAGCAUCCUCAUCACAAUUUUCUAACUCAUGAAAUCCUCUAGGAGGUGCCUUUAAUACAAUAUACCAAUUAGAUGUAUCGCUCUAUCUAGAAUAAAAAAACUUGUUUUGCUUAUGAAACUAAAAUAAAUGAAUCUCUUUCAAAUAGAUAUUGUCCUUUAUGAAGAUUUACCAGUGUAAAUCCUUCUUCAAUCUUGACUCCACUAUCUAUAUUUGCCCAAUCACAAUGAAACAUAAGAAUUUUAAAACUAUGAUAAUCUAGUAAAAUAAUGUCCCUGAUAACCCCGUAAUAAGAUAUUUUACCAACUACAUGGCUUAUAUCCUUCACACUAGACCAGCAAAUAGUUUGUGCUUCAACAGAAACACCACUAUUUUGUGCACUUCUACUAACAUCAGUUGUAUGAAAUCGAUGUCUAUUGAUAACAUAACCAAAAUGUGACAUCACAUCAUAUCCAGGCCACCGUGCAAGCCAUUUCAACAUAUUAGACAUGUUACAAUUGUCUUGACUGCCUUUCUCCGCAAACCAAGAAGUGAAAGUCUCCAUAUGUCUCAUUUGUAAUAAGGUUUCAUUCUUGCCAAUAUGGCUAUCUGAAUUCUUAAUCUCCUCUUUAUGCAUCCUAAAGGAAAAUAAAUAAAUAAAUGUAAGGGAAGUUUGAGAGAAUAUUAAUCAAUGUUAAACUAAUAAAUUAACUAGCUUCAUUACAUUAUGUAUGGCUCAACUGCAAUGCUGUUAAACUGCACAUAAUGAUGAGCGACCUCUAACAUUUCUGGACUCAAAGUCUUUGACUUUCCUUUAGAAAUCGGACAUCCAUCAAUAAUUGUUUCAUUCUCAAAAUCUUCAUUUCGAGUAUGUCGAACACCUACUUCAGCGACUUGUUUCAUGUAACCAAUACCAAAAUGCAUACAUUCAUCGGCUGAAUAACGCUUUGCUAUGCAGCCCUCGAGUCUUGAACGAUUUCUAACAUAUCCUUUAAGUGUUUUUAUAAACCCAAUUAAUCAUAUAAUGCGCAUUAGAUAUCUAAGUAAUUAGAAGAAAAAAGUUUGAAUACUUACAAAAGCAUAAUAGUAAUUUAUCUCUCAAAUGGAAACAUCCAACGAUAUUGUAUAGGUCUACCAAUACGAACUUCACGCUCAAGGUGGAUUGUUAAAUGAAUCAUUAUGUCAAAAAGGGAUGGGGAGAAAUACAUUUCUAGCAUAGACAAAGUCACAACGAAAUCCUCCUCAGGUUUUUCUAAUUUAUUUUUAUCGAUGACUCUUUAACAUAUUUCAUCCAAAAAUGCACAUAGUCGAAAAAUUGCAUUUCUUAGUCCUCUUAAUGCAACUGAUAGCAAUUGUUGUAUGAGCACACGGCAAUCAUGUGACUUUAGAUUUAAAAUCCUAUUAUCUGCUAAUGAUACACACUUUGAAAUGUUAGGUAACUUUAAAUUAAAUAGCCUCUUACAGAACAACUCUCUCUCUUUUUUUGGAUGUCAUAUAUGAUGUUGCGGGGAGGUAAUAUAUAUUUCCUUUCAAUUCUUGAUGAAGCAAUUUUCUAAUAUCCAUAUUGAGUAAAUCCUUAUUGGAAUUUAACCCAUCUUUUGAUUUUCCCUUCACAUGCAAAAUAGUGCCAAGAAUGCUUUUGCAAACAUUCUCCUCAAUGUGCAUUAUAUCCAAAUUAUGGUGCAAAAGUAGUGUCUGAAAAAUAACAAUAUAAAUUUUAAAAAAGUCUAAGUAAAUAAAAACUAAUUCAAAAUAAUUUAAAAUCACUAACCUUCCAAUAUGGUAGCUCAAAAAAUAUUGACUUUUUUAUCCAUGGCCAAUUGGAAUUUGAUUUUUCAUCUUUCCCUUUUUCCUAUUUUUCCCCAAUUAUUGCUAACAUUCUUGAUUGGACACAUCACUUCUCGAUCAGUUAAUAUUUUAGGACUCGGUCUAUGCUCCUUGUUUCCAUCAAACCAAGCUUCUUUUGACCAAUAAGGAUAUGAUUAUAUGCAAGAAAUCUUCUAUGACAUUUGUACAAAAAACUUUCGACUAUAAGUCAACCAUUUUGUACAUGUGGAUAAACCACAUAUUGGACAUGCUACUUCGCCGUUUGUAAGAUAUCCUGAUAAGUUCCCAUAAGUCGGAAGAUCAUUAAUUGUCCACAUCAGCAAAGCUUUUAAAUUGAAGGUGGAUUGGUAAAUCCAUCAUAUACUUUGACAUCAAUAUUCCACAACUCCUUUAAGUCUUCUAUUAGUGGUUCUAGAUACAUGUCUAUAUCAUUUUCAGGUUGCUUGAGACUUGGGAUUAAUAAAGCCAACAACAAAUUUUCCUUAGACAUGCAUAUCCAAGGAGGGAGAUUAUAUAUAACUAGUAUCACUGGCCAACAACUAUACCUAGAACUUAGGUCACCAAAGGGAUUAAAUCCAUUAGAAGAAAGGCCAAGCCUAUGAUUUCGUGGUUUAGAUGCAAAACAAGGCCAUUUUUUAUCAAUUCUCUACCAAGCUAAUGAAUCAAUUGGAUGACGCAUUUCCCCAUCUAGGCUUUUGUGAAUUGAGUGCCAUAUUAAGUGUUCUGCCUUAUCAAGUGAUCUAAAUAUUCUUCUAUAUCGUGGUAUAGUAAAAAAAUAUCACAAAACCUUUACAGGUAUCCCUUUUUGAAUCUUUUUAGAUGGUUUAUUAAUUUCCACAGUGAAGAUGCACAUUUUGGACAUGUCUUCAAAUUCUCUAGAUCAUUUCUAAACAAACAACAAUCAUUUACGCAUGCAUGUAUCUUCUCAUACCCCAAGUCAAAGGUUUUCAAUAACCUUUUAAUUGAAUUGCAAGAAUUAAGAAGGGUAUUCCCAUGUGGUAGUAUAUCUCGGAUAAUAUCAAGAAGUUCAUUGAAACCGUUGUCAGAUAUACCAUAUGUAGCUUUAAGCUUGUAUAAGACAACAGUUGCAAAUAUCCUUGUAUACUCUGUGCAACAAAGAUAUGGAAGAAUUUCUACGCCCUCCUAUAAAUUUGAAAAAUCUCUCUCUCUAUGUUCAUUCUCGACUUCUACACUAUUAUAAUCUUGAAAAAAUGCAUCUCUGUACAUCCUAUACAUCUCUAUAUUUUCUACAACUUGAGAAGGCAAUGAUGCUGCAUUCGAUUUUUUCCCAUGAAACACCUAGGUAGUAUAUGUAGGAUCCAUGCCAUUGAUGAUCAAAUGUCCACACAUUAUAUCAAAAUGUUGGUGGAAUAGGUUUUUACAACAUUUGCAAAGGCGUAUGACCUUUUCUGGAUUUAUGGCAUUGGCUUGCGCCAUAUUUGCAAAUUUGCUCGCACCACAUUGAUAUGCCUAUGAAAAUCUAUUAAAAAAAUGCUAAAUAAGUCAUCUAAAAAGCAUUUGAAGACAUAUUUUAAAAUAUUCUAAAUUUAAGAGGACAAGAUAACUUUGAUAAGUGUACCCAAUCUUUAUCCAUGGUAAUAUAACAACACUAUUAAGUUAUAAUAUGUUAUAAUAUUGUAAAAAUGAAGUGAAAAUUAUUAUAUUAGGAUAUCAUAGAAAUCAAGUUUAAAUUAGGUAAGCCAUUUUGACAAUAAAGUUUCACACAAAGUGGAAUUAGAAAAAAUAAUUCAAACCUAAAUUAAGACAGGUGAAAUUGGAACACUAGAACCUCUUUCAACACUACAGCAAUCUGUUGAGAAAUUAAUUGAGAAUUUGGUUAAGAAUGUGGUCAAUAGAAAUAUUUAUGAAAGACGAAGGCCUAUUGAUGUGUAUUUUUAGCGAAAGGCCUCAUGGAGGCAUUAUAAUUUGAUUGUGUAAUUUGAUUUCUCAAGAUGCAAAAAGACAAUAAAUUAGUUAAGAUAUUUAGUGUCAAUCAAAGUAUAGUUGAAUCCAAAAUAUUCCACCAAACAUAAAUAAAAAUCAUUCACUAAUUAUGGUUACAUCUAAAUGUAAAAAGAGUACAACGACCAUACAUUGUAUCUAUUGUUAUGCAACUAAAAAAAUAUAAUUCUCAUUAUCAUGAAUUAGACAUGCUGUUGAUCCUCAUUAAAGCUGUGUUCAUCAUCAAAGUUAUUCUAUUCGCACUCAGUAGCAUCAUCUUCCUCAUUAGCAUUAUCCUCCAUUGACAUUGGUAUAAAAAAUGAUACAGCAAAGUCGGGAACUUUACCGCAUAUAUAGCUAACGCAUAGAAUAAUGCCAAGAAUGCAAUGUAGAAUUGAAUUGUUUUUCAACAACCUUUAGCUUGUUUUGCAUCCUUUGCGCCAUCUUCAUCUAGCUGCAUUGGCUAUGCGUACAUUGGAAGAAGGUGUACCAACGUCUUGAAGGUUACCAUCUCUCAACCAACGAAUUCGACGUUUAGGCUUCUAACCUAGAAUAUACAUCAUGAUAUUAAGUCUACUCUGAUUAGCAAAUUCUUUGAUCUACAUGUGGCAGUAUUAUUGCAGAUGGGUAAUCAAUUCUUGUGUAUUUUGUAAUUUUAUGAACCCAUCAAAUACAAAUCCAAUGGAAUGAUGAGGUAAUUGAAACUUUCUCCUCUUAUGUAAAAUUCACUGUUGACCAUUUAGCAACUAGCACUCUCAAAUCUUGCAUUGACAUUUUAUCGAACAACUGAGGAAGAAAGAACUUGACUAGAAUGAUAACACUUUCCUGCAGCCAGUGGAGUCAAUCUUCUAAUAAUGUGCUUGAAGGACUACUCGCAAGCAGUGAUAUACUUUACCAAUAAAAUGUUGUGAUCAUUUAAAAAGAAAAUAGCACGUGUCAUUAGUUAAAACACGUCAAAUUGAAGAAAAGUCCAAUUCCACUGCAUAUUGUUGCAUCAAAGGGAUGAAAAACAACAUAAUUCACCUAAAAUAUUGGAGUUCACAAGCAACAGAAGUGAGCAACAGAACUGCAAAGGUUCUUCAAUCCAGAAAAAAUGACAGUAUCGUCAUGCCUGCCAAAAGAAACCUUCUACUGCUGGAUCAGAUCCAACUGCAGCAAGUAUCUUUUCUUUUUCAAUGAAAAAGUGGAGUACCACAUUCUGUGAUAAUAUCACAGAUGUAAGGCUUUCCUGCAAGUACUUCAUACGAGCCUAAAGUUGAAGAACGUUAAAGUAAAUGACAAACAUAUUUACCUGGAGAGCAUCAUGAGGGUUGUUCAUCUCUUUUUCUUCCAAUAGACCAAUCUUCUCAAAAUUAUGACCAUACUCAACCAAAUGAUUCAACACCGAGUAUGUAUUUGUCUAGUUAUCCCAACACACGGUACCUAUAAGUAUUCAGUUUGAAAUUAUUAAGCAAGUCAAAAUAAUGGAUCAAUAAUACACCUAUCACCCUCUUCAUGUGAAGGGAGACAACAAUAUUAUUGUCUAUAAAUGUAUCUGAUUCUAUUGAUGAAGAUUAAGAAUCUUAUUGAGAGAGAAAAUUAUUAUCCACUUUCAUAAACGCUAUUUCCUACUCUUAAUAACAAAGAUUAGAACCAGUCUAUUACCAGGGAGCCUUACUGUCUAGCUAAACCUUUAACGAAGCUGUUAAUUGUGAAAAAAAAAAAAACAGAGUUAAAUACAUAGCCAGGUCCUGCAAUGAAGAUGUCAAAUUUAUUGUGGGAUGUGAACUCAUGCAUACCUAGUGCAAAUAUUGGCAACCCAAUUUCAAGGUGUAGCCAAGUGAACAACGAAGCUAAUCUUAGGCUUUAAGUGCAUUGCAUAUGCCAAAGCAAUUUCACACGAUUCACAGACGAAUCAUCAAUACCACAAUUUCUACUACCAAGUACUAACCAUAGGUAAUGCUAAUAAACAUGAAAUUUUGGCACACAAGUUUUAUAUAUAAUUAAAAUAAAGGAACGGAUUAAAAAACCGAUGCAGUUGACCCUUGAAAAUUCUCUCUCUUUUGACAAAAAAUAAAUUUCAGCACGAAAUUAUCUAGAAAAUUACUCAAAUUAAACUAAAACAUAAAUAACUAAUGUCACUCACUUUCCAAGUUUUAGGACACCAAGCCAACAUAGUCUCAAAACUCAGGAAAGAAUCAAAUGGAAACAAUCUUCGCUACCAAUUGUCGAAACAUAAACGAGGACUAUAAACAUGUAUUUGACGUAAAGUUGUGAAGAUACCAUGAAAGAUUUGAAAAUUAUUUUAUAAUCUUACUCAAAAUAAGAAAUAAUUGAGGACUUAAUCGCUAAAACAAGCGAUGAACAAAAUCUAAUUGAAUCAUAUCCUAUCUUUUUAUGAAAUAUCUAACAAAGAUCCUCCUUUUGGUAGACCGCUGAGGAAGAAAAGCCUUAAUGCUCAACAAUGGCUUUAAACAUAAAACUAUUCAGCAUUAAAUUCUAGGUGUUUUGGAUGAAUGAUUUUAAUAAUUACGUCAAAAAAUAGAGAUUUUUGAGUUGAUCAAAAAGGGGGAAAAAACCUCGGUAUUCAACAGCUCAGGCUCAAAGAAUGCAUUUAUAUUUAUUUUCUUACCAUUGUUGGCUAGUUACGUGAUUCCUCUACAUUCAUUCAUAUACAGAAAUUAUGUGCUAUUUGUGGCAUUUAAUUUAAAGCAACGGGAUAGUACUCAAAAAUAAGACUGCAAGUGAGUAUUAAUCUCACCAAUUAAAAUAGAAAUUAAUCUUUCUUCAAAGAUUAGAACCAGUCUAUUACCAGGGAGCCUUACUGUCUGGCUAAACCUUUAACGAAGCUGUUAAUUGUGAAAAAAAAAAAAACAGAGUUAAAUACAUAGCCAGGUCCUGCAAUGAAGAUGUCAAAUUUAUUGUGGGAUGUGAACUCAUGCAUACCUAGUGCAAAUAUUGGCAACCCAAUUUCAAGGUGUAGCCAAGUGAACAACGAAGCUAAUCUUAGGCUUUAAGUGCAUUGCAUAUGCCAAAGCAAUUUCACACGAUUCACAGACGAAUCAUCAAUACCACAAUUUCUACUACCAAGUACUAACCAUAGGUAAUGCUAAUAAACAUGAAAUUUUGGCACACAAGUUUUAUAUAUAAUUAAAAUAAAGGAACGGAUUAAAAAACCGAUGCAGUUGACCCUUGAAAAUUCUCUCUCUUUUGACAAAAAAUAAAUUUCAGCACGAAAUUAUCUAGAAAAUUACUCAAAUUAAACUAAAACAUAAAUAACUAAUGUCACUCACUUUCCAAGUUUUAGGACACCAAGCCAACAUAGUCUCAAAACUCAGGAAAGAAUCAAAUGGAAACAAUCUUCGCUACCAAUUGUCGAAACAUAAACGAGGACUAUAAACAUGUAUUUGACGUAAAGUUGUGAAGAUACCAUGAAAGAUUUGAAAAUUAUUUUAUAAUCUUACUCAAAAUAAGAAAUAAUUGAGGACUUAAUCGCUAAAACAAGCGAUGAACAAAAUCUAAUUGAAUCAUAUCCUAUCUUUUUAUGAAAUAUCUAACAAAGAUCCUCCUUUUGGUAGACCGCUGAGGAAGAAAAGCCUUAAUGCACAACAAUGGCUUUAAACAUAAAACUAUUCAGCAUUAAAUUCUAGGUGUUUUGGAUGAAUGAUUUUAAUAAUUACGUCAAAAAAUAGAGAUUUUUGAGUUGAUCAAAAAGGGGGAAAAAACCUCGGUAUUCAACAGCUCAGGCUCAAAGAAUGCAUUUAUAUUUAUUUUCUUACCAUUGUUGGCUAGUUACGUGAUUCCUCUACAUUCAUUCAUAUACAGAAAUUAUGUGCUAUUUGUGGCAUUUAAUUUAAAGCAACGGGAUAGUACUCAAAAAUAAGACUGCAAGUGAGUAUUAAUCUCACCAAUUAAAAUAGAAAUUAAUCUUUCUUCCACGUUGAUCAUGAAAUAAAUGCACUGGUAGAGCUAAAACUCGUGUCCUGAGGAUAUCAACACACCCGCAAUAGAAUUCCUUACCCCAAAAUGAGUAUCUCAAAGAUCGCAUUCGUUCUUAGUAUUAUAAAAUUUGUUUUGGUGACUAUAAUUAUAACAAGUAUUGUUUGAUAGUUUUGGACAAUAAAAACAAGAAAAGGUAAAAAUCAUCUUCAUUAUGUGGUCCAGAGUCGUAUCCACUAGUCUGCACGAAAUAUGCAUGGAGUAAUUCGUCUUAAUUAGUUAAAGAGAAAAAAAUGGAGUAUAUAUUGAUAAGAAUCCAAUGGUGAGAUAAAGAAGUAUUCCAUUUUAAUUCCUUUCUAAAGCAACAUUUAUAUACAGCUAUAUGUUCAAUAAAUAAGUCAAUUCUAGCAAUUUUGUAGUUUCAGCUGCCAGUUCAUCAUUUUAGCCAUGGACUUAUUCAGAAGUAAAGAAAAAGAGUCUAAUUACAAAUGUGAAGGGAAGGAACAUGACAGUUCACCAAAGAGGUCUAGGAAGACCAAGCACACUGUGAGGAGGAAGAGACUAGAACUAGAACAAAAUAUAUCUUCCGUGACUAGAUUUUCCCAAUCAACCAAAAAGCCGGUGAAAACGCUCAUUUAUUGAUUAAAAAAAAUACUGAGUUGGCCAUUUGUUUGCGAAAAAUUUUUUUUCCGUCCCACAAAAAAUUAGCCUGUGAAAAGAUCAUUUACCAACCAAAAUAAUUAAUAGUCGGCCUAUAGGAGACAUAUUUGCCAAUUAGAUGAAAUGGGUCUGUGAGAUAUUUUAUUUUUAUUUCACAGGGAAUAUGGGCACAACAAUUAAUUGGACUUUUGGACCCAAAAUAACAUUUAGCUAUGGUAAGAAAUUGCUGUGUGUCUUCUCCAUUUCCGGCCGUGCAUAUCCCAUUCUGAUGCCGUCAGUAUCCAUCUAUUUUUGGCCGUCCCUUGUGAGUUUACUUUAUCUAUCUUUUCCUCUCUUUGUAUAAACCGAGGGAGAUUUACCCCUUGGUUAAUGAAAAAAGCCAAGGGAGGAUUGGGAUAUAUUGGAUAUUCUCAUGUGAAAAAUAUAAAGUUGACAUUAUUGCAAACUUGUGCUUGCAAGUAAUCAGAACAUUCUUCCACAAGUGAUAUUUGAUAGUGUUAAUAUGUUCAAAGUUUAGGGUUUUAGGAAUUUUUAUAACAUUCAAUGAGAAGUAACAUAACCCACUAUUGAUCUGAAAGUAAACUAGGAUCAGUUGCUCCCCUUUAUGUUCUAAUUUUUUAAUUUACGAUCACGUAAUCAGCACGAACUGGGUACAACAUGCUGCAAUUACUAUUUGAUAUGUUAUAUGUGUCAAGAUUUGGCUACUCCUCUUAAAAAUGUUGACCUUAUUAAGAUGAACCCCAAAUCUUGACAUGGUUUCAGAGCCCAUUAACCUCUAACAAGCGAUUCGAUCCGAUUAAGUCUCUAAAAAUGAGCACACGGAUUUCAAGAUGGUCUGCUCAAAUGGGCCACCAUCUUGCGGGGGCAUGUUAAGGGAAUAUAAUCCCACAUCGGUAAAAUACCGAAAUAAUGACCAAUUUAUAAAGGAUUGGGACACUCCUCUUAAUGAUGUUUACCUUAUUAAGAUGGACCCCAAAUCUUAACAAUAUGUACCGAGCAGCACAGUGAAAGAUUCUCUGUCGAUAUGAUUUUAUAGAAGGAAAUAUUAAAUUAGCAUUAAAAGGUUAAAUGAAUGCUUCGUGCAUAUUCUAAAUCACUCAUGCUUCAUUCAUAUUCUGAAUCACUUAACUGCUUCAGAAGAAACUUUAUACCCUUUAAAAUAUAGAAAACGACAAGCUCAUGAAAACAGGAUACCGAAAGAACUUGAGAAAAAAGAUAUGCUACGGGAAAAAUGGGAAGAGAAAAUAAGGGAGUGGCAAGAUUAUGUAAGACAGAAGGAAGAUAGAGCUUAUAUAGGGUGAGCGUCUAGAACUGACGGGGUAAGAUGCUUCAAAUAUUACCUUCAAUUGUUUCCCUGAUUAUAACACCUUGCAAAAUCUCAAGUCAUUCCCAGAAGAUUUGUGUCAAUUCCCUCAGAAGACNUACAAGCUAGCAUGAUAAACAACAUUAAGCUAGUUAAUUAUUCUAAACUUAGAUGAAAAAAUUAACCCAAACAUUUAUCAUAUAAAUAAAAUGUACCAAGUAAGUUCAACCAACACAAAUAAGUUAUUUUACAAACAAAAGAAUGCUUUUCCAACCACAUGAGAACUUGAUUUUCUUUUUCUAAAUAUCUCAAGCAUGGAAAGCAUGGUUACGAUAAGACUCGGACUCUGUGAAGAAUGUCACAUUGCGGAGCUCGAUCUGGGUGAGACUUCAGCAAUGUUCAUUUGUGAGCUGCCUGGACCUGAAAUUUCACCACAUGUCAGUGAUCAAGUUCCACUCAAUAGUAAUCAAUGGAUAGUUAAAAGUGUUAAGGCCCACAAAGUAGGAAUGCUAGGAGGACCUAAAUUGUAACAUUAUUUGCCUAAUGAACUAUGAAAUUAAAAUAGAAAAGAAGUUAAGCAUACCAUCAUUGUGGUUACAGUAAAUCCACUUCAAUAUACCUAAUUGGCCAUGCUAUUGUACUUCAUAAUGCAUCUUCAAGAAGAAAAAGCUCACGUGUAAGACAAUAUAAGCUAACAUUAUCAAUCACUUCACUAACCCAAAUUCUCCAACAUUCAUUACCAAGUGGUACAUGAUGCACUAAAUCACUUGGAUUUGUUGAUGCAAUUUCACCUUUUGCAACAACAUGAGCUUUCCCAGACCAAGAUAACAACUUCCAUUUCCUACUUUGAAGGUUAUUUGAACCAUCCAAGCUUCUGUCCCUAGUCUAUAAAAUUUAUAUCCAAUUGUACAAUUUAUUAUUUUGAAUAUAGAAAUUAAAUGUAAUUUAGAAUAACAUUCAUUAAUUCUAGUUUUCCACUUACAUUAUCUUUUUGUUCAUCACUCUUACUCUUCAUUUGAAACAAAGCUUUUAAUUCUUUAAUUUCAUCUCUCAACUCUUGCACUUGAGUUUGCAAGUUAUGAUUGUGCACCAAAGCAUUCAACUUUGAAGGAGUUGCACCGAAACCAAGACCUCUUACCGAUCCUCGAUUCUGGACCAAGUACUCUAGGAACACCAUCAUCUUUAAGGGAGUGUUGGCUUGGGAAGGUAACUGCCUCUGGAUAUGCUUUUAUUUUGUUCUGAUACGAGGAAAUAAAUUAAUUGGCAAAAAUUAUAAAUAUAAACUUUGAAUGACCAAAAGUCACUAAAAGCAAUAUUGUUACCAAUGUUUCCCAACUGAUUCAUCAAUAGGUUCAUCAUUUUUUCGUGUAUGUCCUCGAAUAUAAACAUCAUCUCUCGUUAUGGAAUCUGUGUCUUCACUUUCAGCGUGCUGCAUUUUCCUUAUUUCAUAUAUGUGAUAGCAUAAGCAUUUAUAAUUUUUCAAGCAAAUUUAACUUUUAAUUUAACAAAUUUUACCAUUUCUGCUUCUAAAUGAGCAAAGCCUUUUCUACUUGUUGAAUGCAUUAGGGUUUGACCUGCUCUCAUCUUUCUGAAUCUUUCACUCUUUUCCUACAGCAUCAAUUAGUACUUUGUAAGAAUAACUUUUAUUAGGAAUAUAAAGUAGAUGUAGUAAGCAAUUUAGGAAAAAGUAAUGAAAGUUUACCUCAUAUGGUUGAGAAUUGCAUUCUAUGACAAAUGUUUGUCAUUCUUUCAUUGAUUCAACAUUAUCGGGCUUGAGGAAAGCAGUAGCUCGUGUCAUGCCAAUUGUUUUUCCUUUGUCAUUGAUUGCUUUAAGCACAUUAGAUCGAUGAUCUCACCAAUUCUUUCCCAUUUUUUGCAUGAUGUAUUUUCUAUGACAAGUAUCAACAUCAAACUUUUGCUACAUCAAAGCACACAAUAUUAAUAGUAAUUUAAAUUAAAUUAUAUAAGAGACACAAAGUUUAUAGUACCUGCACAUGCUCUCAUAUGUCAUCAAGAAAAUUUUUGCUGAUCUCUUUCCAAUUUUUCCACGUAAUUGGUAUAAGUUCUCUGGCUGUGGUCCCAAGAAAUGAUGAUAACUUUGUUGAACCUCUACAAAUUGGCUGCCCUCUUUCAUUAAACUCUAUUGAUAACUUCUCGCCUCUUCCCUUGUUUAAAUAAUUCAAUUUUGCUUGACCCCUUUCCUUCUUUCCUUUUUCAGUAGUACUAACACUAUUAGGCAACAGUUCUACAUCAUGUUGCACAUCAUUUACUUAUAUGUUUGGAACAUAAUUAGAACCUCAUUAUGAUGUUCUUAUCCUUUCAUUAUUUCUCUUGUGGCAGCAACAUUUAAAGCUUUUUUUUAGCUCGUUUUGACUUUUUAUAGCCUUGAUUAGAUGACUAUAUUAAACAAGUAAGAAAAACAAGAAAUAUUUUACUUGAAUUUACUAAUAAAAAUUAUUAUAUAUACCAUCUGGGAACUUACUUCACAAGGAUAUGUCAUCUUAUUCCACUCGUGUAAACAUCAGCAUCAACAAAACUCAGCUUUCAUCGUUUGUAUCUAUAAAAAUAAAGCAAGAAAUAAUGGAAUUAAAGACAAUAAUGACAUUAACAUCAAUAUAAUAUCACAUAACUAGUAAAUUAAAAUAGAAAAGAAGUGAAGCGUACCUUCGUUGUGAUUACAGCAAAUCCACUUCGAUGUACCUAAUUGGCCAUGCUAUUGUACUUCCUAAUGCAUCUUCAAGAAGAAAAAGCUCACGUGUAGGACAAUAUAGGCUAACAUUAUCAAUCAUUUCACUAACCCAGAUUCUCCAACAUUCAUUACCAAGUAGUACAUGAUGCACUAAAUCACUUGGAUUUGUUGAUGCAAUUUCACCUUUUGCAACAACAUGAGCUUUCCCAGACCAAGAUAACAACUUCCAUUUCCUACUUUGAAGGUUAUUUGAACCAUCCAAGCUUCUGUCCCUAGUCUAUAAAAUUUAUAUCCAAUUGUACAAUUUAUUAUUUUGAAUAUAGAAAUUAAAUGUAAUUUAGAAUAACAUUCAUUAAUUCUAGUUUUCCACUUACAUUAUCUUUUUGUUCAUCACUCUUACUCUUCAUUUGAAACAAAGCUUUUAAUUCUUUAAUUUCAUCUCUCAACUCUUGCACUUGAGUUUGCAAGUUAUGAUUGUGCACCAAAGCAUUCAACUUUGAAGGAGUUGCACCGAAACCAAGACCUCUUACCGAUCCUCGAUUCUGGACCAAGUACUCUAGGAACACCAUCAUCUUUAAGGGAGUGUUGGCUUGGGAAGGUAACUGCCUCUGGAUAUGCUUUUAUUUUGUUCUGAUACGAGGAAAUAAAUUAAUUGGCAAAAAUUAUAAAUAUAAACUUUGAAUGACCAAAAGUCACUAAAAGCAAUAUUGUUACCAAUGUUUCCCAACUGAUUCAUCAAUAGGUUCAUCAUUUUUUCGUGUAUGUCCUCGAAUAUAAACAUCAUCUCUCGUUAUGGAAUCUGUGUCUUCACUUUCAGCGUGCUGCAUUUUCCUUAUUUCAUAUAUGUGAUAGCAUAAGCAUUUAUAAUUUUUCAAGCAAAUUUAACUUUUAAUUUAACAAAUUUUACCAUUUCUGCUUCUAAAUGAGCAAAGCCUUUUCUACUUGUUGAAUGCAUUAGGGUUUGACCUGCUCUCAUCUUUCUGAAUCUUUCACUCUUUUCCUACAGCAUCAAUUAGUACUUUGUAAGAAUAACUUUUAUUAGGAAUAUAAAGUAGAUGUAGUAAGCAAUUUAGGAAAAAGUAAUGAAAGUUUACCUCAUAUGGUUGAGAAUUGCAUUCUAUGACAAAUGUUUGUCAUUCUUUCAUUGAUUCAACAUUAUCGGGCUUGAGGAAAGCAGUAGCUCGUGUCAUGCCAAUUGUUUUUCCUUUGUCAUUGAUUGCUUUAAGCACAUUAGAUCGAUGAUCUCACCAAUUCUUUCCCAUUUUUUGCAUGAUGUAUUUUCUAUGACAAGUAUCAACAUCAAACUUUUGCUACAUCAAAGCACACAAUAUUAAUAGUAAUUUAAAUUAAAUUAUAUAAGAGACACAAAGUUUAUAGUACCUGCACAUGCUCUCAUAUGUCAUCAAGAAAAUUUUUGCUGAUCUCUUUCCAAUUUUUCCACGUAAUUGGUAUAAGUUCUCUGGCUGUGGUCCCAAGAAAUGAUGAUAACUUUGUUGAACCUCUACAAAUUGGCUGCCCUCUUUCAUUAAACUCUAUUGAUAACUUCUCGCCUCUUCCCUUGUUUAAAUAAUUCAAUUUUGCUUGACCCCUUUCCUUCUUUCCUUUUUCAGUAGUACUAACACUAUUAGGCAACAGUUCUACAUCAUGUUGCACAUCAUUUACUUAUAUGUUUGGAACAUAAUUAGAACCUCAUUAUGAUGUUCUUAUCCUUUCAUUAUUUCUCUUGUGGCAGCAACAUUUAAAGCUUUUUUUUAGCUCGUUUUGACUUUUUAUAGCCUUGAUUAGAUGACUAUAUUAAACAAGUAAGAAAAACAAGAAAUAUUUUACUUGAAUUUACUAAUAAAAAUUAUUAUAUAUACCAUCUGAGAACUUACUUCACCAGGAUAUGUCAUAGUAUUCCACUAGUGUAAACAUCAGCAUCAACAAAACUCAGCUUUCAUCGUUUACUUCUACAAAAAUAAAGCAAGAAAUAAUGGAAUUAAAGACAAUAAUGACAUUAACAUUAAUAUAAUGUCACAUAACUCGUAAAUUAAGUGCUUUUUUGGUAGGGAUUUUGUUGAUUGAUUUUUUGACCAUUAAAGAUAAAGUGGGUCCUACUUAUGAGAGAAGAAUUCAAAAAUGAAGGCUGAAAUAGUGAAAUAACAGUCAAAAAAUUUAUUUUAAUUGGAUUUUAAACUGUACCAAACAUGCUCUAAAAUAGAGCAAGAAAGAAUCUUAAAGAUAUACAACUACCAUAAUCAAUAUCAAUGCCCUCACAAUCAUGUCUUAAAUAACCUUCAUCUUCAACGGUCAUAUCAAGGCUUAAUGCAUCUAAAGUGGAUGGAGUAUAAGCCUCCUCAUCAAAAUUUUCUAACUCAUGAAAUCCUCUGGAAGUUUCCUUUGAUACAAUAUACCAUUUAGAUGUAUUGCUCACUCUAGAAUAAAAAACUUGUUUUGCUUGUGAAACUAAAAUAAAUGAAUCUCUUUCGAAUUGAUAUUGUCCUUUAUGAAGAUUUACCAAUGUAAAUCCUUCUUCAAUCUUGAAGUGUUUGAACAUUUUAUUCUGGAUGUCAAAAGUUUUUUAAUGUUUUGGAUGUACAAAAUUUUGGGUGUUUGAUCUCCUGUAAAAUUAUUGAUAUUGGCAAGAGAUGGAUGCAAGAUUUGAUUUUUAGUUUUCUUUCUUAAAUAUGAAAACAUGUGGACUAAACGUAAUGUCUGUUCCUUUUUGACAUUGCAGAGAGAAUUUUAGUGGAAUGGUUAACUUUAGUUAAAUGAGACAGAAAGUUUUGGAAGAUCAUUAGGCCAUUUCCAGCUUUGCACCAUUUUGCACCAAAUUUUCCACCAAAUCUUGCAUCAAAACAAAAUUCUUCUCCAACCAUUACACCAAAACUUACACCAAAUGAACAGUACUUUAUUAUUUUAUUCAUUCUUUCGAUUUUUUACAAUGUAUUUAUUUAAAAAAAUUAUUUAUUUAUUUAUUUAUUUAUUUAUUUUAUAACUAUACAAAUUACUAAAUCAGAACUUAGUUAAAUUAACAAAUAUAUUGAUUACUAAAUUAUUCACGUGUUUUAUAUAUUAUGUUAAAUUGACAAAAACGAAAAUAAAAAAUGGUCUUCUUUGAAAAAUGAAAAAUUAAAAAUAAGGGCAAAAUGAACAUUAUACCAUUUGGUGCAAAAAAUGGUGUACUGAAUAAUGUUGCACCAAAUAUGGUGCAACAUUAUUCAUGUUACACCAUUUUGCACCAAAAUGUGGUGCAGUGGUUGGAGGAAGUUUGCACCAAAUUUUGGUGCAAUAGGCCAUGCAUUGGAGAUGCCCAUAAUGGCACAUUUUUGCUGACAAACUAUCUAUAAAAUAAUUCAGAAAUGAUUAAGACUAAUGACCAAUGCUAAUUGCUAAAUUCCAAGCCAUGCGGAUUUUGAAGGGAUUUCUAUACACACAUAUGAUCGAGCUUCCUCACUAAUCCGACUUGAUAGCCUAACAGAAGUGAAUUUUAAAGGUUAGGCUAACUAAUUUUGUCUUCAACAUGGCAGAUUUGUACUUGAAUAUAAGUUACCAAAUUAAAAUUCAAUAGCGUUAUGCAGCAUUAGUGAAAUUAACGCAAUUGAAAUUAACGUAAUUGAAGAACCUAUUUUUUCAAGUUUACUCAUUACUUUUUUUCUAUGUAUUAUUUACUAAACAUAACUCUUAAAAGGCAUCAAGUUUACUCAAAAUAACUGAAAUUCACACACAAGUAUUCACUAGUAAAAUUGAAAAUACAACACGUAAAAGAAAGAAAAGAAAGAAAUUACAUUCACACUACAAAUGGCUACAUUAACAACAAAAAGGAAACUAAAGGGAAAGAAACACAAAAAUACAGAUAGAUGAUGCAGCCAGCAUUCUAUCACACCAAUGUCAUUUAAGAGAAUCCCUCCUUUUCGGCACAAACUUGCACAUCCAUGGGUGCUUUCCGUUGAUGGUAAACUUGGCCUUCUCCGAGCCAUCGAGAAUUUCCUGAACAACGCAGCUUUAAGGAACACGACUCGAGCAUAAAGUGGUUGCUCNNNNNNNNNNNNNNNNNNNNNNNNNNNNNNNNNNNNNNNNNNNNNNNNNNNNNNNNNNNNNNNNNNNNNNNNNNNNNNNNNNNNNNNNNNNNNNNNNNNNNNNNNNNNNNNNNNNNNNNNNNNNNNNNNNNNNNNNNNNNNNNNNNNNNNNNNNNNNNNNNNNNNNNNNNNNNNNNNNNNNNNNNNNNNNNNNNNNNNNNNNNNNNNNNNNNNNNNNNNNNNNNNNNNNNNNNNNNNNNNNNNNNNNNNNNNNNNNNNNNNNNNNNNNNNNNNNNNNNNNNNNNNNNNNNNNNNNNNNNNNNNNNNNNNNNNNNNNNNNNNNNNNNNNNNNNNNNNNNNNNNNNNNNNNNNNNNNNNNNNNNNNNNNNNNNNNNNNNNNNNNNNNNNNNNNNNNNNNNNNNNNNNNNNNNNNNNNNNNNNNNNNNNNNNNNNNNNNNNNNNNNNNNNNNNNNNNNNNNNNNNNNNNNNNNNNNNNNNNNNNNNNNNNNNNNNNNNNNNNNNNNNNNNNNNNNNNNNNNNNNNNNNNNNNNNNNNNNNNNNNNNNNNNNNNNNNNNNNNNNNNNNNNNNNNNNNNNNNNNNNNNNNNNNNNNNNNNNNNNNNNNNNNNNNNNNNNNNNNNNNNNNNNNNNNNNNNNNNNNNNNNNNNNNNNNNNNNNNNNNNNNNNNNNNNNNNNNNNNNNNNNNNNNNNNNNNNNNNNNNNNNNNNNNNNNNNNNNNNNNNNNNNNNNNNNNNNNNNNNNNNNNNNNNNNNNNNNNNNNNNNNNNNNNNNNNNNNNNNNNNNNNNNNNNNNNNNNNNNNNNNNNNNNNNNNNNNNNNNNNNNNNNNNNNNNNNNNNNNNNNNNNNNNNNNNNNNNNNNNNNNNNNNNNNNNNNNNNNNNNNNNNNNNNNNNNNNNNNNNNNNNNNNNNNNNNNNNNNNNNNNNNNNNNNNNNNNNNNNNNNNNNNNNNNNNNNNNNNNNNNNNNNNNNNGCAGUAUAUCUCGGAUAAUAUCAAGAAGUUCAUUGAAACCGUUGUUAGAUAUACCAUAUGUAGCUUUAAGCUUGUAUAAGACAACAGUUGCAAAUAUCCUUGUAUACUUUGUGCAACCAAGUUAUGGAAGAAUUUCUACGCCCUCCUAUAAAUUUGAAAAAUCUUUCUCUCUAUUUUCAUUCUCGAGUUCUACACUAUUAUAAUCCUGAAAAAAUGCAUCUCUGUACAUCCUAUACAUCUCUAUAUUUUCUACAACUUGAGAAGGCAAUGAUGCUGCAUUCGAUUUUUUCCCAUUAAACACCUAGGUAGUAUAUGUAGGAUCCGUGCCAUUAAUGGUCAAAUGUCCAUACAUUAUAUCAAAAUGUUGGUGGAAUAGGUUUUUGCAAUGUUUGCAGGGGCAUAUGACCUUUUCUGGAUUUUCGGCAUUGGCUAGCGCCAUAUUUGCAAAUUCGCUUGCACCACGUUGAUAUGCCUAUGAAAUUCUAUGAAAAAAAUGCUAAAUAAGUCAUGUAAAAAGCAUUUGAAGACAUAUUUUAAAAUAUUCUAAAUUUAAGAGGACAAGAUAACCUUGAUAAGUGUACCCAAUCUUUAUCCAUGGUAAUAUAACAACACUAUUAAGUUAUAAUAUGUUAAAAUACCGUAAAAAUGAAGUGAAAAAUUAUUAUAUUAGGAUAUCAUAGAAAUCAAGUUCAAAUUAGGUAAGCCAUUUUGACAAUAAAGUUUCACACAAAGUGAAAUUAGAAAAAAUAAUUCAAACCUAAAUUAAAACAGUGAAAUUGGAACACUAGAACCUCCUUCAACGCUACUGCGAUCUGUUGAGAAAUUAAUUGAGAAUUUGGUUAAGAAUGUGGUCAAUAGAAAUAUUUAUGAAAGACGAAGGCCUAUUGAUGUGUAUUUUUAGCGAAGGGCCUCAUGGAGGCAUUGUAAUUUGAUUGUGUAAUUUGAUUUCUCAAGAUGCAAAAAGACAAUAAAUUAAUUAAGAUAUUUAGUGUGAAUCAAUGUAUAGUUGAAUACAAAAUAUUCCACCAAUCAUAAAUAAAAAUCAUUCACUAAUUAUGGUUGCAUCUAAAUGUAAAAAGAGUACAACAACCCUACAUUGUAUCUAUUGUUAUGCAACUAAAAAAAUAUAAUUCUCAUUAUCAUGAAUUAGAUAUGUUGUUGAUCCUCAUUAAAGCUGUGUUCAUCAUCAAAGUUAUUCUAUUCGCACUGAGUAGCAUCAUCUUCCUCAUUAGCAUUAUCCUUCAUUGACAUUGGUAUAAAAAAUGAUACAGCAAAGUUAGGAACUUUACCACAUAUAUAGCUAAUGCAUAGAAUAAUGCCAAGAAUGCAAUGUCGGAUUGAAUUGUUUUCCAACAACCUUUAGCUUGUUUUGCAUCCUUUGUGCCAUCUUCAUCUAGCUGCAUUGGCUAUGCGUACAUUUCAAGAAGGUGUACCAAUGUCUUGAAGGUUACCAUCUCUCAACCCACGAAUUCGACGUUUAGGCUUCUAACCUAGAAUAUACAUGAUGAUAUUAAGUCUACUCUGAUUAGCAAAUUCUUUGAUCUACAUGUGGCAGUAUUAUUGCAGAUGGGUAAUCAAUUCUUGUGUACCUUGUAAUUUUAUGAACCCAUCAAAUACAAACCCAAUGGAAUGAUGAGGUAAUUUGAAAAUUUCUCCUCUUACGUAAAAUUCACUGUUGACCAUUUAGCAACUACCACUCUCAAAUCUUGCAUUGACAUUUUAUCGAACAACUGAGGAAGAAAGAACUUGGCUAGAAUGAUAACACUUUCCUGCAGCCAAUGGAGUCAAUCUUCUAACAAUAGCGGAGAUUCAAUGUGCUUGAAGAACUACUUGCAAAUAGUGAUAUGCUUUACCAAUAAAAUGUUCUGAUCAUUUAAAAAGAAAAUAGCACGUGUCAUUAGUUAAAACACGUGAAAUUGAAGAAAUGCCCAAUUCCACUGCAUAUUGUUGCAUCAAAGGGAUGAAAAACAACGUAAUUCACCUAAAAUAUUGGAGUUCAACAAGCAACAGAAGUGAGCAACAGAACUGCAAAGGUUCUUCAAUCUAGAAAAAAUGACAGUAUCGUCAUGCGUGCCAAAAAAAAGCUACUACUGCUGGAUCAGAUCCAGCUGCAGCAAGUAUCUUUUCUUUUUCAAUGAAAAAGUGGAGUACCACAUUCUGUGCUAAUAUCACAGAUGUAAGGCUUUCCUGCAAUUACUUCAUACAAGCCCAAAGUUGAAGAACGUUAAAGUAAAUGAGAAACAUAUUUACCUGGAGAGCAUCAUGAGGGUUGUUCAUCUCUUUUUCUUCCAAUAGACCAAUCUUCUCAAAAUUAUGACCAUACUCAACAAAUGAUUCAACACCAAGUAUGUAUUUGUCUAGUUUUCCCAGUACACGGUACCUAUAAGUAUUCAGUUUGAAAUUAUUAAGCAAGUCAAAAUAAUGGAUCAAUAAUACACCUAUCACCCUCUUCAUGUGAAGGGAGACAACAAUAUUAUUGUCUAUAAAUGUAUCUGAUUCUAUUGAUGAAGAUUAAGAAUCUUAUUGAGAGAGAAAAUUAUUAUCCACUUUCACAAAUGCUAUUUCCUACUCUUAAUAACAAAGAUUAGAAGAAGUAAGCUUUAAGGAAGCUGUUAAUUGUGAAAAAAAAAAAAAGAGUUAAAUACACAGCCAGGUCCUGCAAUGAAGAUGUCAAAUAUAUUACAGGAUGGGAACUCAUGCAUACCUAGUGCAAAUAUUGGCAACCCAAUUUCAAGGUGCAGCCAAGUGAACAACGAAGCUAAUCUUAGGCUUUAAGUGCAUUGCAUAUGCCAAAACAAUUUCACACGAUUAACAGAUGAAUCAUCAAUACCACAAUUUCUUUCCAAUUGUUUUAUCAUUUUGACGUUGUUGUCGUGGCCAUCGUUGGGUUUGAGUUUGAAAUGUAGGUGAAAUUCUUAAUUGAAUAUUGAUGGUCCACAAGAAUAACUUUGACAAUAUAUGUGUACACACCAUGAAGGGUCAAAAAAGGUUGCAAGUUUUCUAACUCUCUAUAUCUCUAGUUUCAUCAUGUGUAAAUUAUAUUUCCUUAAAAACAUAAAUUUAUCGAUAAAUAUGCAAAUAAUAGAUAAGCCUUUGACGUGAUUCAAGAACAUCUGGACUAAUUGUAGUCAACAAAAUCAUAUAUCGAUGAGCGGUUGUUCGCGAAAUUAUUUAUUUCAAUUUAAAAUCCACCGCAAGUAUGCGGUUCGUUAACAAGUAGUAAAAUGGACUAUGAGUCUAAUUAUCGAUCCCACGAGGAUUGAAUUAGUUCAAAUUAAUCUAUUACGACCUUAACCGAAACACGACAACCAAAUUGAGGUUUUAUACUUUAACUAACAAAAUGUAACAGUUGAUGUAAUUAUGAAUGACGAAUUAUACUAAGUGCAAAAUAACUUCUAUGCAAUUUAACUAGAAUUUUAUGGAGUUAAUGGAUGUACUAACGCACUAGGAUCACGAAUCCCCAAGCAAUACCCAUUCAAUUGUCAAUUAUGCAACUUUGACACACAAUUCCACAAAAGUUGAAUCGAUAUUCCUAUUUUAAUUUAGCAAUCUCUCUCGAGCAAUGCAAAACCUAUCCCGAUAUAUGAUUCGACUAUAUUUCUAUGACGAAUACUAACAUACUGAAAUGCAUUAUAAAUUCAUGAAUAUCUAAUGAUUCACACAAGGCAUAGAGGUAUAUUUCUAUCUCCUGUCGGACCCUGUGAUGAUUUAUACUAUGUCGAACCUAUUUUCCUUCUUUCGAAUGCAUAAAACAGGCCACCACAAUCGUAUAAUUACGUGCACAAUGAUCAUAUGAAAAUAAAAACACAAUAAAUCAAUCAAAUCCGGAACUUGUGUUCGAAUACGUCAAAAAUCCAAAACAACAAUUAAAUGCAAUAUUACAAGGUUCAUUGAUCUCCUAACAAUGAUAAAUCUAGCCUAACAUGCUAAAAAGAAUAAAACAUAAAAAUAUUUGAAGAAACGACAUCACCCGAAUCAAUUUCAAUCUGAUCUUCACUUGGCGCGAUGUUGUUCUCUUGUUCUAUCCUUUGUUUCUCCUUCAAAAUCUCCCAAAAACAUGUAAAAAUGGCAUUUUCUAUGUUCUGGUCUAGUUUUUGUAUUUAUAGGACCCUAAAAUUAUUGUUUCCAUAAGAGUUUCGAAAGAAAAAUGAAACUAAAAUUUUCCUCGAGAAUUGUUCUAUGCGACCACAUAGAGCAACUCUGUGUGGUCGCAUAGAGUAAAUUUUUGAAGCCUCUUUGAUUUCGGUAUGCUACUAUUCGACCGCAUAGAUGAUAGUACUAUGCAACCGUAUGGCAGAUGUGCGUUUUGGUCCUCCCACUUGCAUCCUUCACUUCUUGGCAUCUUCUCUUCAUUCUUUUCAUUUCAUCACCUCACGAUAUCGUCAAUUUGGUAAUUGGCUUAAACGAUUUCUCGAUUUGUUCAUCGGAUCAACUUUUGGAUAUUUUCACUUUGGUCCCUGAACUUUCACUUUGCAUCAUUUUAGUCCUUUUUCGCUUUUUCUCCUGAAUUUCACCAUGUUUAUCAUUGUUCCCUACAAUCCACAAAUGUACGAGAUUAAGUCACAAUUCAAUCAUUUUGCUAGUUAUUAAGUGAUGUUUGCGACCUAAAUAAGUGUGCAAAAACACACUUAUCAGCAGUCUUACUUCCCCCAUGGAUUUUUUUUUUUUGAUGAUUUAGUUAAAUUGAACUCAUAUUAUAAAUUCUCAUUGAAUCAGUUUCUAACUUUUUUCUGAAAACUGCCAACAACAGUUUCUAGUGUACGGAUAAUAUAUACAAACAUCUAAAUAAUAACGCUUUCGAAUUAAAUAAAACACUUCAGUAGGACCACAUUCCAAGCACUAAUAAUUUAGGCAUUUUAAGUCUUCGUUUGUCUCCCUUUAAAACAAAAAACGUUUGAAUUCUCAUACUCAUUCUCUGUCACGCAUUAACAUUAUAAAAUAUUUUACACGUAAACCCAAUUUUUUUGUUUUUUUUUUUGCACUUUUAAUGACGCAUUUUAAUGUUUAAUUUUUUCAAAAUAGUGACUACCAAACAGGAGCUAAAUAACAUUGAAAGAGCUAAUGUUAUUAUUACCAUUAACAAGAUAAAAUUCACUAUGAAUCUUGAUCGGUAAUCUUCUUAUUUCACGAAAAUAUAUAUUUUAGGUUCAUUUUCAAUAUAGAAACAUAAGGGAUGACGUCUUCUCCUACACAAACUGACAAGAUAUAUAUAUAUUUUUUUCUAUCGUGAAUUAAAAAUAAAUUUGUAGGUUUGAAUAUACAUUUUCUUAGGCACCAUAUCUCUAACUUGUGCUUUUUUUCAUUACAAUAAAGUCAUCACCUACAAAUAUUUAAAUUAAUAUCAUUUUUUCCCUACAAUAGCUCGAAAAUAGACUGUACUAGCAUAAUUAAGAAAGCAUGGGCAAUCAGGGGUGGGGCCAGAAAUUUUGUCCAGUGCGGGCAAAAUUUAAUCAAGGUUGAAUUUUUCGAUUAUGGAUUUAAUGAUAUUAUGACAAUGCUAAAAAUGACAUAGCGACAACACUAAUAAAAUAAUCAUCUUCUUCCUUAUUUUAGAAUUUGUAGCAAGUUGUGCAACAUCAAAAUCAAUUUUAUUCGAUAUCUCUUCAUCAAUAUUUUCUACGAAAUAUUUCCUUUUAAAGAAUCUCUUCAUUGGCGCUUGACACUAAAAUAAAUCACAAGUGAAAAUUAGAUGCUAAUUGAUAAGAAAACAACUACUAAUUUUUAUAAAUUGGUAGACACCAGAAAAUCAUCACUAAUUGUUUAGCUAAUUGACAAAAAUCAAGAUUUCAAGAAUCCAUCACAAAUAUUACCAAUAUUCAACAUUCACAUAAUCAAAAUACCUAAUAUUAAAUAAAAAAAUCUCCAAUAUUAAACAGAAAACUCACAUGAUCAAGAAAGUUUUUGUUGCAAAUUUGAGGGCCCAAGAAAAUAUGGGUUUUAGGAAAGAGAUGAAAAAAAAUUUCAAAACGAGAGCAGAUUAAAAGAAAAUUUUUAAUUUCUUGUCGCGGGGAAAGAGUCAGAAAAUGUCACGUACACUUGGGGUUUGGGCAAAUUAGUGUAUGGAGUGGACUAUAAAUAUAUGAAAAACCUAAAUUAAAAAAAAUAAAUUAGAUUGAUUUUGGGCUUGUGCCAAUUCGCCUGCACUGGACCUUGAAUGGCUCCGCCCAUGUGGGCAAUAGUAAAGUUGAUAUCUUUACUCUCCUCCUAAUCUGUGGUAAACUUCUAAUUCAUUGUCCUUUAUAAUUUUUCUUCUAUACAUGUAUUAUUGUGCUAAAUUAUUCUUUCUCAACCUUUUCUUUAUGUGGUAUUUGUUUUGACACAAUGUCAACCUUAUAUUUCCUUCUACGGCUGGGCAUUUUACCCGCCUAAUCGUGGAACCAGCCCGAAAAGAACCCCCUCUGUUUUGCUUAGGUCAAUUUUGUGGCUUGAUUUGUUGAUUUUUAGGUUGGCUUUGAUCCAGCACAAAAAAUCUCGUUUCGGUUUUUGGGUUUUUUUUUUUGGAAAAUAAAAAUUCAAGUAUAUUUUACCCUUGAAAAUAAACCGACUUGGAUUGUUUUGGAUUUGCUUUUAACUAAUAACAUAUUAAUUUGAGUUGAGGUUUCACCCAACCUGAAUGGUCUGGUGCAUGGCGUACUCAACCUUAGCUUCAAGUAUUUCUACUUGAUUACUCUCCUCUCAUUUUGCUGGUGAUUUCUAUAACAAGCUUGUUUUUCUGGGGAAAUAAUGAAUAUGCUGAAGCCAAAACCAAAGUUUGCACAUUAGAGUGCCUAAACAAGCUUCAUCCGAUGUGCGCAAGCUGUUGCAGAGCAAAGAAAGGUUGCAAACUUUACAGAUCUGAUGGAACCCUAAUUUUGUACUGGAACCUAAACGGAGAGAUAAAAUCUUGAACGAACUGUGUGUGUUUGUGGAAUAAAAGUCAAAUAAAUUCAAGAAACUUGUACGUAGUUUCUUGAGAAAUGAAAAAAAGACUCAUGUUUAGUUACAUGUGUUUACAUUUUUUCUAUGAAUACAUUAUCAUUUAUUUACUGCCAUAAAACUUUCAUGAUUCAUAGUUAAUGGACAAAACCAUCAAACCAUUUAAUUUUUAUUUCAAAUUAAUUGAAAGUCAUUUGCAGUUUUAACAUCCAAAUUGAUGAUUUCAUGACGUGGUGAACUAAAUUCACAUGUUUAAAUAGAUUGGGGAUCCAAAACCUCACUUCUAAGGUUGAGAACUCAUAACCACAUUGAAUAAAAGGUUAUGAAGCACAGCCUGAAUUUGCACCAAAAUUGGACUUGUAAAAAUAAUAAACAUAUUACAACUAUAAUAAGGGCAAGGAGGCAAAAAUUGGAGCUCAAUAAGGGAAUACGCCAGGUUGCAUUUGCAACACACGUCAGAAAUGGGUUGUGUUUUUGACACGUGUCUAACACAGACACGCCUACGCUGGAAACACGUCUAUAGUUUUUAAUUGAGCUAUCUAUCACUGGAAUUAGGCUUAUUGUAGUUUAUUUCCAUAAAACAUUCUUUUUCUCCAAGAAUAGUUUUACUCUCUAUGUUCACUGUUGUAAUCAUUGUAAUCCAUUGUAUUCACAUAAUUGAAAAAUACCUUUUUGUACAACAUAAAUCAUUAAUCAUUAGCAACAUGUAAGAACAACCUUGUCAAAAGUGGGAACUACUACAUAUUAAUCGGAUAUUCCCAUGUAAAAAAAUACAGGUAACAAUAUAGCAAGUUUAUGCCUGCAAGUAAUCAGCACAAAAUUGAUACAUUCUUCAGCUAGUAAUAUUUGAUAGGGUUAAUAUGUUCAAUGUUUAGGGUUUUAGGAAGUUUUCAAUGACAACUAACAUAAUUAACUAUUGAUAUGAUAGUACACUAAGAUCAGUUUUUCGACUUUAUGUUCUAAUUUUUGAAUUUGCAAUGCACGUAAUCAGCACGAACUAGGUACAAUAUGUUGCAAGUAUUUCUUGAUAUUGUCAUAAUAGCUAACAAAAAAGCGAUAUGACCUCCGUCAAAUAUACGAUUUUAUAUAAGGAAAUAUUGAAUUAGCAUUAAAAGGUCAAAUGAAUGCUUUGAAAAAACUGCAUACCUUAUUCAUAUAAGCUCAUGAAAAAAAGAUGUGGAAAGAACUUGAGAAACAAGAUAUACUAAGGAAAAGUUAGGAAGAGAAAAUAAGGAAAGAAAUUGAGAAGACAGGAGGAAGACAGAGCUAAUAGAGGAUGAGCAUCUAGAACUGAUGGAGUGUGCUGCUUCAAGCGUUACCUUCAAUUAUUUCUCUUGAUUAUGACACCAUGCACAAUUUUGAGUCUUUCCCGGAAAAUUUGUGUCAAUUGAAUUGAAAGACCGUGCAACUGAAGAAUCUAUUUCCUGUUUUUGGCCUUUUAACAUUGACUACGAUUCAAAGAAGCUUGGUGCGAUACACACUGAUCUUCUAAAACUAACCAUAAAAGAUAUUGAAGAUCUUGUGGAACUUGAUAAAAUAAAUAUAGUGACGUCAAUCCUGACUGGACAUCCUCAGAUUGUUGAAGGGGACAUAUUUGUGGGUAUUCGACAAAUGCAACUGGCUGAAGCAUUUAAAUCCACUGAGGUGGCCUGAAAUCUUGUGGCAAUUUGCAUUCCCAGAUGGAUUUUGGCCAUAGUUGAAGAAAAAGAGUCUCCAAAGGAUAAUAAUGAGACUAAAUGUUGUGAAGAUAGCUUAGUUGCUGAUAAUGAAGUUUCAUUUGGAGGCUUUCAAAGGAAGCAUUUGAUGCGAUUUUCACAUCUUUUUGCUUGUGGGACUAGAGAAUCUCAUUUGCAUAUGAUAUUGCAAAAGAUAGAUGUCACCAAAUCUUCCAAACGAAUAAAUUAUUUUCCAUUAGUUAGGAUCAAGGUGGAAGAAGAAAUCAAAUUGAAAAUGCAGGUAAAUUAGAACCAUCACAUUCCUUCAAGAUCUUGGAAGGAAUUAUCUAGAAAAUAAGAAUUCCUUUUGAGGAGAAACAAUUAGAUCCUUUUGGAUAUGGAAGUGUGCUGCAAUUCAUCUAUUUUAUGAGCCAUUCCGCUUGAAAAGAAAGAGUGCUUAAAUUUGCAAUGAAAUUGAUCUUGGAAAUAUUAUACUGAACGAUGAAAUUGCCAAAAUGAUGCAUUUCAGGGUUGUAGAAUUAUCCAGAAAAUAAAUAAAUAAAUAAGCACAAAAAUUGCACGAACCUUUAUGGCAUGUCUAGUAAGGACAAUUUGAUAGUUUUUGACAACAUAAUGUGCAAUGGCUAAUUCUUCUUGUUAAUUAAAGAGAGAAAACAACUAGACAUACAGAUAAAGAUCCACAAGUGAGAUUUGGAAGUGUUACAUUAUUAUACCAUUGAAUGCAAUAGUUAUAUAUUUCCACAUCACUCAAGUUUUUUGGAAAUACUUUCCACAAUCUCCAACAUAAAAUAAACAUUCAUUCUUUUAAAUGUUUUCUUUCAAAUGCCUUUAUAUCCAAAAAACAAAACUCUCUCUCUCUUUUGACAGAAAAUAAAUUUCAGCACAAAAUUAUCUAGAAAAUUACUCAAAUUAAAUUAAAACAUAAAUAACUAAUGUCACUCACUUUCCAAGUUUUAGGACACCAAGCCAACAUAGUCUCAAAACUCAGGAAAGAAUCAAACGGAAACAAUCUUCACUACCAAUUGUCAAAACAUAAACGAGGACUAAAAACAUGUAUUUGACGUAAAGUUGUGAAGAUACCAUGAAAGAUUUCAAAAUUAUUUUAUAAUCUUACUCAAAAUAAGAUAUAAUUGAGGACUUAAUCACUAAAAAAAGUGAUGAACAAAAUCUAAUUGAAUCAUAUCCUAUCUUUUUAUGAAAUAUCUAACAAAGAUCCUCCUUUUGAUAGACCGCUGAGGAAGAAAAGCCUUAAUGCUCAACAAUGGCUUUGAACAUAAAGCAAUUCAGCAUUAAAUUCUAGGUGUUUUGGAUGAAUGAUUUUAAUAAUUACGUCAAAAAAUAGAGAUUUUUGAGUUGAUCAAAAAGGGGAAAAAAAACCUUGGUAUUCAAUAGCUCAGACUCAAAGAAAGCAUUUAUAUUUAUUUUCUUACCAUUGUUGGCUAGUUACGUGAUUCCUCUACGUUCAUUCAUAUACAGAAAUUAUGUGCUAUUUGUGGCAUUUAAUUUGAAGCAACGGGAUAGUACUCAAAAAUAAGACUGCAAGUGAGUAUUAAUCUCACCAAUUAAACUAGAAAUUAAUCUUUCUUUCACGUUGAUCAUGAAAUAAAUGCACUGGCAGAGCUAAAACUCGUGUCCUGAGGAUAUCAACACACCCACAAUAGAAUUCCUUACCCCAAAAUGAGUAUCUCGAAGAUCGCAUUCAUUCUUAGUAUUAUAAAAUUUGUUUUGGUAACUAUAAUUAUAACGAAUAUUGUUUGAUAGUUUUGGACAAUAAAAACAAGAAAAGGUAAAAAUCAUCUUCAUUAUGUGGUCCAGAGUCGUAUCAACUGGUCUGCACGAAAUAUGCAUGGAGUAAUUCGUCUUAAUUAGUUAAAGAGAAAAAAAUGGAGUAUAUAUUGAUAAGAAUCCAAUGGUGAGAUACAAAAGUAUUCCAUUUUAAUUCCUUUCUAAAGCCAUAUUUAUAUACAGCUAUAUGUUCAAUAACCAAGUCAAUUCUAGCAAUUUUGUAGUUUCAGCUGCCAGUUCAUCAUUUUAGCCAUGGACUUAUUCAGAAGUAAAGAAAAAGAGUCUAAUUACAAAUGUGAAGAGAAGGAACAUGACAGUUCCCCAAAGAGGUCUAGGAAGACCAAGCACACUGUGAGGAGGAAGAGACUAAAACUAGAACAAAAUAUAUCUUCCGUGACUAGAUUUUCCCAAUCAACCAAAAAGCACGUGAAAACGCUCAUUUAUUGAUUAAAAAAAAUACUGAGUGGCCAAUUGUUUGCCAAAAAAAAAAAAAAAAAAAAAUUCCGUCCAACAAAAAAUUAGCCUUUGAAAAGAUCAUUUACCAACCAAAAUAAUUAAUAGUAGGUCUAUAGGAGACAUAUUUGCCAAUUAGAUGAAAUGGGUCUGUGAAUAUUUUAUUUUUAUUUCACAGGGGAUAUGGGCACAACAAUUAAUUGGACUUUUGGACCCAAAAUAACAUUUAGCUAUGGUAAGAAAUUGCUGUGUGUCUUCUCCAUUUCCGGCCAUGAAUAUCCCAUUCUGGUGUCGUCAGUAUCCAGCUAUUUUUGGCCGUCCCUCGUGAGUUUAGUUUAUCUAUCUUUUCCUCUCUUUGUAUAAAUCGAGGGAGAUUUACCCCUUGGUUAAUGAAAAAACCAAGGGAGGAUUGGGAUAUAUUGGAUAUUUUCAUGUGAAAAUAUAAAGUUGACAUUAUUGCAAACUUGUGCUUGCAAGUAAUCAGAACAUUCUUCCACAAGUGAUAUUUGAUAGUGUUAAUAUGUUCAAAGUUAAGGGUUUUAGGAAUUCUUAUAACAUUCAAUGAGAAGUAACAUAACCCACUAUUGAUCUGAAAGUAAACUAGGAUCAGUUGCUCUCCUUUAUGUUCUAAUUUUUUAAUUUACGAUCAAGUAAUCAGCACGAACUGGGUACAACAUGCUGCAAUUACUAUUUGAUAUGUUAUAUGUGUCAAGAUUUGGCUACUCCUCUUAAAAAUGUUGACCUUAUUAAGAUGGACCCCAAAUCUUGACAUGGUAUCAGAGCCCAUUAACCUCCAACGAGCGAUUCGAUCCGAUUAAGUCUCUAAAAAUGAGCACACGGAUUUCAAGAUUGUCUGCUCAAAUGAGCCACCAUCUUGCGGGGGCAUGUUAAGGGAAUAUAAUCUCACAUCGGUAAAAUACCGAAAUAAUGACCAAUAUAUAAAGGAUUGGGACACUCUUCUUAAUGGUGUUUACCUUAUUAAGAUGGACCCCAAAUCUUAAAAAUAUGUACUGAGCAGCGCAGUGAAAGAUUCUCUGUCGAUAUGAUUUUAUAGAAGGAAAUAUUAAAUUAGCAUUAAAAGGUUAAAUGAAUGCUUCGUGCAUAUUCUAAAUCACUCAUGCUUCAUUCAUAUUCUGAAUCACUUAACUGCUUCAGAAGAAACUUUAUACCCUUUAAAAUAUAGAAAACAACAAGCUCAUGAAAACAGGAUACCGAAAGAACUUGAGAAAAAAGAUAUGCCACGGGAAAAAUGGGAAGAGAAAAUAAGGGAGUGGCAAGAUUAUGUAAGACAGAAGGAAGACAGAGCUCAUAGAGGGUAAGCGUUUAGAACUGACGGGGUAAGAUGCUUCAAAUAUUACCUUCAAUUGUUUCCCUGAUUAUAACACCUUGCAAAAUCUCAAGUCAUUCCCAGAAGAUUUGUGUCAAUUCCCUCAGAAGACCGUGCAAGUGAAGAAGCUAUUUCCUAUCUUUGGCCUUUUAAAGUUGAAUAUUUAGAUUAAUCUUUCCAUGACUACAAUUCAAGGAUGCUGGGUGUGAUACACUUUACUCUUCUAUGACUAACCAUAGAAGAUAUUGAAGACAUUGUGGGCCUUGAACAAAUCAAUAUAUUGAUGUCAAUCCUGAAGGUGGACAUCCUAAGAUUGUUGAAAGGAGACACUAGGUGCAAUACACUUUGCUCUUCUAAAACUAACCAUAAAAGAUAUUGAAGAUGUUGUGGGCCUUGAACAAAUCAAUAUAGUGACAUCCUUAAGGUGGACAUCCUAAUAUUGUUGAAGAGAGCAUGUUUUUUGGGUUUGAACAUACGCAACUGGCUGAAGCACUUAUAUCGGCAAACAUGGUCUGAUAUCUUGUGGUAAUUUGCAUUCAGAUUUGGGCCACGGUUGAAGAAAAAGUGUCUCCAAAGCGGUUGUAUGAACCAUAAUAAUGCAACUAAAUGAUAUGAAGAUACAACAUUUAAUCUGCAAAUAGCUCAGCAGCUGAUAAUGGAGUCGCAUUUGACGGCUUGUUGAUUCAAAGGAUGCAUUUGAUGCUCGUUACACAUCUUUUUGAUACUCUUGUGACUAGAGAUUCUAAUUCCAAACGAAUAAAUUAUUUUCCAUUAUCUAAGAUCAAGUUGGAAAAAGAAGCAGAACUGAAAUUACUGCGAGUUUGCUGCAGUGCGGUCUAUAGUGUAGAUGCAGAUAAAUUAGAACCAUCGCAUUCCUUUAAAAUCGAUCCGUCUGGAAUGAUGCAGAAAGUAAAAAUUCCUUAAGGAGAUACAAUCAGAUCCUCAUUUGGAUGUAGAAAGUGCGCUUAAAUUCAUCUAUUUUUUGAGCCAUUCUGCUUGAAAAGAAAAUUGAUCUUGGAAAUGUACUAUUGGACGAUUAAAUUGCCAAUGAGGAAUUUCAAGGUUAUAUAGUGAAGAAAAAAGCGGAAAACAAAAAUAAAAAUAAAAAAGGACCAAAAUUGCACAAACCUUUGUCGCACAUCGAGUAAGGAGGAUUUGACAGUUUUUGAGAAGAUAAUGUGCAAUGAAUGGUUCUUCUUGUUAGUUGAAGAGUGAAAAAUGGCUAGACAUAUAGAAAACGAUCCACAAGUGAGAUAUGGAAGUGUUCAGGUAUUAUACCAUUGCAACACUGUUGGGAAAUAAGUCGGAUGGAGGUAAUAUGACACAAUACGAAGUAUAUGAUCACGCACAAAAAACAAGACUAAAAGCCAAGAAAUAGAUUGCAGAGGAAAAGAGUAUUCUAUUCAAUAACCAACGGAGAGAAUAAUAUACUUACAGCAAUCUUAAUAAAUUGAAUGAAGAGUCUAGUAUUUAUAGAGAAUAUUCCCAAGGGAAAAUUGCAGCCGAGAUACCGAACAUUUCGUUUAUUAGCAGACUUUGCUCAAACCUUUAGUUUGUGCCACCCACAGUCUCAAACCUUUCAAAAAUAUGCACAGGGUGUUUAAAUGAAUGGAAACCGUCCGUUUAACCGUUAGUUGACCAAUAAAAUUGAAUUUUGACCAUUUUGACCACCUUAAAAGGGCAGAAAGGUAAAUUUGCUAUUUAAUUCUAUAAUAAAACAAAUAAACUAAUAUACCAAAUAAAAAUAAAAGAAACUACUAUUCAUCUUCUUCUUCCUCCCACCCCACCCAAUAGUAAUCAAUGGACAGUUAAAGGUGUUAAUGCCUACAAAAGUAGGAAUGCUAAGACGACCAAAAUUGUAACACUAUUUGCCUAAUGAAUUGUGAAAUUAAAAUAGAAAAGAAAUUAAGAAUACCUUCGUUGUGAUUACAGCAAAUCCACUUCGAUGUACCUAAUUGGCCAUGUUAUUGCACUUCCUAAUGCAACUUCAAGAAGAAAAAGCUCACGUAUAGGACGAUAUAAGCUAACAUUAUCAAUUACGUCACUAACCCAAAUUCUCCAACAUUCAUUACCAAGUGGUACAUGAAACACUAAAUCACUUGGAUUUGUUGAUGCGAUUUCACCUUUUGCAACAACAUUAGCUUUCCCAGACCAAGAUAACAACUUGCAUUUCCUACUUUGAAGGUUAUUCGAACCAUCCAAGCUUUUGUCCCUAGUCUGUAAAAUUUAUAUCCAAUUGUACAAUUUAUUAUUUUGAAAAUAGAAAUUAUAUGUAAUUUAGAAUAACAUGCAUUAAUUCUAGUUUUCCACUUACAUUAUCUUCUUGUUCAUCACUCUUACUCUUCAUUUGAAACAAAGCUUUUAAUUCUUUAAUUUCAUCUCUCAACUCUUGGACUUGAGUUUGCAAGUUAUGAUUGUACACCAAAGAAUUCAACUUUGAAGGAGUUGCACCGAAACCAAGACCUCUUAUCGAUCCUCGAUUCUGGACCAAGUACUCUAGGAACACCAUCGUCUUUAAGGGAGUGUUGGCUUGGGGAGGUAACCGUCUCUGAACAUGCAUUUAUUUUGUUUUGAUACGAGGAAAUAAAUUAAUGGGCAAAAAUUAUAAAUAUAAACUUUGAAUGACCGAAAGUUACUAAAAGGAAUAUUGUUACCAAUGUUUCCCAACUGAUUCAUCAAUAGGUUCACCAUUUAUUCGUGUAUGUGCUCGAAUAUAAACAUCAUCUCUUGUUAUGGAAUCUGUGUCUUCACUUUCAGCAUGCUGUAUUUUACUUAUUUCAUAUAUGUGAUAGCAUAAGCGUUUAUAAUUUUUCAAGCAAAUUUAACUUUUAAUUUAACAAAUUUUUACCAUUUAUGCUUCUAAAUGAGCAAAGCCUUUUCUACUUGUUGAAUGCAUUAGGGUUUGACCUGCUCUCAUCUUUCUAAAUCUUUCAUUCUUUUCCUACAACAUCAAUUAGUACUUUGUAAGAAUAACUUUUAUUAGGAAUAUAAAGCAUAUGUAGUAAGCAAUUUAGGAAAAAGUAAUGAAAGUUUACCUUAUAUGGUUGAGAAUUGCAUUCCAUGACAAAUGUUUGUCAUUCUUUCAUUGAUUCAACAUUAUCGGGCUUGAGGAAAGCAGCAGCUCGUGUCAUGCCAAUUGUUUUCCUCUGUCAUUGAUUGCUUUAAGCACAUUAGAUCGAUGAUCUCGCCAAUUCUUUCCCAUUUUUGCAUGAUGUAUUUUCUAUGACAAGUAUCAACAUCAAACUUUUGCUGCAUCAAAGCACACAAUAUUAAUAGUAAUUUAAAUUAAAUUAUAUAAGAGAUGCAAAGUUUAUAGUACUUGCACAUGCUCCCAUAUGUCAUCAAGAAAAUUUUUGCUGAUAUCUUUCCAAUUUUUACACGUAAUUGGUAUAAGUUCUCUGGCUGUGAUCCCAAGAAAUGAUGAUAACUUUGUUGAACCUUUACAAAUUGGCUACCCUCUUUCAUUAAACUCUAUUGAUAACUUCUCGCCUCUUCCCUUGUUUAAAUAAUUCAAUUUUGCUCGACCCCUUUCCUUCUUUCCUUCUUCAGUAGUACUAACGCUAUUAGGCAACAGUUCUACAUCAUGUUGCACAUCAUUUACUUGUAUGUUUUGAAUAAAAUUAGAACCUCAUUAUGAUAUUCUUAUACUUUCAUUAUCUUCUCUUGUGCCAGCAACAUUUAAAGCUUUUUUUUAGCUCGUUUUGACUUUUUAUAGCCUUGUAAAAAAUAAAGGUGACAAUAUGCCAAGCUUAUGCUUGCAAGCAAUCGGCACAAAAUUGAUACGUUCUUCUGCAAGUAAAAUUUAGUCGUGUUAAUAUGUUCAAAGUUUAGGGUUAAAGGAAUUUUUAAAACAUUCAGUGAAAAGUAACAUAAUUAACUAUUGACACGAUAGUACACUAGGAUUAGUUUUUCUCCUUUAUGUUCUAAUUUUUGAAUGUGCAAUGCACGUAAUCAGCACGAACUUGUUACAAUAUGCUACAAGUACUGUUUGAUAUUGUUAUUCUUUCUGAACAACAAAGUAAUAGAUCCUCUAUUCCGUGUAAGAUUUUACAGAAGGGAAUAUUGUAUUAGCAUUGAAAGGUCAAAUGAAUACUUCAUACAUAUGCAAAAUCAAUCAACUGCUUCGAAAGAAAAUGUCGAUGAAAACAACAUGCAUAUUAAAUAUGACAAGCUCUAUUCUAUGCAGUGCACAAUAAAUAUAGUAGAAAAUGACAAGCUCAUGAUAACAACAUGCAUAAAGAACUUGAGAAACAAGAUAUGUUAAAGAAAAAAUGGGAAGAGAAAACGAGGGAAGAAAUUGAGUGUCAAGAUCAUGUAAGAUGGAAGGAAGAUAGAGCUAAUGCAGGAUGAGCAUAUAUAACCUCCAUGGCGUGGACACUUCAAUUAGAAUAAUGUGUUUUUGUCGGACAUAUGUCAGAUACUGACAGUUCUCGAACACUCCACCACGGUAAUGUUUUUCUUUAUAAUAAAUAUUAUUUAUUUUUUCCUUAAAUUUUUUUAUUAAAUAACAAAUAUGUACUCAUAUUUAAAAAUUUUCGAAAAUAAAAAUUAAUGACAAGUAUAAACUAAAUUUAUACUAUAUAAAUAAAGAAUUUUAAAGAAUAUAAUCAACGUGUCAAGUUAGUAGUUUUUUGAAAAAUCUCAUAUCGGCAUGUUUGACACUUAUCAUGUCCAAUACAGGUGUCAGUGUUGGUUCUACAUAAUCUAGAUCUGGUGGAGUUAGCUGCUUCAAAAAUUACCUUCAAUUGUUUCUCUUGAUUAUGAUAACAUGCAGGCAAAAUCUCAGUCAUUUCCAGAAGAUAUGUGUCCAUUUACUCCGAAGGCAUUGAGAGUGAAGAAUAUAUUUCCUAUCUUUGGCCUUAUUUAGUCCAAUCUUUCCAUAACUAUGACUUAAAGACGCCUGGUAUGUUGCAUAUUUCUCUUCUAAAACUAACCGUAAAAGAUACUGAAGAUGUUGUGGACCUUGAACAAAUCAAUAUGGUGAUGUCAAUCCUGAAGGUGUACAUCCUCAGCAUACAAAACUGGCUGAAGCACUUAAAUUUGCUGACAUGUUCUGAAAUCUUGUGAAGAUAUAGCAUUUACUCUUGGAUAAGUACGUAAGCAUACUAGAUCACUGACAAGUAAUAAUUUAGUGAGUUAAUAAUAUCAUCCUACAUGGAAUAAAUACUAUUUAAAAUGUACUAGUCUUNAACUCUCAUUCACCUUUAACAGAAAAUAAAUUUUAGCUCCAAAUUAUCUGGAAAAUUACUCAAAUUAAUUAAAAAUGUAUAGACCUAAUGUCAUCCACAUUCCAAGUUUUAGGGCACCAAGUAAUAAUAGUCUUAAAACAAUUAUAAUUAAUAUGUCAAACUCAUGAAAGAAUCCAAUGUAAACAAAAUUCGCUACGAAUUGCCAAAACAUGAAUGAGAACCAAAACACAUAUAUUCAUUGUAGAGUCCUGAAUACCAUGAAAGAUUUUAAAAUUAUUUCGUAAUCUUACUCAAACAAAUGAUAAUUGGAUGACCUACUCGCUAAAACAAGCCAUGAACAAAAUCCAACUGAAUAAAAUUUCUUUUUUUAUGAAAAAACUAAUAAAGAUCCUGCUUUUGAUGGGCCACGGGGAAAGAAAAACCUCAAUGCUCAACAAUGGCUUUAGAGCAAAUUAAUGAUAAGCAAGCAAUUACAUUUGUUUUUUUACCGUUGUUGGUCAGUUACAUUAUUCCGCUAUGUGCAUUCAUAUACAUAAAUGUGAUUAUGUGAUGUUGGUGUUAUUUAAUUUAAAGAAACUGGAUAGUACUCAAAUAUAUAUAUAUAUAUAUAUAUAUAUAUAGGAAAUGUACUUUCCCAUUUAAGGGGUUUUUAAGUAUUAAUCUCGCUAAUUGUGAAGCCCCCAAAAAAUUCAUAGAAUAGAAUUUAAUUAUUCUAGAUGCUAUAUUUUAUAUUUUGGGAAAUUUGGGGGGACUAAAGUGAUAUAUAUAUUAAUUCAAUUUUAUUUGGGUCAAAUAUUAUAUUUUAACAGAGUGAUGAUAAGCAUAUCAAUAUUGAGCUCGUUGGAUAGCUCAUAUUUAAGCAUCCAUUUUAGACUCGAGAAAAAGUUAAAUCGGAUGAGUUAGAUCCAAAAUAUUGCAGUUUAUAGAAGUUCUUAUUAAUUGGUUUUGAUUUAAAUUAAAUAAUGUAUUUAAUAAAGGUAUGUAGCCACAUGUAGGUUAAAUGGAGUUGAGGUGGUUUUUGAAUUAAGCUCUUUAGACAGGCCGAAAUCGUAAUUGAAAAAAAGGGAUUUGAAAUUUUCCACGUGGCCAUUGUAGCCCACUUAAUUUUUGAGGGAAGCCAGCAUGUGUGGACCACUCUUUUUUCCAUUUUCCCACCCCCCUGAUUUUACCGUAAGUAGAGUCCCUCUUUUACAAAACAAAUACAGCCCUCUGAUCCACUCUCCGAUGACAUUAAGGUCCAUCGACGACGUUCAAUCCCUUCCGAAGACGUUGUGCAUAGGUAAAAUCAAUUUCUAUAUAUUUUUUUAAAUCACUUAUUAAAUGGUUCUUCUUCUUAUAGUUUAGGUCAAUAAAUAAGUAGUUUGAAAUUGGACAUUGAAAGAAUAAAUGUUCAAGACAGACUAGUGUUUUUCUCAAAUAUUAUUAGUUCACAUUGAUGCUAAAAAAAACUGAAGAAAAAACUGCAUUUUUGCAGCUACCUUUGCGUCAGGAAUCACGGGGUUUGUUCUGAAGCUGCAUUUGGGAGCUACUCUAUUAUUUAUUCACUCACCUCCCAACAAGUAAGAAUAUUAAUUAAUUUUUUUUUUUUGAAGGGUUUUGUUUCAUUUUAUUUGGAUACAAACACACACAGUACUCUGUAAUUUUUUUUGAAGGUUUUUUGAAGAUCAAUGUAUGUUUUUCCGAUGGUUUGUCCCUCUUGCUCCUUCUUAUUGGUGGUAGAUUUUCACAGGUUGGAUCCAUUUUGGAGAUGGGGCAUGUUCAUGAGAAAAUGAGCAAGAAAAGGUGAUUGAUUAAGAUGGAGAAAUUUAGUUAGAUUAUUAACUAUUCAAGACCUUGAGUCGAGUUUUGCUUAUCCUCGUGUCUCGAAAUGGAAAAUAAUUGUUCUUGAUCUUUAUUGCAAAAUUCAUCACUGUAUCGAUACAUAUAGAAAACAUGUUCCUGUGGUUAAUUUUAAUUUUAAAUGACUUGAAUAAUUAAUAGUAUAAAUAAUUAUUAUUAUCAUUAUCAUCAUCAUCAUCAUCAUUAUAAAAUGAAAAUAACACAAAUAUCCUUAGCCAUUAACUUUGAAAAAUGAAAAAUAAGGGCAAAACGGACAUUAUACCAUUUGGUGCAAAAAAUGGUGUAAUGAAUAAUGUUGCACCAAAUAUGGUGCAACACUAUUUAUGUUGCACCAUUUUGCACCAAAAUUUGGUGCAGUGGUUGGAAGAAGUUUGCACCAAAUUUUGGUGCAAUUUGGUGCAAUAGGGCAUGCAUUGGAAAUGCCCUUAAUGGCACAUUUUUACCAACAAACUAUCUAUAAAAUAAUUCGGAAAUGAUUAAGACUAAUGACCAAUGCUAAUUGCUAAAUUCCAAGCCAUGCAGAUUUUGAAGGGACAUCUAUACACACAUAUGAUCAAGCUUCCUCACUAAUCCGACUUGAUAGCCUAACAAAAGUGAAUUUUAAAGGUUAGGCUAACUAAUUUUGUCUUCAACAUGGCAGAUUUGUACUUGAAUAUAAGUUACCAAAAUUAAAAUUCAAUAGCGCUAUGCAGCAUUAGUGAAAUUAACGCAAUUGAAAUUAACGUAAUUGAAGAACCUAUUUUAUCAAGUUUACUCAUUGCUUUUUUUCUAUGUAUUAUUUACCGAACAUAACUCUUAAAAGGCAUCAAGUUUACUCGAAAUAACUGAAAUUCACGCAAGUAUUCACUAGUAAAAUUGAAGAUACAACACGUCAAAGAAAGAAAUUACAUUCACUCGACAAAUGGCUACAUUAACAACAAAAAGGAAACUACAGGGAAAGAAACAUAAAAAUACAGAUAGAUGAUGCAGCCAGCAUUCUAUCACACCAAUGCCAUUUAAGAGAAGCCCUCCUUUCCUGCACAAACUUGCACAUCCAUACGUGCUUUCCGUUGAUGGUAAACUUGGCCUUCUCCGAGCCAUCGAGAAUUUCCUGAACAACGUGGCUUUAAGGAACACGACUCAAGCAUAAAGUGGUUGCUCUUAAGGCCUAACCUUCUGCAUUGUGAAGGACUCUAUGCAAUUCCCAUAAACCAUUGCGAAGAAGUGCCUAAUUUCCAUUUCAGCCACUAGAUAACCCUUAGAAAAAGUUGCAAACAUAGUCCUGUCCUCUCAUGGUACCUCAUUUCUGAGUUGAUUUUUUUCUCGGGAAUGCAUUCCUUCCAACUCUCGUGUUAGAGAAGUUAUGGAUCAUCGACUCGUGGAAAUGACAUGACAUCAUCAUUUUCUCAACUUAAUUACUGGAACUUCCAUAUAAUUAGACCAAAUGCAUAAAACCCAGAAAAAUGUGAUACCUUCAAACUGUUGAAACUUUACCUCCACUUGAGAUGAAAUGGAGAUAUCAAAAUUGCCUCAAUAAACUCAAACUCUAAAUCCCAGAUCUCUUAAAAUCCCAUUGCCAAAACUCAAACGUCUUUUCAUAUUGUUCCUCUAAAAUCCCUCAACAAUUACACCUUUAUUGUAAAAAAAUGCCAAAAGAAAUCUUUAAUUUGAAGUGGAAGGGAAACCCACAACACAAAAUAACCCAACAGUGCACAUGGAUUCUAGGGAAUGUGCAAUGUGGAACAAGAAAUCGUUGGGACGAAGUAUAUUAAUAACAGGCCGACUAUAUUCUGGGAAAUUUUUCAGUUUUACGAAAAAAAAAAAAACCUUUUUAAAAAAAGAAAAAAAAUGCAGUUUUACAAACUCACCUCUUGAUGGCGAUGGUGCGUGAUGGCGACAGGAGAUGGAGCGUUUGGACUCCGGGCUGUUGAGUUUUCGAAUUUCAACUGUGGGUUAUGGAAGUGCACAGGACCUCUUCGAUUUUUUAAAACCUUAUUUUCCGACGGAACCCGAAAAUCGUUGAUCCUGAUGCGGCGACACCACCGGAUUUGUAGGGUUACAUUUGAGGAUUUCUGUGGGCUUUGGAGAGAGGAAUUUUGUGGGUUUUGGAGAGAGAACAUUGGGGGUGAUGUUUGACUUUUUCCACUUUAAAAUGUGGCUUUUUUUUUUCUUUUCUUUUUUUUUUUUCAAAUGCCAUGCCAGCCCUAUCUUAAAGCUUGUAUUCUACCCUGUCUCAGUAGCAGGAUUGUUUUAUUUAUUAGUUAUGAUUUUGAGAUUUGAUGGGAAUUGACUGUCACGUGUAGAUUGGAUAGGGAUCAAGUAGCUUUUGAUUGUAUGUAAAAUUUGGAUUGAUAAUUUUUGGGAGAACACGGCACUUUAGCAAAUUUUUAUGUAUAUAAAAAUUUAAUUUUCCCUUUCGACUUUAAUUAUCGUGCAAAAGUAUUCAUUAUCUAAUCAAAAAAGUAUAGAUACAUAUAUACGGCAGUAGUAACACCACAAGCAGAAGGUAAAGAAUUGGAACAUGAUUUUGAUUUUGUCUUUCAAAUUUAUUUGAUCUAAUGAAGUAGGAUAACGAGGUAGUUAUUUUUAUCCCAUUUUAAUUUUUUUCCGGUGUUAUCAAAUUAUUAUACUUAUGAAAGUUAAAGAUAUGAUAUGAUAUGUAUGAUAUUGUCAUCCAGUACCAAAGAUAUGAUAUGUAUUGAACUCUUACUAGUCCCUAAAGUUAUGAUGAUGGUAUGAUAUUUUUGACGCAUAAUCUAAAUAUUUAUAUUCAGGAUUGCACCAUUAUUUUUGUAUCCUACUGAAUAUCCCCACAUACUCUAUCAUUUUCCCUACCUCUCACAGGUUAGAAUUGGUCGUCGAUUGAUGGGCAAUGAGGUGUAGUUGUGGUGAUUGGAUUCAUUGGACUUAAUAAAUUAAAUCCGGUAUAAUGUGACUAUAAAUUUUAUUUUCAGCAUUUAUUUUAGUUUUAUUAUUAUUUGAAUUUUGUUAUCUAGGGUUUGGAACAUGUUUUAUUUUCUUAAGUUUUUUCAUAUGUUCUAUUUAAUAUUUGUGGAACCAAAAUUUCACGUUGUGAUGUUUGAUAUGUUUAUUUAAUUACGAAAUGAAUAAGAUAUGGCUUAGGAAAAUCCUCGUUCUUUUUAAAUUAAAGAAUAUGGAAUUAAUCAAUAUAACAGUGAGUAACCUACCAUUACAUGAUUUUAUAUUUAUUGCAUACCAUUUUUUUCAAAAGUUUAAAAUGAAACUUUUUGUAAUGAUUUAAAUAUUAAAAAUUUGGGUCGUUACACUAAUUAAGCAUGUUUUUAAUCUUUCUUUCAUGUCGAUCAUGAAAUAAAUACACUGGCAAAGCUGAAACUCUUGUUCUUAGAUAUCGACCUGCAUGUAAAAGAGGUCCUUAAUCCAAUUGAAUUUCCCAAGGAUUGUGUUCUUACUUAGUUUUAUAAAAUUUGUUGUGGCAAUAUGUUGUUUGAUAGAUUUGGACAAUAAAAUUAAGAAAAGGUAAAAGUAAUGUUCAUUAUGUGGUCGGGAUCAUAUCCACUAGUCCACACCAAAUAUGCACAGAGUAAUUUGUGUUGUUAGUUAAAGAGAAAAAUGGUGAGUACAUAUUGAUAACUAUCCAAUGGUGAUAUAUAGAAGUGUUCCAUUAUAAGUCAAUUUUAUAGACCCUAGACUUAUUCAGAAGUAAAGAAAAGGAGUCUAAUUACAAAUAUGAAGGGAAGGAAUAUGACAGUUUCCUAUCAGAAACGAGGUCUAAGAAGAUCAAGCAGAUUUUGUGAGUAGGAAGAGACUAAUACUAGAAUAAAAUAUAUUUUUCGCAACUAGACUUUUAUUGACCAUCCAAAAAGCCAGCCAAAACGCUCGUUCAUUGACUAAUUAAAAUAAUUAGUUCGCAAUAUCUUUGCCGAUGAGUUAUUCUUGUUCAACCCUCAAAAAUUAGCCCAUGACAACGUCAUUUGCCAACCUAAAUAAUUAUUGGUCAUCCAAGAGGAGACAUAUUAGCCGACCAAAUGAAAUGGGUCUAUGAAUAUCUUAUUUUUGUGCCAAAAUAUUUGGCAAUGGAUAUGGACGCAACAAUAAAUGGUACUAUUAGACCCAAAAUAUCAUUUAGCUAGGGUAAGAAAUUGCUCCAUUUCUGGCCGUGAAUAUCUUAUAUCUCUUAUUCUGGUGUCCCCCGUCUCUCUCAAUUUCUGGCCGACCCAGGUUAGUUUACUUUAUCUUUCCCUUCCUCUCUUUUGCAUCUCUAUAUAAACUAAUGCCCUCACUCAGCAUCCCCAAGGGAUAUUUUUCUCCUUGGUUGAUGAAAAAACAAAGGGAGGAUUGGGAUAUUGGUGUUAGUGGUUGUCUGUAGUAGUUCUAGGUGGGAUAUUGGUAUAUUGGGCUCUACUAUAUAUUGGAUAUCUCAAUGUGAAAAAAAUAAAGGGGACGAUAUGGCAAGCUUAUGCUUGCAAGUAAUCGGCACAAAAUUGAUACGUUCUUCUGCAAGAAAAAUUUAGUAGUGUUAAUAUGUUCAAAGUUCAGGGUUUUAGAAAUUUUUAUAACGUUCAGUGACAAGUAACAUAAUUAACUAUUGACACGAUAGUACACUAGGAUUAGUUUUUCUCUUUUAUGUUCUAAUUUUCGAAUGUGCAAUGCACGUAAUCAGCACGAACUUGUUACAAUAUGCUACAAGUUCUGUUUGUUAUUGUUAUGCUUUCCGAACGACAAAGUAAUAGAUCCUCUAUUCCGUGUAUGAUUUUACGGAAGGGAAUAUUGUGUUAGCAUUGAAAGGUCAAAUGAAUACUUCAUACAUAUGCAAAAUCAGUCAACUGCUUCGAAAGAAAAUGUCGAUGAAAACAACAUGCAUAUUAAAUAUGACAAGCUCUAUUCUGUGCAAUGCACAUUAAAUAUAUUAGAAAAUGACAAGCUCAUAAUAACAACAUGCAUAAAGAACUUGAGAAACAAGAUAUGCUAAAGAAAAAAUGGGAAGAGAAAAUGAGGGAAGAAAUUGAGUGGCAAAAUCAUGUAAGAUGGAAGGAAGAUAGAGCUAACAGACGAUGAGCAUAUAUAACCUCCGUGGCAUGGACACUUCAAUUAGAAUCGUGUGUUUUUGUCGGACAUAUGUAUACUGACAGUUCUUGAACACUCCACCACGGUAAUGUUUUUCUUUAUAAUAAAUAUUAUUUAUUUUUUACUUAAAUUUUUUUAUUAAAUAACAAAUAGGUACUCAUAUUUAAAAAUUUUCGAAAAUAAAAAUUAGUGACAAGUAUAAAACUGAAUUUAUACUAUAUAAAUAAAGAAUUUUAAAGAAUAUAAUCAACGUGUCAAGUUAGCAGUUUUUUGAAAAAUCUCAUAUUGGCUUGUUUGACACUUAUCGUGUCCAAUACACAUGUCAGUGUUGGUGCUACAUAAUCUAGAACUGAUUGAGUUAGCUGCUUCAAAAACUACCUUCAAUUGUUUCUCUUGAUUAUGAUAACAUGCAUGCAAAAUCUCAGUCAUUUCCAGAAGAUUUGUGUCCAUUUACUCCGAAGGCAUUGAGAGUGAAGAAUAUAUUUCCUAUCUUUGGCCUUGUAAUGUUUAUUAUUUAGUCCAAUCUUUCCAUGACUAUGACUUAAAGACGCCUGGUAUGUUACACAUUUCUCUUCUAAAACUAACCGUAAAAGAUAUUGAAGAUGUUGUGGGCCUUGAACAAAUCAAUAUGGUGAUGUCAAUCCUGAAGGUGUACAUCCUCAGCAUUCAAAACUGGCUGAAACACUUAAAUCUGCUGACAUGUUCUGAAAUCUUCUGAAGAUAUAGCAUUUACUUUGUGAAUGGCUCAAUACUUGGAUAACUUCGUAAGCAUACAGGAUCGCUGACAAGUAAUAAUUUAGUGAGUUAAUAAUAUCAUCAUACAUGGAAUAUUUACUAAUUAAAAUGUACUAGUCUUAUAUCGAAUUCGAAAUAUGUAAUGCAAAAGAGAUUAUGUUGUAAUUAUUCUAAAUUAUUCACUAAAAUUAUGUAAGAGUUUGGUUUUGUAAAAUUAUAUGGAAUGAUUUCAUUGGAAUUAUAAUCCAUCUAAUGUUAUGUAUUUUAAUUUUCAAUUAUGUAAUCCAGUUUUAUUCAUACUCUCUUGAUCAUUGAUAAUCAAAUUUUGCUUAAUUUUCUUUUUCAAGAUAAGUUAAAUAUAUGUUAGAUACGACAAGACCCAAUUCUAUUCCUAGUUCAAUUUUAUAUGAAUAGAAUGCAUUUAACUACAAGAUUAUUUAUAAGAUUGCACACGCAAGCGUUGCAUGUUAUUCCUACCAUCUAUAUGUUAAUCAUAAAGAGUUCUAAACUUAUUGUGUACCUCUUCGCACUAUAGCAAGUAACUAAUUAUCUAAUUGAUGGCAAGCAAUUAAAUAAUGCAACAAAAAUACAAGAUUAAUCAAGAAAAAAUAAAAUUUACUAAAUUACUCAUCUUGAAUUAAACUAAAUAGACGACAAAAAGCAUUCAUCUUCUUCAAUUCAAACAAAUAUCAAGCUUAGCAUGAUUCCUAUUAUAUUACCAAAUAAUAAUGAAAAAUCAUCAUCUGAAAUUAAUAUGGAGACAAGAAGUAUGUAGAAGCAAUUUCUUGCUCUUUUUCUUCAACCAUGAUUCUUUAUUCUUCAAGACCAUGAUGUGAUAGUCCUUCAAUUCCUACUAGGUCUGAUCCUCUCUUCCAAAAGUGUGUGAAUUGACCUCAUGUUUUUGAUGAAUUUUGUAAUAUAAAUGUGUAUUAAGAGGCUAGAAAAAUAUCCGUAUUAUUUUGCCCGAAUUCUAUGUUUAUAGGAGCCGAAUUUUAGGUUGAGAUUGCGUCCAAUUAGUUCUAAAGAAGUUAAAAAUAGAAAAGAAAACUGCUGAUUCACCUGCUAGAAUAUGCCCAUGCAAACACAUGGCAAUCAUGCACCUAACAAACAAUUCAUCCUCAAGUAUGGGAACUGGGAAUCUCAGGCGCGUUUAUGCCUUUGAUUAGUCAUCAAUAAUUUUGUCAUAUCUUUCUCUUUCCAUAUCCAAUUGACGCAAUUCGAAAUGUGAUGGAAAACUAACUCAAAGGGAUACAAUAAUUAUGGAAGUAUCACGUUUUCAUUUCCAUCGGUUACUAUGUGAAAAAUGUGUCCCAUUCUGAGUAUAUGGAGCAUCACUUGUACAACUGAAAGAUGCAAUUGGUGAAAAAUAUAUUUUAAUAAUUCACUCCUAAUUGAAUCCAAUUGAUCGUAGGUGAUCUCCAAUCAUCAUUUUGUAGCCAAACCAACUAUUGGAUAAUUGCAAUUUUUCCCCGAACUUUGAAUUCUACAUUUUUCACCUUUUUUACUCAAAUGCUGAUUAAUACAAACAAGAUUAAUACAAAAUAAGUUAUAAUUGAUCAAAAUCACUAAUAAAUACUCCAAUUUAAUAGACUAGAUAAGUGUACAAAAUCACUUAUCACUUAGUAGCUUAUAAUGCACUUGCAUUUGGAGGCUUAUUUACCCAAAGGACGCAUUUGAUGAUCUUUACACAUGCUUGUCCAUGUAGAUGCAAUUUGUUUUACUACUCAUUUUAUGGUGGACGUCCUCAAUAAACUGCCACCCAACUCUAGCCCAUGCUGGUUGCACCGUGCAUUGGGAAACGAUGAUAUUGGACAUCACACACUUUAUGUAAAUCAAGCACUCAACUGGAGGUUUUGUGAUCACUUUUUAGGAGUUACAUUGUUUUUCCGCCAUCUAUGGUGGGGUCCAAAGAAUCAAGCAUUUGAUGUUUUUAAUCCAAAAUUGAAACUUGAUUGCCUAAGUAAUCAUUGCAUCUAGAAAGCAAGAAGUGAUGGUAUCUAUUUUCUUCGUGGGGAGGUAGAAACAAAACAAUAUGAUUGGCAAUAAAAUUCCCCAGUACUUUAAUUCUUAAUUUAAAAUUUUUAUAUCUUUUGAAUGUCAUGUUAAAACCCUUAUGAGUUACAUAAGUUACAUAAGUUAUAAUUGUCGAAUUCAACUUAGUCAUAUCGGUAAUUCAAGCGGUCGCCUAAGGUCCCUUAUUCAAGGAAGACCCUACAAAAAUUUAAAGAAAUUUCAUAUUUUCAUAUUUUAUUUAGUUUUUACUAAAUAAGAAUUAAAUUCCAAUAUUCAAGACUCUUUUACUUCUCUACUUUUUCCUUGUUCUUGAAAACUCGGGAUCAUAUAUUUAAAAUUCAUAACUAACAAACUCUUUAUUAUUACUACUUAUAUUUACAACAACUUAUCGAAGCAAUUGUCAAAAAGCAAUUUUAACCGAUUCGUGUAAGCCUAAUGCUACUAUCAUUUUCUUGGAAAUCAAUAAUUAUCAUUUACUAGCCUUUUCAUGCGUUCUAAUUGAAAACUAUUCAAGUGACUGAAUGUGCUAAAAUUUUUCAUAUUGGUUAGUAAAAAUCAUUUUCUUGUAUCAACUUUAAGGUAAAUAAAAAAAAAGACUUAUAUAAAAAGAGAGAACAAUUUUCAUUUCUGUAAUUACUUAAAUGCGUUAUUGCAAAAUUUCGAUAAUUUCAACUUUAAAGGCUUUUUUGGGCAAGUGUUGGUUCAUAGAUUUUCUUUCAUUUGAAUUUCAUGGAUAAUCGUGUUUGAUAAUUCUCGCUUAUGCUAAAUUUACGAGAUUAAAAAUAAAAUGUGGUGAUUUUACUAUUUUGAAUUUUUGGAUAGAAUUUAGUUUUCUUAGUGUUGAUCAAAUCAUCAAAUUAUAUAUCUAGAGCCUUCUAAUUAUUCUCAUGUGGUGGUUUUAGUAAUUAGUGAUAUUAUCAAAUCUUGUCUACCAUUAUAUUAUUUGAUGGAGUUCUACGAAAGCAUGUAUUCAUUAUUAUCCUAUUUACUCAAACAAUGUAAAACUAUUGAAAGUCUAUAUUUUAGAAAUUUUAUAAACAACCAAAUUUUAUGAAACUUUAUAUCUAUUAUCAAUUUAUCCAUGUCAAAACACCAAGAGUAAUAAUAAAUGUGGAACAUACCUCAAUCCAUUGCUUUAAAUCUUGAAUAUCGACUUGCAACCUUUUUAAUGUUGACUUCUUGCUCACUACAAAAAAAAAAAAAAAAAAAGUCUUUUGCAACUUUCGAACGUAUAUUGCAAAUCUCAAUGUUGUCGUAGAAUAGAAGGAUACAACAACUUUUUUGAAUGCUGGUAAUAAUAAUAUUGCAAUGUUUCUUGAAUGUUAGAAAUAACUUUUUUACAAAAAAAAAUAAAAAAAUUUCAUGGCUAAUUACAUUUUUGCAACGUUUUUUAAUGCUACAAAUAACCUUUUUGCAGCAUUUUUUUUUAGUGAUGCUAAUAACAUUUUUGAAGACGUUGCGAAUAACUUUUUUGCAUCGCUUUUUUAAGUAUUGUGAAUAACAUUUUUGCAACAUUUUUUCAGUGUUUCCAAUAACCUUUUGACAACAUUUUUUGCCUGUUGUCUAUGAUUACAUUCUUGUUUUUUACAGUUUACCAUUGCGUAGGUUAUUUUACAUUUUUCUUAAUUUGUAGAGCAAUUUAUAUAAAUCAACCACAAAACCACAAAACAAAAUAGAAGAUAACAAUAUCAAAUAACUCUAAUAAUCAUUAUUAAUAUACUCCAAAAUGUAAAAGUAUGCACACAAAAUCAGAUCCGAAAUUCUGAAGUACCUAAAACACCAACACAUUUCCCCAAAAAAAAAAGAAGAAGAAGAAGAAAAAAGAAAUUCCACAAAUCCUGUUGUGUUCUUUCAAUAGUGUUCUUGCAUUCUAAAUGAGAUAGAACUUUUGUAAAAGAAAAAUCACAAUAAAGUUCAUACGAUCAAUUUGAUCAAACCCUACUCAUCUGACUUGUCUACUAUCUCCAUUUCCAAGUGUUUAACUACAACAAAAAGGGCUUUUUACGGCGGGCGGCCUGCACACCAUAUAAAGUAAUGCCGUAAAAAAGUGUCCAUUUUUACAACGUGCAAUUACACCUUUUACGAACACCGUUAUUAGUUAUACGAUUUUUUUAUGGUGUGCAGGCACAUGCCGUAAAUGUGAGUGUUUUACCCUUGCACACACCGUAAAUGCGAGAUUUUACUUUUAACGGUGGUGCAAUCACAGGCCGUGAAAGGUAACCCUGUUAGCGUUUACGGUGUGCUAAAUGUUAACUUAAUUUAGAAAAACUGUUUAUUUAUUUGAUUACUAGCACCUAUAAUAAUUACACAAAUCCAAUUCCAACUCAACUAAGAAGAAAAUUAAAAUGUUUUUCGGUACAAGCUAGCAUGAUAAACAAAAUUAAGCUAAUUAAUUAUUCUAAAUUUAGAUGAAAAAAUUAACCCAAACAUUUAUCAUAUAAAUAAAAUGUACCAAUUAAGUUCAACCAGCACAAAUAAGUUAUUUUACAAACAAAAGAAUGAUUUCCAACCACAUGAGAACUUGAUUGAUAACUAAUGGCUUCUUUCUCUAAAUAUCUCAAGCAUGGUUACGAUAAGACUCGGACUCUAUGAAGAAUGUCACAUUGUGGAGCUCGAUCUGGGUGAGACUUUCGCAAUGCUCAUUUGUGAGCUACCUGCACCUGUAAUUUCAUCAAAUGUCAGUGAUCAAGUUCCACUCACUAGUAAUCAAUGGAUAGUUAAAAGUGUUAAGGCCCACAAAAGUAGGAAUGCUAGGAGGACCUAAAUUGUAACAUUAUUUGCCUAAUGAAUUGUGAAAUUAAAAUAGAAAAGAAGUUAAGCAUACCAUCGUUGUGAUUAUAGCAAAUCCACUUCGAUGUACCUAAUUAGCCAUGCUAUUGUACUUCCUAAUGCAUCUUCAAGAAGAAAAAGCUCAUGUGUAAGAUGAUAUAAGCUGACAUUAUCAAUCACUUCAUUAACCCAAAUUCUCCAACAUUCAUUACCAAGUGGUACAUAAUGCACUAAAUCACUUGGAUUUGUUGAUGCGAUUUCACCUUUUGCAACACAAUCAGCUUUCCCAUACCAAGAUAACAAUUUGCAUUUCCUAUUUUGAAGGUCAUUUGAACCAUUCAAAGUUCUAUCCCUAGUCUAUAAAAUUCAUAUCCAAUUGUACAAUUUAUUAUUUUGAAUACAGAAAUUAUAUUUAAUUUAGAAUAACAUUCAUUAAUUCUAGUUUUCCACUUACAUUAUCUUCUUAUUCAGCACUCUUACUCUUCAUUUGAAACAAAGCUUUUAAUUCUUUAGUUUCAUCUCUCAACUCUUGGACUUGAGUUUGGAAGUUAUGAUUGUGGACCAAAGCAUUCAACUUUGAAGGAGUUGCACCGAAACCAAGGCCUCUUACCGGUCCUCGAUUCGGGACCAAGUACUCUAGCAACACCAUCGUCUUUAAGGGAGUGUUGGCUUGGGGAGGUAACCGCCUCUGAACAUGCUUUUAUUUUGUUCUAAGACGAGAAAAUAAGUUAAUGGGCAAAAAUUAUAAAUAUAAACUUAGAAUGACCAAAAAUCACUAAAAGCAAUAUUAUUACCAAUGUUUCCCAAUUGAUUCAUCAAUAGGUUCACCAUUUUUUCGCAUAUGUCCUCGAAUAUAAACAUCAUCUCUCGUUAUGGAAUUUGUGUCUUCUCUUUCAGCACACAGCAUUUUACUUAUUUCAUAUAUGUAAUAGCAUAAAUGUUUAUAAUAUGUCAAGCAAAUUUAACAAAUUUUUACCAUUUCAACUUCUAAACGAGCAAAGCCCUUUCUACCUAUUGAAUUCAUUAGGGUUUGACCUACUCUCAUCUUUCUGAAUCUUUCACUCUUUUCCUACAACAUCAAUUAGUAUUUUGUAAGCAUAACUUUUAUUAGGAAUAUAGAGCAAAUGUAGUAAGCAAUUUAGGAAAAAGUAAAGAAAGCUUACCUUAUAUCAUUGAGAAUUGCGUUCUUUCGACAAAUGCUUGCAUUCUUUCAUCGAUUCAACAUUAUCGGGCUCGAGGAAAGCAGCAGCUCGUGUCAUGCUAAUUGUUUUUUCUCUGUCAUUGUUUGCUUGAAGCACAUUAGAUCGAUGAUCUCGCCAAUUCUUUCCAAUUUUUGCGUGAUGUAUUUUCUAUGACAAGUAUCAACGUCAAACUUUUGCUGCAUCAAAGCAUACAAUAUUGAUAGUAAUUUAAAUUAUAUUAUAUAAGAGACGUAAAGUUUAUAGUAUGUGCACAUGCUCCCAUAUGUCAUCAAAAAAAAUUUUGCGGAUAUCUUUCCAAUUUUUCCAUAUAAUUGGUAUAAGUUCUCUGGCUGUGGUCCCAAGAAAUGAUGAUAACUUAGUUGAACCUUUAUAAAUUGGCUGCCCUCUUUCAUUAAACUCUACUGAUAACUUCACGUCGUUUCGCUUGUUGAAAUAAUUCAAUUUUGCUCGAGCCCUUCCCUUCUUUCCUUUUUCAGUAGCACUAACACUAUUAGGGAACAGUUCUACAUCAUGUUGCACAUCAUUUACUUGUAUGUUUGGAACAGAAUUAGAACCUCAUUAUGAUAUUCUUAUCCCUUCAUUAUCUUCUCUUGUAGCCGCAACAUUUAAAGCUUUUUUAGCUUGUUUUGACUUCUUAUAGCCUUGAUUAGAUGACUAUAUUAAACAAAUAAGAAAAACAAAAAAUAUUUUACUUGAAUUUACUAAUAAAAAUUAUUAUAUAUACCAUCUAGGAACUUACUUCACCAGGAUAUGUCAUAUUAUUCCACUCGUGUAAACAUCAGCAUCAACAAAACUCAGCUUUCAUCUUUUGCAUCUAUAGAAAUAAAGCAAGAAAUAAUGGAAUUAGAGACAAUAAUGACAUUAACAUCAAUAUAAUAUCACAUAACUAGUAAAUUAAGUGCUUGUUUGGUAGGGAUUUUGUUAAUUGAUUUUGUGACCAUUAAAGAUAAAGUAUGUCCUACUUGUGAGAGAAGCUUUAAGGAAGCUGUUAAUUGUGAAAAAAAAUAAAAAAAAAUAAUAAUAAGAGUUAAAUACACAGCCAGAUCCUGCAAUGAAGAUGUCAAAUUUAUUGCAGGAUGUGAACUCAUGCAUACCUGGUGCAAAUAUUGGCAACCCAAUUUCAAGGUGCAGCCAUGUGAACAACGAAGCUAAUCUUAGGCUUUAAGUGCAUUGCAUAUGCUAAAACAAUUUCACACGAGUCACAGAUGAAUCAUCAAUACCACAAUUUCUACCAAGUACUAACCAUAGGUAAUGCUAAUAAGCAUGAAAUUUUGGCACACCACAAGUUUUUAUAUAUAAUUAAAAUAAUGGAACGGAUUAAAAAACCGAUGCAAUUGACUGAUAAACUUAUAUUCAAAAACAACUUCAUACUUAUCUGCUUUUCUAUUGCAAGAAAUUGAAAAAGUAUAUCACAAAAUUUAAGAUUAUUACUUAUAUUAUCUACACAAUUUAUAAAUAAAUAGGAUUCAUGGGCAUACCUUGACGACGGCUUGAAGAAGAACUCAAAAUUUUUAGUAGAUUCAUGGGCAAACGGUGGGAUUGCAACCACAGUAUUUACCAGAAAAAUUGAGGUUAAACAAACUGGAAUUAGUUUUCGCAACCACCAAUCGAUGAAGUUGAAGUGGCAAAGAGGGAAGAAAAUUUUGGUGAAAAAUCUUUGGAGGCAACAGUUUAGGAAAGGAAUUGCGUGGGUACGUGGGUUUUACAUUUAUUUUUUCUCUUUUUCCUUUCAACUAUAUACAAAUGAAAAUCAGAUUGAUUUUUUAUUUUUUUUUUGCUAAUUAUUAGCCUACAAACAAGUUAAAUAUUUUUGUCACUAAAAGAUAUAUCUUGUCAGGAAAAAAUAUACAUUUUUGUGGGCACAAGUCUUCCCACUAAAAAAAAAAUUGAAGCAAAUCAUAGCCAUACGAGAUUUUUUUUUGUGGGGAAAAGUGAUCUCUGUAGACAAAUUUGCAUUUGUCUCCCAAAAUUUUGUAGGAUAAGUAUAAAUUUCUUGUAUUGAUUAUUUCCUUUCUAUAAAAGAUGGUACCCAGGCAUAAGAUGAACUGAUUUUACUUCGUCAAUGGUUAGAAAGUAGUAAGGUUAGACUUUCUAAUGCAGAGUCUGCAGUUGAUGAAAGGAAGGUUUAUGAAGCCAAAAUUUUUGAGGAAUCUAUGCAAGAAGGGAAAAAUAUUAUCAGAAAAUUUCAUCCUAAAUGGAACAUGGAUUUUUCAGAGGUUCAUGUGGAGGAUGCCAGCGAUACCUAUUCUUUCAAAAUUCCUCUGCCAGCCUAUAUUGCUAUCUAUGUUUUCGUCCAUUCCAUUGAGCCUUUUCAGCUUGUGGAUCCUUAUAAUAUUCCCCUAUGUCAAGUCGCUGCUAUAGCUGAGCUAGCUGACGCUUAUAGAGAUUGAUGACUUUUUUAGCCUCUUAUCUAAUUUGAAGAAAUGUAUUUAGCAUCCUUGGGUCCUCUAUAUUGUGUUUACUCUUUCUGAUAUAUACACGAGUUCGUAUUACAUUAUUUACUUGCUUUGAUGACGCAUUUUGGUAUCGCUUUGCUUGUUUAUUCAUUUUGACUAACCAUCCUAUUUUGCAUAUUUGAAAUUAAUUUUGUAACUCGUAAAAUAUCAACCAUACAAUGUUUUAUUUAUGUAUCAAACAUGUCAUUGAAACAAAGAAUCACAGUUUUUAUUCAAAAGUACUUUUUCUAUGUAGCUACACUUUAACUUUUUCAUCACGAUGAUUUGUAACUAAAGACAGCCAUAAGCUUGUGACGUAGCGGAAAUAUUAUAGGGAAGAUGAACAAUCACAAAUUGAGAAAACUCUCAAGGAAGAUUUUAUUGAAUUCAGGAACUACUGCCUCUAAGGGCUUACAACUAAUUAAAUAGAAAAAAACCUAGGAAAAUCCGGAAAAUAAAAUAAUAUAAAAGAUAUUUUUUUCCAAAAAUGGAAAAUAUGAGAUAAUUACUAAGAUGGAAAAUACUUAUCUUCGGGAUCAUCCUCCAACAAACGGAAUCUAAAUCCGAAUUUCAGGGAAAGAGAUUGCAAAAAUGAAAAUUACCAUAAAUAGCAAAAACGAUUAAACGAGGGCCUAAACGAUGGAUUUUGCCCGAAAUUGGUCUUGCGUCAGGGCCAAAGGCACUGUGUUUUAUUCCUUGGCUCGGCUCCAAUCAAGUUAGACUAGUGAUUCGCCAAAAACGAGCAAACCCAAAGUCAUCAUGAAAUCAUUUGCUCCUUUUGCCAACUUUUGCCUUGUGAUGGUCCCAUUUUACCAUGAACUCUAAUCCCUUGUGCACUUCAUCAGCUUUCCUUUACACAUUGUGAUUGUUAUGGAUGAAAUUUAUUCCUACUUUCUUUGACGGAGUAAUUCUCGUCUUUUCACCAUUUUGCUGGUAGGAUGGCCCUCGCCUUUAAAUAUAGCCUUGUUGGUAGAUAGAGUCUAGCUUCAAGCAUAGUUCUUUCACAGAAAGAUUCUUGCCCUCAAUGAUAGAAAUAAUGGCGGGAUUAGCCUUACUAGUAAUCUGAGUUUUGCAGUAGGCAAAAUGAGGAUCGCCUUUCAAUUUUUUGCUCAAAAAAUUCCUGAGACCAUGUUUCAUGCCCAGCUUUGAUUUCGCCAACUUCUCAAUCUUGCUUCUACCAGUAGAUGGAAAACUAUCUUUACUGGUAAAUAGAUUUUUCAACCCAACUUUUUCACAGCAUCGGAUGUUUCCUUUCCUAGUAGAGGUUUUUUGAGCACGUUUCUUUCAAUUGUUAAGGUAGUAUUGAUUCGUAGAGCCCUUGGGCCUACUACUCUUUAGGGUUUGAGGUAGCACUUUUGCAUGGCUGAUUGAUCUCCUCUGACCAUGACUAUUCCUUUCAAAUUUCAAAAAUGGAUGGUGGACAGAGAAUGCAGCUUUUGCUAUUUCAAGGGGGGGCCUUCUAAAGAUCCUAUACACCCAUUGUAUGUAGACUUGCUUUCCAUAAAUAGGAUGUUUGUUCGCUAAAAUCCUACACCGCAAAUGCACGGGUCACGUUCAAGUAAUAAAGUGGACCUUUUGAGUCCAAGUAUCGUCCCACGGAGAUUGUAUUAGUUUAAAUUUAAAUUAUCUACGCCUUAACCGAAACAAUAGAAAUUUUCCGCUAACUAAAUUAUAAUUUAAUAACCUACUUAUAAAUAUAAAGUCUAAAUUAACUAAAUUAAAUGCGUGAUUAUAACUAAAUGCAAGUUUUAUAAAAAUAUGAUAACGAAAUGCAUACUAGGAUCCCGAAUCCCCUGAUAUCAAUCCCCUUUAAUCCAAAUUUUAUAAAGUUGACAACACGAUUCAAUUAUGAAGACCAAUAUUCCUAAUUUGUUUAACAAUCUCUCUCAAGUAGAAUUAAACCUAUUUUCACAUGCGAUCUGACUAUAUUUCUAUGACGGAUGCGAACAUAUAAAAAUGCAUUAAAGAUUUAUGAAUACUUAAAGAUUACAUAAAGCAUAGUGGUAUAUUUCUAAAAAUGCAUUAAAGAUUUAUGAAUACUUAAAGAUUACAUAAAGCAUAGUGGUAUAUUUCUAUCCCCUAUCGGACUUUACGACAAUUAACAUAAUGUCUAACUUAUUUUCUAUCUCUCGAGAGUAAAACAAGCCACAAGUCUCAUACAAAUAUUGCGCCUAUAAUUGUAGAGAACAUAAAAUUCAUGCCAAUCAUUCAAUAAUUAAAAACAUGUUUUAACGUCAAAUAAAUAAAAUUCAAGAUUAAGGGUUCAUAAUAUAAGGUUCAUUGCAAAUCCUAGCAUGAAAAGAUCUAGCCUAACAUAACGGCAAAAUUAAAUAAAUAAAAGUGGAACGACAUCACCAAUAAUUGAUGGAACGUGAUUGACAUCAAGGUUCCUUCCAAGAGUAAUCUGAAAUUUUUUCCUUUAAGCCACUGCCUUUUCGUCCGUCUCCGUCUCGUGUUUUCUGUCCUCUAUCUAGUAUAUAUAUUAUUCCAAUUAGGCAAAGUGGACCUUUUGUAAUGCAAUACUAGAGUCCAAAGCUGCCGCCCACUUCAAUUGUUUUGUAUAUAAUAUAAUCAAUUCAGCUUCCAAAUUUAUUAAUUCCAGCCGCCGUCAACCUGCCGUUUUCUGCGUCUCUAAUCUCUUCCAAAUAUUGGCUUCUUGUGGGGUGUGUAUAUGUAUUUAAUUCAAACUUUGCAGCCCACCAAUUCACCGUCAGCUGCUGGCCGUCUUUAUGAAUUCAGCAAUUUCAAUCUGCCGUUUUCUGUGCAUCCAAUAAUAUAAAUUCAGCCCCCGGCACUCCCUUCAACCUGUCGUUUUCUCUCUGUGUUUAUGAAUUUUUUGUCUACCCCCCUCGGCUUUUCUCGGCUGCAAGUAUACAUAUACCUAAACAAAAAAAAGCCCUUAUUCUGCAUAAAAAUUAGAAGCCCAAGUCCAAUAAGUUUUGUGUACUCAAUUCUUUCGUGUAAUGCAAGUUAGUCCUUCUCUUCAUUUUCUCCUCAAUUUUGAUCCUCCAUCUUUUAUUCCGUGAGUUUUGUCCACAAACUCAAUGUAAUAGCCAAUUGAUUAUUUUCUUUUCCAAUUGCUUCAAAACGGGUCCAUAACUAAAAAUAAAACAAAAUUAACACAAGUUAGGUAAAAAUUGAUAAUUUGACGACAUAAAAACCGAAUUAUGUAGUCCGAUUAAGUGCAUAAAAUGCACUUAUCAAUGUUCAUGUAUCCGUCGAAUACAGUUGGGUCCUCACUUAUUUCAAUGGCUAAUUUAAUCUGUCCUCUAGGGAUCAAGGCAUCUCUACUAAAAACAUAAAGGGGUUAGACCAUGGGUAUCCUGGGAUGUUCAACCUGUAUUUGGUUUAAAGCUUCAAAAUAAUAUGUUAACAGAGCUCCCAUUAUCUACCAGCUUGCGGCUAAAUGCCGUUGCGAGCAAUAUAUAAUUAUGCAAUCAGUUAAAUCAAAAAAAUAAAGAAUUUACAGUUAAUUAAAUGUAACAUGAAAUUAGUCGAGCCCAAUCAAAUCACGAUGUCUCCAUAAGACUAUUUUGCUCCAUUUAGUGCUCAAAGUGACAAAUACUUGUUUUCCAUUACAGAACGAAUUAAUUGAUUUUUUAUUAUGAAUGGCUUGCUUUGAUGUUAGGACUUCUAGGUUUAAUAAAUAAGUUAAUGGUUAUGUGACAAAUAUGAGAUAACUUAAUAGUUAGUUUGAGCAAGUCUAAGUGUACACAGAUAGCUUGUAGUGAAACUUUACAAUGUUAAUUUUACUCUGCCAACACGUUUUGGAACUUAAAACUCUUCAGAAACUCAUACAUGUUUUAGAUACUAAAAAAAAGUUUUCAGUUUGUUAAUAAAUUCAGAAACAUUAAGGAAAUGUUUUGACCCAUUAUCGGAAACUAUAAUUUGAAGUUUCACUUCAUUGAGGGUUGUGCCGCAAGUUUCAACUAAGAACAAUUUAAUUUUUGGAUUCAACCAAAAUUUAAGUAGAUAACCAUCAUACUACAUCAGAUAAAUAUGUCUUCAGAGUUUCAUUAAUGUUAAACAACUUUAAAUUAAAAAUUGCACUUAUAAUGGAUAAAUAUAUAUAUAUUUUUAUCCAACACUUCCAUGGUAUUUCAUAUACUUUUUUUUUUUCACUAGAAUUUCUACCUAUCAUGUCGUUUGCAUUAUGUGUUUCCAUUUCAUAAGGUUUGGACAUUUUGAUGUUGUUGUCGUGGCCAUCGUUGGGUUUGAGUUUGAAAUGUAGGUGAAAUUCUUAAUUGAAUAUUGAUGGUCCACAAGAAUAACUUUGACAAUAUAUGUGUACACACCAUGAAGGGUCAAAAAAGGCUGCAAGUUUUCUAACUCUCUAUAUCUCUAGUUUCUUCGUGUGUAAAUUAUAUUUCCUCAAAAUAAAAAAAAAAUUCAUAAAUUUAUCGAUAAGUAUGCAAAUAAUAGAUAAGCCUUUGACGUGAUUCAAGAACAUCUGGACUAAUUGUAGUCAACAAAAUCAUAUAUCGAUGAGCGGUCUUACUUCCCCCAUGGAAUUUUUUUUUUGAUGAUUUAGUUAAAUUGAACUCGUAUUAAAAAUUCUCAUUGAAUCAGUUUCUAACUUUUUUUCUGAAAACUGCCAACAACAGUUUCUAGUGUACGGAUAAUAUAUACAUACAUUUAAAUAAUAACGCUUUUGAAUUAAAUAGAACACUUCAGUGCGACCACAUUCCAAGCACUAAUAAUUUAGGCAUUUUAAGUCUUCAUUUGUCUCCCUUUAACAAUAGUAAAGUUGAUAUCUUUACCGUCCUCCUAAUCUGUGGUAAACUUCUAAUUCCUUGUCCUUUAUAAUUUUUCUUCUAUACAUGUAUUAUUGUGCUAAAUUAUUCUUUCUCAACCUUUUCUUUAUGUGGUAUUUGUUUUGACACAAUGUCAAACUUAUAUUUCCUUCUAUAUCUGGGCAUUUUACCUGCCUAAUCGUGGAACCAGCCCGAAAGGAACCCCCUCCGUUUUCCUUAGGUCAAUUUUUGUGGCUUGAUUUGUUGAUUUUUAGGUUGGCUUUGAUCCAACACAGAAAAUCUCGUUUCGGUAUUUGGGGGUUUUUUUUUUUUUUUUUUGGAAAAUAAAAAUUCAAGUAUAUUUUACCCUUGAAAAUAAACCGACUUGGAUUGUUUUGGAUUUUCUUUUAACUAAUGUCAUAUUAGUUUGAGUUGAGGUUUCACCCAACCUCAAUGGUCUGGUGCAUGGCGUACUCAACCUUAGCUUCAAGUAUUUCUACUUGAUUACUCUCUUCUCAUUUUGCAGGUGAUUUCUGUAACAGGCUUGUUUUUCUGGGGAAAUAAUGUGGAAUAUGCUGAAGCCAAAACCAAAGUUUGCACAUUAGAGUGCCUAAACAAGCUUCAUCCGAUGUGUACAAGCUGUUGCAGAGCAAAGAAAGGUUGCAAACUUUACAGAUCUGAUGGAACCCUAACUUUGUAGUGGAACCUAAACGGAGAGAUAAAAUCUUGAACAAACUGUGUGUGUUUGUGGAAUAAAAGUCAAAUAAAUUCAAGAAACUUGUACGUUGUUUCUUGAGAAAUGAAAAAAAGAUUCAGGUUUAGUUACAUGUGUCUACAUUUUUUCUAUGAAUACAUUAUCAUUUAUU
rnacentral:lncRNA from 1 species